AAAAAAGCAGCAGGAGGGAUGACAACGAGAGAGGAGUGCGGGAGAAGUCAAGCUCACGCGCGGGCUUAUUACAGCCAUUAAAGUCGGUAAAAGUCCGUUUUAGUGGCGGUCGCCGGAGUCCUUUUGUCUUCAUGAUAUACCGGAGUGAUCCGCGGACCUGUGGAGUUUCACCUGGCAGACAUCUGAGAGGAUUUUGGAUUGGUUCUGUUCCUGUGCUGGAGUUUGGAGCUGCCUCCUGGAGUAACUACCUUCAAUUUACCGGCUGACGGACGACUAAAACGUGAGUACUGACAACUGUCAGAGUUUUAUUUGUUUGUUUCCUCAAAGAGAGUGAAGAAGCUGUUGAGCUACCAUUUUCUUUUCCUUGGGUUUUGGGUUAUUAUCGUGAGUAAAGGACUCCUGUUGAUUUGUGUUGAACUGUGGAUGUGGAACCGAUUUAUUGAACAGACGGUAUUUUUUACGCGAUCGGACGAGAUCGGGCUUGUUCAGGGCGGUAUGGCCGCAAGCAUUUUGUUUUAUCCUCCCUUCUGUGGCUGAAAUAAUCUGUGUUACAUUCACACACACACACACCUUACUCUUGUUUUCAUUGCUGGUUGGAAAAAUAUGAUUUUGUGGUGCUUGACUUUGCUGUGCUGGCUGAUGUUUGUUUGGUGAAAUUGUUGCUGAUGAACUGUGUAUUUGUUGUGCAUGAGAUGACAAACUUAUUCACAGUUUAUUGAUGUAUUAUUUUUUGUGAGACCAGACUCUGACUGACACCCCCGACUUUAAAAAGAAGAAAAAGUUGCCAAUCCUGCUACACAAAAAGUGGCACCCCAGAUUCCUGGAUUCACAAAGGAAAAGCCCUGGAUCUUCUACAAAUCAAAUUGAACAAAAUCAAAUCAAACAACCAUUCAACUCUAAACAAGUCAUAUCUAAAUAGAAUAAACUAAAAUAAAAUGAUCUCAACUCAACUAAAGUUAAAUAAAAUUCAAAUAGUUAAAGCAACUUCAAAAAACAAUGGAAUCCUUAUAAAAAAAUAAAAAAUAAAAAUAAUGAUAACAACAACAACAACAAUAAUAUUAAUAAUAAUCAUAAUCAUCAUAAAAUAUAAAUUACAAAUGAGAAAAAUAAAGAAACCUCUGAGAAUCAAUAUCACCUCAGGCCCCGAGGAGGAGGCUGCAAAAGACUAAGACUGUUGUGAGACCCAGCUUGUAGCAGAAAAUGUGACCAUACAGUCCUUGUUGGAUAUGGAUUUAACAGAUUUUGACUCAUGUCAGGCUCAACCACUCAUUCCACUGAAUAUGACAUCUCAGGAUGGAGUCAUAAAUCAGAGGCAUACCUCAUCAGUGCGGACAGUGGAUGUUACUAAUGUGGCGAUUAACACAGAGCAAUCAAUUGACGCUUCUUUGGAAGAGAAGUUUCAGGUGUUCAUGGAGACACAAAAGAAAAACAUGGAGGAGCUGGAAAAUAAAAUAACUACUUCAUUGAAAAUGCCCCCCCAGCACUGGAGCAGUGUUCCCAACAUUUAUAGACAAGGUUGAUGCAGUGCAAAGCUUUCCUCUAACAACCAACCUGAAGGCCCUUCAGGGGUUCUUGGGCAUGGUUGGGUGGUACCACCAAUAUGUCCCAAAUUUUUCUCAGAUUGCUAAACCACUCAAUGCUCUGAAGAAAAAGGAAAAAAAAGUUCCUGUGGUCAUGUGCAUGUCAAAAUGCAUUUGAUGCCCUUAAACAACACCUGGAGAACCCACCUGUUCUCGGUCAUCCAAACUACAAUACUCACUUUUCUAUUUACUCUGAGGCCAGCAAGAUCGGACUACGAGCUGUGCUUGUUCAAAGGUCAGGCAAUGGAACUGAGGAAGUCCUUGCCUUUGCCAGCCACAGCCUAAAAUGCUGCAGAAAAAAUAAUAUUCUGCUACUGAGCUGGAAUGCUUGGCUGUGGCGUUGGCAGUGGAGAAAUGGAGGACUUACCUGGAAGGUCGACUCUUCACAGUGGUGACGGAUCAUGUCUCCCUUCUGUGGGUGUUUAAAACAACCAAACCCAGCACAAGGCUCAUCAGGUGGGCACCGAGGCUCCAAGAAUUCACCUUUAGUGUUGAAUUCAGAAAAGGAAAAUACAAUACUGUGCUAGAGGCUCUGUCCCAAACACCAAUCAAUUCUCCUUCAACCUUGCCUGUGUGUGCAACCAAUGUGACUGCCUCUCAAAAACCACCCAAAGAACUUCCCGUUUCAAUCGAGGCCCUGUAGAAAGCACAACAAAUAGUGUCAAGCGCUGUAUCAACAAGUGGUAGAUGGGAAUACUGUCCUCAACUAAAAAACACCACAUACACCAUAUUGGAUGACCUCCUCUAGCAGUCUAGCGAUCUGUGGAGUUUCACCUGGCGGACACCCAAAAGGGAAUUUGGAUUGGUUAUGUUCCUGUGCUGGUGCUGCCUCCUGGAGUAAUUGUUCCCAAUUUACUGACUUGACUGACUGACGACUGUAUCGUGAGUACUGACGACUGUCACAGUUGAUUGUUUUUUUUUGUUUCCUAAACAAGAGUGAUGGAGCUGUUAUGCUACCAUUGUCUUUUCAUUGGGUUUUGGGUUAUUAUCAAGACUAAAGGACUCCCGUUGAUUUGUGUUGACUGUGGAUGUGGAACCGAUUUAUUGAACACACUGUGUGUUUUGUUUUUGCUUCUCCUAUGUGUAUGGUCUGAACAGAGUUGCGCACACAUACGCACUUGCACACCUUACACUUGCUUUCAUUGCUGGUUGGAAAAGUAUAAUUUUGUGGUGCUUGACCUUGCAGUGCUGGCUGGUGUUUCUUCGCUGAAAUUAUUGCUGAUGAACUGCUUUUAUUUUGUGCAUGGGAUGACAAACUUUUUCUUAGUUUAUUGAUUUAUUAUUUUCUUUGUCAGACCUGACUCUGUCUCACACCCCCCACUUGAAAAAGAAGAAAAAGUUGCCAAUCCCCCAACAAACUUCCUUGCAGUUGUAGCAUAGGAGUAGACCCAAUUACAUCUAGGGCUGAAACGAUUACUCGAGUAACUCGAGUAACUCGAUUAAUAAAAUUCCUCGAGGCAAAUUAUAUGCCUCGAGGAAUCGUUUAAAUCCGGAACCAUGUGCAGCGCACGGUGUUUGACACGGACGGUUAUUUCUGUUGCGCAGAAGCGUGCUCUUUCCGCUCCUUCCGCUGCCGCGCGUUUGGUUCAAUCAUGGAGGGAAACGAGGACAGACAGAAGCUGGUGUCCGAAAUGGCAUACUGCCUGCUAUCUACUUACCUACUCAAGCAGUAGCUACUGCCUACUGACUACUCAAAGAUGAUUUAAGUAUGCCGCGGCUGCCCGAGCGUUUACACACAUACAUACUAAAUACCCCAGAAUGCAUUUCGUGCCGGCCGGACGCAGCGCCGGGAAAAUUUAAAUAGUCCUACCACAAGCUACAUAGAACGACUGCAUACCGGACAAAUUACAUAAAUUCAUUCAAUAAUAAUAUUUUUUCUAGCGAGAAAGUAAGUGUUUACAUCACGAUUAUGAGCCCAGUUGUUUGAAAUAGUGGCUGUUUGUAAAUUUGUCUCGGCGUUUUCGGAGACCGAAGCGUCCACUUGGUCGGUGUUUGCGUCUAUUUACCGUAAACACCGGGCAGCAGCAGCUCCCCCUUCACGUGUCCAAAUUAUUGCGAAGUGUUUUCAUAAUCAACAUCUACACGACACAAACCGGGCGGCAGUGGAUGAAAAAAAUCACACAAACAUCCGUGUAUCCAUGGUGAUAAUGCUAUACACCACCUGCUAGGCGUGUGAUGAGCAGCAGAGGGCUGCAAAAUGACCAACACACAACAACAUGUAAAUAAAAAUGUAACACUUUUAUAUAUUGAAUAAAUGUACAUUUGCUUGUCAAAUUAUGUUAGUAUCCAAGAAUUAUAUUAUUUCAGCCUAUUAAUUAAACAAGUAAAAUUAGAUCCAAAGCCUGGAAAUAGUUGUGACUGGUUUAGUGAAAACUGCAAAGAUCAUUACCAUAGCAAUUAAAAGACCAUCUGCAGACCUUGCCUUCAGUAGUUUCAUGUGAACUACAUGGUAAAAUGUAAAACUUUUGUUUCCUGAUUUAUGCAGUAAAAAUAUUCAUUUGAAAGACCUGGCCUAUUUCAGUUUUGUGUGUUACUGAUGGUUUUUAAUGAGGCAAACGUGAUUCAAUGCAAAGUAUUACAGUGAGAGCAAAACAUUUCUUAUCCGAUUACUCGAUUAAUCGACAGAUUAAUCGAUAGAGUACUCGAUUACUAAAAUAAUCGAUAGCUGCAGCCCUAAUUACAUCGCUUCAAACUUUUGAGACUGAGUCUUCAACUUGUCUUUUCAAUAAAAGAUUUUAGACUACUCCCCUUUGAACGUGGCUUCAAAAACAAAAACACAUGACAGAGCCGUGUUUUAAAAGUGUGCCUGCUAAUAAUGAGCAUCUACUGUAUGUUUUAUCUCUUUUACUCACCACAGGGUGAUGUGUACAGUUGUGAUUAGUGAGAAUAAGAUUGGUUGGGACAAUGGGAUGGUGUUGAAACUGUCUUUUUGAAUACACCACACGUCCUACGUACAACCUUGUAGAUUCGGAGCAUGUUCCUCAUUGUCUGCAAGCACAUUUUCUUUUAGUUCAAGCUGAGAGUUUGUGUUCUCUGCAACUUGCCACUCUGACCUUUAUUCAGCUCGUCUUUUUGUCCAAAUACCUGCAUUCUUUCAUUUUCAAGGUGUUCCUGGAGUCUUGCAGCGCUGCCUGAAAAUACACUUAAGCCAUUGCACAUUUAUUUGAUGACCCCCAACAUUCACUCUCAAUAUAAUUUCUAUCAUAACAGCCUCGAAAACCAUAUGGUCAAAUUAGAUUUGUAAGAUGACAGGAGCAGGACUUGGCACAGCAGGAGCAUGAAGAGAAAUGGUGGUAAUGGAAUUUGAUACCUAUAUUUUAUUGGAAGAGAACAUUGUCCUCCUUUUUUUCUUUUAUUGAACUCAGCGGUUAAAUCGUUUAACAGCUUAUUGGUGGCAAAAGAAAAUGGGGACGCGGAUAGCAUUUCAACCAUCACUGUAAUAAGACAGUCUUCAGUAUGAUGCUUUAUUAAGGUCUCAUUCAGUUUUUGAGUUUUUAGUUUCUUCUAUUCAUGCAUGUGUAGCACUUGGGUCAAACCUUUGUCUUAAUUUUAAGCUAUUGGACCAGAUCUAGGCUACAACUCUGGCAUGACAACUGAAAGCUCUACCACUCAGACCACUUUUAGAGACUUUAGGACCUGAAGUUUAGGUACAAUCAACAGGACUGAAUAUUAGGACUGCAGUGUUCUGGAGGGGUAAGGGGGAGCUAGGAGCUCUUUUAGAAAUGAUGUUGCCCUACUGUGAAGAGCUAUGUAGGGCACAAGAAGAAUUAAAAAUACUACCCAAAAUUUAAUGGGAAGCCUACAAAAAAGGAUUAGGGCCUAUUGAAGAGAAAAAAAAUAAUUGCAGGAAGGAGGAGUUGAAAUGUUGAGAUUAAAAUCAAAAUUUUGAGAUUAAAAUUGAAAUUUCAAGAUAAAAAAAAACAAAAAACAAAAAAGCAAAAUUAUGUCAAAGUCAAAAUUUUGAGAUACCAAAAUGUGGCAAUAUCGUGAAUAAUGUCAGAAUUUUGAGAUUAAAAAAUGAAAAGUUUUUAAAUCAAAGUUGAAAUUUCAGGAUUAAAGUCGAAAUUUUUGACUUUUUAAAAUUUCGACUUUCAUCUCAGAAUUGCGACUUUAAUCCCAAAAUAGCAACCAAAAAAAAUCUCUCUCCUAUAAUUAUUUUUGUCUCUUCUUUUGGCCCUUAUCCUCUUUCGCAGAAGCCAAUGCAGAAAAGCAGUUACAGGGGAAUUUUUCCCGUUCUGGUCAGUAUUCAGGCUGCAGCAUUUUGGCCUGCAUCUUUUUAACCUUUUUAACAAACUUCUGUAUUUACAUACUUUCAGAAGGGUUAUGUUAUGUGCCAAAAACUCACCAGUUGGGGAAAGAAAAAAUUCACAUAAAAACAGCCAAAAGCGAAGUCAUUCUUUUGCCAUUACAACAAACCAUGAGUUGUCAUAUUUUAACCACUUUACGACAGAUAAUAAUCAAGUCCAGCUCCUCCUUCCCCAUCUAUCACCCCAUCCAAGAAUUAAUUAAAACACACAUUAUGAGUGGAGUGUUAUUGUUUUUUCUGCUUUUUUGACCUCCUGGUGAAAGAUGGCAAUGUGUCAAUUCUCAAUGGAAAUUAGAUUACAACCAUUAUCCAUAAAAUUGGGUUUAGUGAGGGUUUAAAAGGUCACUCACUAGAUAAGACAGGGUCAAUAUAAGGACAGUUCAAUGUGUUUUACAUGUCGUUUCUCCCCAGUGUUUAUGUGCCUGCAAAUAGUCCCGAAAGCCUGUUCAUUAACACAACUUCCACUGCCCUACUUACACUUUCUGAUUGACAGAAUGGGGCAAUUUAUUUACAUACUGAUGACCGACGGUGUCACCUUUACCACUUAGUUCUGUGCAUGAUUCUGCUGGCAGCUGUUUUGUCUCCCAGGCGUCAGAAAAGUGCAGCGUACAACACACUGAUCCUUUGUGAACACUAACAAACUAGCUCUCCAGCCUGUUUGAUCCAGACAGGCACUGGUGAGAUUGAUGGCUGUGACUUGAAAGCUGUAUUUCAGAAACUGCCUACUCUCCCUUGACAAUAUUCUAUAAACUGCUUCCUCUGGUAAAUUCGGAGGCUCCCACUCCAUCUGUCUCUGUCAGGGAGGAGAAAACACACACACACACCAUGAUCAUGGUUUCAAAACACAAGCUUGGAACACCUCACCUACUUUCUAGGGAUUGGUGCAGGAUGGAGUAAGAUUAUUUGGACACAUCCAAAUGCAUCCAUUUGUCAGUAUCUGGAUAGUCGGGGUCAAUGACAAGAAACCGGCUUUUGUCUGCAGGAGGGGUCAGUGUGCUACUUUUAUUAAGGACCUGCUUCUGUUUUAGGGACAGGCUCCUCCUGGGUGUUGAGGGGAGCUCUGAGAGCUAAAUGCCCAAUUAACCUUGCCUGGCCCAGGCACAUUUUUACAAAUUUAAAUGGUUCCCAAAUGGCUAAAGGUAAUUAAUUAAUUUUAAUGGGACGGCAUGCUCACCUCAUUGUUGAAAGGUGCUGAGUUCACGCGACACUAAUCAAUGGGAUUACCUUUGGCCUUAUUUUGCAUGGUACUGAGAGGAAUCUUUGGCAAAACAAAUUAUGAUUUGUAGGACAAGUAAUUAGUCAAUGCUGAUACUGCUCGAGCCAGCCACACCAAGACAAUGAGAAAAUGUGUCUUCUUGACUUUGCAAUUUUGCAUCAAACUGAUAGUGCAGUGCAAGACUAUUUAUAGGAACUGUGUGCAAUUUUUUACUUAACAAUCCAGUAAGGCAUAGAAAAGGGUGAUCCACAUAUAGGGUUUAUUUUUUCUAAAGGGUGGGCUUUGGAUGGCUGCCUUGCAUUCCACAACAAUUAAAUUGUUCACUUCAAAAAGUCUAUUUCUGUCGAGUUUUUCUGAGUUGCAAAUCAUAGAAGUUUUGAUUGAACAAGAAAAUUUCCACUGCAGCUCUGGCCGGUGUUGCAGUGUUAAAUCUUUAUCAUCAAACUUUAGUGCCAGGGCGAUUUGAGCGAAAGCCAGACUGAAAAAUUAAUUGAAAAGAAAAUAGUGAAUUAUUCUGGUUUUGCUACUGUUUCAGAGGAUGGUCAAGAGGGGCAAUGUGUCUGUAAAACCUGUAGAAGCCUGAACAAUUUCAGCAAAAUCUGAAACUGUGCAUGGUGCAGUGCAUGGCAUGCAGAUGUGUUAAACAAAUGCAAAUGUGUAAAUGCACGACAAGAUAGAUCAAUACAUUUAAAAAAUAAGAGUUUCAAAUGAGAAGCAAAACCAACCCAGGCUCAACUUUUUGAACCAAAGACUCCCUCGUCAAAAACUAGGAAUCUGAGUAUUCAGUCAACAAAACAGUUAACCUCACUAGUUGACACCAGACUUAAAAGCCAGUAAAAUAAAUGAUUGAUCACUUUAUUAUUGUAGGUCCAAAAUGCUACUUAUAUGUAGGGUCUAAACUGGAAAGCAGCCACCGGUCUCUAACUCCCUUAUUGGCCUACUACCUGGAUGUAGACUAGCACAGUGGACAGAUGGUUUAAAUAUGCAUUACUACGGUAAAGGCAAGUAAAUAUAACAAAAAAUAUAUAUUUUUUAGAUUUUUAUAAAUAUUUGUUUUUCUGUUUUUAUUUAUUAUAUCAGUGUAUUUUUAUUGAGUAACAAUUCCAGUCUGAUCAAUGAUUAAUGCAGCUAUAUUACUGGUCAUAGUUUCAGUAUUUCAUUGUAUUUAUAAGGACUUUUUUUUCUUUUUUCUUUCUUUCUUCCAUUUAUUGACAGUGUUUGUGGAUAUUUCUUAACAUUAAACGGUCAUAGAUGACAGCAGUCUUUGAAUUUACCAGUAUUUAUCCCCAAUCAUCUUCUGAUAAUGCAAUAUUUGCCUCUGAUGGAGGAUUUGAUUUGUUUGUUAUUUUGCUGUAGCAUUCAAGGACCUCGAGUCAACAGUUCUUUUUCAGUACAGCGUUCACAUCUGCAGUGUUUUUACUUUUGCCCAUUUCAUCCCCAGAGUGACAUCAUCGUUCAUCUGUUUUAAGAAAGUCUCAGCUCAACAGUGGAUGAACCCUUACAUGGACAGAGCACUCUGAUUCACUUCAGGGAAACGAGCAUGAAAAGAAACCUACUUUUUUUGUCAUUUACUGACAAUUUACUGCUUAAAAAUGAAGGUAAAAUGAAUAGAUGUGCCUUAUUUUGACCUUCAAAAGCAAACAUGACUACACUGUGAAGACUGAUAUUAAGUUAUCAAGUUCAUUUCAAUGCCUGAAACUGCUGCUGGGGGGUAGGUGUCCCACUGAGCGAUUAACUACUGCUAUCACAAAGAAAAACUUUUUUUUCACAUUUUUUUCUGGGCAAGAAUUCCUGAUGAGUGAAAUGUUUGAUUUUUAAAUCAAAGCAGGAUAUAUAUUUUAAUAUUAACUAUACCUGCAGUUGUGCAGAUCAAAAUUAGCAAAUGGAUGAAUUGUGCUGCGUUGUCAGCAGGGGGCACUAGAAUUUGCUGUUUCUCUCGGAUGCUUUAAAGUUACAUUAUUUAAAAAAUGACUGCUGGUUUCUUGCACCUGAAAAUGCUUCCUAUAUCUCAGCGUGUUUUGUUUGGUUGACAGUCUUGGUUUCAUGCUAAAGAUUGACGCUUCUUCUUGAGUAUUGCUUGAGCAGUAGGUUAUUACAAUUCAAACUCAUUAAAAUGAGGUUACUUCCUUCAGUUGCAGCACUUGGUUAAAACACAACUAGCAUAUGUGUUCUUGGUUUAGUAAUUAGACACCCUACUUGGCAUGUUUUUUUUUCUUCCAUAAUAAGUUCCCUAGGUUGCUAGAUAUGAUGCAUUUUUGCAAUCUUUCCUUUUCGCUGAAUUAUUUACUCAUACUAUUUAAAAACAGGGCUUGCUAUGCCACCCAUGUUUCUGUGUUUAGUUCGCUCACACUGCAGUAAAUAAACUUACCCUGCUUUGCAAUAAUUUCAUCAUCUCCACCAGACUGUUGCAGCUAUUAAAGCUCUCUGGCUGAAACAUACAGUGGGAUAACUCUGUUACCUUCACGCUCUACUCCGUAGUUAACAAGCUUGUCGCCUGGCAACCUCAACCAUGUGCAUUUGUUUUGAUGUUAGGUCUUGGAGUUGUUUGCAAUUUUUAUGAAGCCCUCUUGGUUUGACUAUAUAAAAUAUGAGCUGUCCAAAUUACAUUCCUCAAUCACAGCAAAAAGGCAAAGGCUUAUUAGGCUAGUAGAACUUUAGAGAGCGAUCUCAAACAACUAUGUGAGAAGCAGCCAUGUUGAAAGUCUGUAAAUGACUGAAAAGACUAACAUGUUUAAAAAAUAUAUCAACAGUAACACAUCCUUCAACACUGAACCUCCUCCAUUCACUUAAAGUCCAACAUUAAAAGAUGUUUUUGCAUCAAAUGUCAUGUACCAAUGUACAACUCUUGAAAAGUGAGAAACAGCAAAAUGUUUCACAUUGCAUUGCAAAUAAAGUGCCAACUUUAUUGCUCACCCUAGUCACAGUGGCAAAGAGAGGCCAGCUGGCUACCACCCCAUGGGAGAGCACACAGUUUUGCCAUCUGCCACCAAAAUUUAGCAGGUCUAAUAUGUGCCUCUUGCCGCUGCAGUAACAGCCAGAAGCCGCCGCCGCUGCCAAUCAAUGAUAGGAUGAAAUAUGAUGCUGUUGACAAACACAACAGAGGUGACAAACCGUGCUGCAUUUUGAUGUGCACGCAAUAGCACACCCUGUAUUUUCUAUGCUAUCCUCUACACGCAGAGGUUGUAAUGAAUUUAUCACCUUCCCCUGCAGCACUACAGAGUUUUUCUACUCUGUUCACAGUUUUGUUGAGUACAAGCAGCUCUCAAAAACUGCGUAGGAGGCUGCUGUCACCGAAAAAGUUUUUGCUCACAUGUAGCCCAUAAUAUCUUUAGGGUGUUCAAGUCUCUUGGUGAUUACAAGUGUAUGUAUUGAUGCUUGAAUGUCUCAUAGUGACAGAAAGUCAAAUAUUGAACAUUUGAAAUGAUCUGCGUUGAAAUGUACACACAGUACAGUAGCAAGUAACUUAACUCUGAGCAAUUUUACUUCCUCUCUGAGAGGACUGUGAUUUUCUGUAUCACAGCAGCAGCUGAUCAAUAGAGGGUGCUGAGACACCACUCUACCACUCUUCACAAAGACAAUGGCAGCCAGAAAAAGAUUUUUUUUGAAUACAUUCAUUUAUUUUUAACCCAAAGUAAGAGCCAUUUGGGUUGUGGAUAGAAUUAAUAAGCAACAAAAAGAAAACGGUAGGGUUAGGAAUUGUACAUCAAUACCUAACUGUUGACAUGAGGAGGUAUGCAGUGUAGCAGCAGUCAGCAGUACCUGAAAAAGCUAACAAACUGCAGAAAAGAAACUCAGUUUGCUUGCUAGAAAAAAAUGCUGUUUGAGAUGAGACCUUCACGGUAGACUUUAGACAUACUGCAGUCUGAAAGGAAAUCUUUGCAGGAGAAGCUGACAGUUAAAGAGCUGGACCUAAUCAGCUGAAUACCAACAUUAAAUGGCAUUCCAGAAACAGAGGGGGAACAACACUUUAUUUAUGAUGAAGGCUUAGGUGCAGGCAUGUAGUGGUUUAAAUGCUUGCUAUCCCUGCUGCCUCCGUUUUUAAGACAUGGGUAUCAAGAAAAACAUGACCAAACAGGGCUUCACAUGCAAUAGGCUAUGUUCACUCAGCCUAGCAAACAGAUACAUGCCUUUGUAUUGUAUUUUAUGUAGUUUUAUGGAUUAAUGCAGAAGCCUAAAACAAGAUGGCGACAUCUACAAAGGUUAUUUUAGCGCUUGCCUUUUUAGGCUUCCGAUUUAGCUUUUUUUUCGACUUAGUAACUGAAAUGCUGGUAACUCAGGUGUGAUGUCAUUUUCAGCUCCAACAUCUGACUUCCGAGGUGACUCGAAUGCAGCAUAAUAUCUGUUGUUACUGUAAAGAUAUCUUUUGGAUUUUGUAAUGGUGCUUGCUCCCAGUGUUGCAAUAUCUACAUAAACGUUAAGAAAAAAGUAACAAAGUUUCUAAACCUUUACAACUGUACCAGAUAAACUGUUACCAUUUGAUGACUCAGUCCUCAUUCAGUGUUUGUUUCGAUCCAAAGGCCUCGGAGGUUUGAAAAAUCUCUGAAUAAUUUAAUUUUGAAAGCUUGGAAGAAAAAUACAAUAUACUUUAUCCCACGUAUUACUGAGCUACCAACUAAAGCUAUAAAUGAGGUGAUCUUAAAAAAUAUGCCCCUCUGAUUCCAUAGAGCUUAUUGAUCCCAAGGCAACAAAUUCUUAUUAGCCCCUUUGUGGGAUUAAUAAAUACCAAAGUGAAUAUUUUAAUUUGGGGUCAAGUCAUGGUCAAACUUAGCCUGCCAUCUUUGUUACAAGUCACUCUCAAAUGUAUGUUUGCAUUGAAGGUAAUGUUCGACAGGGUAAGCAGGAAUAUCUUAAGAAAUAUUCGUGACAACAUUUUUCCUCACUAAGCUCUCCUUUUUUUUAUGGGGUUUGCAGUCGAUGCAUCUUCCAGAUAAAUGAAGCGAUGGCACUAUUUCAAACUGUAUGUCUUUCAUCACUACUUUUUAUGGUUUCAGUUACUCUGAAGGAACUGGCAACUUUGAGAUGCACUCAGCAGUUUUGCUGCUGUUGCCUUGAUUGCAGGACUGAAUCCAAUAUCAAAGUACCCCUCGUGUUGUUUAGCCUGAAAACCAUACGAAGAGUGAGCAACAUUUUCAUUCUAGUUCAUUCAGACAUUAUAUUUACAUAGAGAAAACCUUUACAUGCCUCUCAUGGCUCAAGCAACACACACUAGAGACGGGCAAAUUCCAUGCAAAACUGUCAAGGCUGAUGAGUUAAGUAGGGCAGGGAUUCAUCUAAAUUUACAUCAGAUUUAUACCCAUGCAAAGAUUAGCAUGACUGAUUCACUGUUCAAAUUGAUGAGAUGAUUGCACAGCCCAUGUCAGCCACCCCAGGACAGGAAGACUAUUAAAUACAGUGACCUUUUUCAUCUCAAUAUGACAACAAUGAUCUGAUGGAUAUGACUGCAUAUUUCAACAUUUUAAUCCUCCCUCUUUGAGUCACCCUCUGUCUGCCCCGUGCUCCAUCUAUGACUUUUUAUACACUGUUCUCCUAUCCUGCCCAUCUAUCUCCUGUUUUUAAUCCUUUGCUCUGCUCUUCCUCACUGCGCAUUCAACCCCCUCUCAAUCUGUUUUGAUCCAAUUCUUAACAGCCGUGUGCACUUCUGUAAGUAAGAGUGAAUCACCCAGGGGGGCUCUCAUCAAAGAACUGCCAGGAAGACAAAGCAGCCAGGCAGCCCUGCGUUAACUGCCAAUGUCCUUAAAGGGGACUUGCUGGCAAUGCCACCUUUGAUCAGUCCACCAUGACUGUAUCUCCCACAGCUCUGGGACUGCCGGACAGCUCUCUGUGUCAUGCUGCCCUGUUCAAACAAACACAGUCGGAUUAAGAAGCCCCUUAUCAAUACAACUCAUACUGUUUUUUCUGUUCUGGAUUGCUUUGUUUUCAGCUCUGGUAUUACUAAUUAUUAGCUCUUUGGUUUCUGCACAGGAGAUCUGGAUUAUAAUGAAAAAGGGAGGAAAACCUCUCAAUGCUGAGCAGGGGUGUAUCCAGAGGGUAGCCUAUGAUGGCCAAUCUAAGCAGCCACUUGUGAAAACUAGACUCAAAAAAAGCUUUAGACGUACAGUGCUGUAACACCCUGCCGACUUAACCAUUUACCUGCAUGCCCUUUCUUAUCUCUAUUAUGCCUCUCCUACUUCCUCCAGAGCUGGCUCAAAGGUAAAAGACUCCCCUGUUCGGUCUCUGCACCUUUGAACAGACAAUAAGUUGUGAUGACAUGGAAUGAUAGUCCAGCCUUGAAGAGGUUGUGCAGAAGGAGCUGACAUUUUACUCGUUGGAGGCGGAGCUUGUGUGUAAAUCAACUGUUUUUAACUAAGAAUAACCGGAUAUUGGAAAAUGAAGCCAAUGUGAAGUGCAAAAACCUGAUUUUCCAAAGUCAAAAGAGGGGUAGGCAGGAACCUGUGUCGUUCACGAGCCCAAACAAAGUUAGCGCGCUGUAAAAUCACAGUAGAAACCAACCAGAAUGUACGGAAAAUUGUCUGAAUCCUCCUUCGCCCACGACUGCCAACACAAGCAAGAAAACGAAGUAAAUACUAGAGACUCUGGCGGAUUAACAGACUGUUAAAACUGAGGUAGACCUGACAAGAGCUAAAAGGCCGAGUCAACAUCAGCAGAAAUGAUGGAGGCUUUGGGAUCUUACGGACCCUGUAACCUUUCUGCUGGACAGGGAAACCGCUUUAACAAAGUAAGCCAAGUGUCUGUAACAGAAGUGUUUCUUAUCAAACUGGACUUGUUGGAGCGGAAAGGGAGGGGAGAGGAGGAGCUGAGGGGAAAACUGGUUGGGAGGGGUAGUGUUUACAUUCAAGAUUUCACCCAAAAACUGGCACUUCCUCAGAUCCUGCCUACCCCACCUCUUUAAGUUCAAUGUUACAAUGCUCAUAGUUACAGAAAAAAUAGUUUGACUUUUGCCUUGUCAGGUUUGAUUUAGUUGAUUUAUUUAGUUGUACACUCCCUGUAGGGGUUAAUUUUUUGUUCAUUCUUUUAAUGCCAAUAGUAUUAAGCUACAAGUUGUGGAAACAGCAAUUCUACAUAGUUAGAGGCACAGCUGAGUUGACUGACAUUGCACUGCACUGACAUUGUUAGCUAAAGACCUGCCUCUGCGCCUCUUUGCCCGUGUCUUGGAUGAUAAAUAGUUCAAUUGAGUCAGAAUCAUCUCCAAGCUGGUGACUGCCGUCUUGUGCCAAAGCAGCAACCUACUGUCAUUAGAAAUGAAGCUAAUGUGGAAGUGCUAAAAACUACACAAGAGGUUGGCCCUAGAAGCCUUACAGGACUCAUUCAGAAAGGACCAUGUUUUCAGCAAAAUUAAAGAUAUUUACAGUGUGGUUAAUGCUAGGUCCACAGAAAGUCAGCUACAGGUCUGUUAAUGAUAUGAUCUGCAAUACCCUCGUAGUGAUCUGAGAGGAAACUAUGAGUUAAGAUAGAGAAUGAGUAUUAUGCAGACAAAUGUCUGUGUGCACACAUAUUUAAUGCCUAAGGCAGUGCCACCCCAGUCUACACAUUCUGGAUACGCCCCUGGUGCUCUCCAGAGGAUUAUCUUACUGAAUUAUGGAAGUCAUCAACAUAAAGUGAGUGUUAACUAAGCAGUUUUUAGUACACACAAAUUGCUGCUUAUUCAAGUCAAUUUGGGAACUUUUUUACCCCACUGAGUUCUCAGAUUUGUGAUGAAGCAAAUCUGCCUUGACGUCUUCAUGGGUGGGGGAAUUAUACAGGAGUCUGAGCGAGGGGCCUCUGGCUUCAUGCAGAGUAGAAGGCUAAGGUUUUGAUGUGGCAAGGUCGGGCCAGAGUUUAGGCCACCUGCUGUCAAAGCACAAGGACAAGGGCAGCCUUGCAGAGCUGAGCCAGUGCAGUGUCAGUCAAGCUGUGCACCAACACAACUGCUAUCCCCUACGUUUUCUUCCCUAUACCCACAACUUCCUCCGUGGUGCCCCUCUACAGAGGACAAGCGGAGGGUGGGAAUGGUGCUGUGUCCCUCCCCUCCAUCUGGUGCCGCAUGCCUCUGUCAGGCUGUCAGCCGGCACAUAGUAAUGAAGGGUGUCAUCAAGGUUACUGCAGGCUGGAAUGUUGCCUGCUCCUCCUCCUCCUCCUCUCGCUCUCACUUCUCCCCCUGUUUCCCUCAUCCUUGUCUCUUGUAGGACAUAUUGUCUGUUAGUGUAAGAUGCCUGUCGUUGGUGAUCAUUAUAUGUUUUCCUACAAGGAGCAAGUUUCAGUGAGUAUUUUGAUUUCCUUUUAAAGCCUUUAAUUUUUUUUUUUUCUCAAUGCUUUUAAUUUAGUAUGCAGCAGUAACCAAGCAUGUGAUAGGAUCCAAGCCUGUAGUGGGCGCUCAGUGGAACAGUUUACGAUAUGAACUGCUGUCACUGGUCAUACUAAAUACAUAAUCUAGUGUAGAAGAGCUUCUUUACCUUUUUUAUCUAUUUUUUUAACCUGUAUAAUAAGUUAGAUCCUAUGCACUAGAGCAACCAAUGCAGCAGUAUAAAAUGCAGUGAGUGGUACUUUAUUGCAGUACUGUAUUUUGCCCAGAAGAUGGUGUUUAAAAAAGCAAGUGAACACUUCACUACCAAAACAUACUGGGUAGAUAGUUAGGAAGACCAGUCUAGAAGCACCACAGUAACUUGCAAUAAUGUGUCUAAAGGAAACGUUAGCAUACCGUGUGGUGAAAUGAUCUACUGGCAUGCUGGUUUGAUUGUAAAGAUUCCCCAUUUUAAGCUAAUCAAUGACUUGCAGGGUUGGUGACCUAAGUCUUGUCAAAUUGGAUACAGGCAAUGGGCCCGUGCUACAGCUAGUACUUAACCUUACUGGCUUGGUCUGCCCAUAUCUUACAUCUACAAACACUACAUCUACUCAUCCUGCUACCUCGCCAGUACCAGGUUGCAAAACUGGAUGAAAUAAACCUUUAUUUGUCCUUCGGUGGGCAAAUUUGGAGGUAUUUUAUGCUAGCAUCACAUAAAGUGCCACCCAGUCACCUUGCAACAGGUAGCUAGCUGACUAACUAGCUAGCUAACUUAGUGAGGGUCACAUGACUUGACUGCCAUCACUGUCAUUUAUAAAAAAAUAAUGUCAAAAUUCAGAGUAUCUUUUUUUUAAACAAUACUCAUGACUUCAUUGGGUAGGAACCAAAUGUGAAUAUUUAACUGUGUGUUAACUGGAUUUAUGCUACAGCUGUUUUAUCUAUUUGAACUCUUGGAUUGUACACAUAUUUAUCUGCAUCAUUUCUUAGAUUGCAACACAUUUCUCCCAAUGAAAAAUCAGUUUCAGAUCAGUUAUCUUAUCUUAUUAUGGAGAUGGUACACAUCACUAUGAUUGUGCAGUAGUGGCCACUACACCUGGACACAUGUUGAAGAAAUUAAUAAUUGCCAAUCCUAUGAUUUCUGUGUUCCCAAGAUAAUUGCGAUACUAAAAGUUUAAUUUCUUCUUCAUUACUGUCUGCCAAGAUGUCCGAAGAGGCCUUGAAUUCCAUCUAAAUCCAAGUGUUGCAGUGAUCAUUAACUAAACAUUAACUUUUAAUCACUUCAUCGUGUUUGUGACCCUUCAGCUAACAUGAUGAAUUGUUUCUCCCUGAGACUGAUCUAUAAUGUGUUAUUAAUUAUAGCAUAAUUAAAGUGGGGGGCCUCUCAGAGAGAACUGUUCAUCUUUGCACUCUGGUUAUUCUUACACACUGUAUCUCUCAUGUGCAAGAUACAAAACUUUUUCACUAUCUUCACCAUUCAUUUAACUUCUUGCUCACUUUGAUCAGGUUCAAAGCCGUUGCUUGUGAAAGCAGAAACUGAAUAACUCUUGAAUUCACUUUCUUAAAUAUUACCUCAAACAUUUAACGCUUGGUUGAGGAUAAACUUAGCUCAUCUCUAAUGUGUGCAGCCACUGUGUAAGAUGCCAUCAGUGGCACUGCCCAGCUCUGGAUCUCUGUGACAUUAAUUUUCCAGUGUCAGCGCUGAUGUAUGGGGCGUCUGAGGAAAAAAAAAAAAAACAUGGUAGGGAAGCCAUGCUAACCUUGCGGGGAAUUGUUAGGGGUCAGACCUUUAGCAUCACAGAAUGUAUUAGGAAGGCAUGCAGAAUUCACAUAUUUGCAAUGACACAGUGGGAAAUCUAUAACUUAAGUAGACAGAGUUUAAAGUUCUGAUCUUAAAUUUUAUUUAGUUUCCAACUUUCUUUGAUAAAACAAACGAUUAUAGCACUGACACACCAAAUUUAAUUCUCUUUUCAUUCCUCAAGUCUAAUCCAAUAAAAAUAAGAUGCAGGUUGGGGUAUUUUAUUUUUCUAAAUCUAAUGGUAUUCAGUCUACCAGCAUUUGAACACAAUUUUGGAAAAUCACUGCAGACGACAUUCAAGUUUCAGCCCCUCUGGCUCGUGAGAGACUCAGAUAAUAAGACUGAAUUAAUUUCCCUGUUUCAAACCUGACGCUGAAUAAAAGGGUUUUGUGUCUUAUCACUCCACGCUAUCUGUCUCGUCCCUCUCUGCCCUGGGAAUUGUGAUCCAGCAGAGAAGAAAAGAAAAGAGGAACGCUCUCGACUUCUCACCAUAGAUCCUUGGAAUAAGGGCGCGACAUUGCUCUUGUGAAUCUCUUUGUGCCGUAUAAUGUCUCAUUGAAUCAGGAUAGGCUCCAAAUCUAUGCACCUGAAAUAGAGCGCUUAUAAGAGAAGACGGGUGGAAGGGGCAGGUGUGGAACAAGGUGGGCUUUGACCACUGCUGCUCAACCCUGUCAGACAGCAAAGGGAAUACACUUUUGCCAAGCUUUUAAAGAACCAUUACUGUCAUAGGGAGUGGUCUGACACAAGCCAGGAAUGGGACUACAGAGGGAAAUAACACGGUAACCUUGGCUUUAUAGUGCACACACACACACAAAGAUAUGCUCUAAUGGAGCCAAAAAUACUGGGUGCUGCUCCAAGCAGAUAAACAAAACUUUUACUUUAUCACAGAAAAAAAGGUAGGAGCAGUAAAUUCCAUAUCUUAUAUAAUUCUUAAACAUUUAGAAGAAAAAAGCGAGACUUGAGGCAUAUUCUUGGUCUGUUUCACACUCACCGGUAUACCUUUUAGAAAAAUAUCAGAUAGCCUUGAAGUAUUAUCAGGUGUCAUUCAGUCCAUUGGUGAAAGAUAGGUCAACUCCUGCUGGAAAGUCUUUCAUAAGCAAUAGAAUCAAAAUGAAUGGCUUCAUGGUCUGCUCAAUAAUUCAUCGUUAGAAUGAAUUUAGUCCAGAUGGAAAUCACACUGACAACUCCAUAACAAAAAAUAAUUUUUCACUGUAACUAUUAUGUAACUCAUCAAAAAUACAUGUUUUAACCCUAACUGUAUAAAGAUGCUUUUAUAAGAAACAGACUACAGUACCUAAACAAGCCUUCAUAACAAAUCUCCUUCAGUGUUGCUCACAGUUGCUUGCGCUGUUCAACUUUUACUUAACAUGCUUAACUAGAAUCUUCUGAAGAAAAAAAAAUCAUCCAGCUGACCAUAAACUAUCAAAUAUGUAAAUGAUUGUAAAUAUUUUAUGUAGAAAUUGUAAAAACAGGGAAUUUGUUAUUAGCUGCAUGGCUGACAUUUACCCCUUACACUUAGUGGUGUCCUGAUAUCAGAUAUUGGUCCGAUCAGCAAAAAACGAAUAUUGGCUUAUAUCGGCCAGCAUCUAAAAUCUCCGAUACAAGCAGUCCAUUCCAGACUUUGCUCCGACACCUCUAACUAGCAGCGCCCUGAUCAAGCAAGCUGAGCCCCCAAAAUCACAACAACAGUGUGUGUACUAAGGUACAAACAAAGUAGCAAGGAGUAAGAGUGAUGUUGGCCUUGUGGCAGUAUUUUUUGUUGAGGUCCGAAAAAGACAAUGCAGCUGAGCGAAAAACUUGUCAUGCACAAUUUUGUACCAAUAUCAGAUCAGUAUCGGUCAAUAUUGAAGGCUACAAUAGCGGUAUAAUAUCGGAGGUGAAAAAGUUGUAUUGGGACACCCCUACUUAAACUGCUUUAAGGUAUUGAAAAUUACAAUAUAAAAACGGACUGUUUUGUUAGUAAUGGUCUUGUUUAUUCAUAAAAAGGCAUCAGCAUGAGUUUUAACAUUUUCAAAUAGCUCCUCAUUGAAGCUUUACAUAUGUUUUACCAUACAAUCCUUAAAUUUGUUCCUCCUAUGUUUUAAGACUAACUUGUUUUCAGCAAAGUUGAGUAUUGGGUUGUGUGAUUAUAUGGUGUGCUUUUUGCUUCUGCACAAAAACAAAUUGGUCCUCCAGUACCGAUGCUUCAAUCAGUCAGAUACUGACAUGCUGCUAUUCCAUGAAUAAUUAAUGUAUAUCUCUAUCAUACACAAAUUCUAUCCAAAUGGAAUCUGUGCCCUAGGGUCUGGACUUUCAGUAUGGGAGGUGCUCUGGUUCCUGUAGAGGUUCACAAAGUAUUGACCGGUCAUGUUUCUGCAAAAAUAUGUGGAAUUCGAGCCAAACUAACAACAGCUGGUAACCCAACAGUAUAUACCCCUGAACAGAUACCUGCAUGAAAUUGCUUCUCUGGAUUCAACAAUUCCAACUUGAGCAACAAAAUCUGCUUGAAGCUGUGUUACAAAAAUCAAUUAGUGUUCAGGCUGCCAAACUACAUGAAAAGCCCCAGAAAUGAUUGAUCAGACCUGUGUUCAACAAACAUGUGGAUUCUGAAAGUUUCUUUUCCCCUUCAGGACAGACUUCACAAAACCUGCAUUUCAGCUUCAAAUCUUUAUCUUGAUGUUAUUUUGCCAAAUGAAAGCCAAAGUGAAGCCUCUGUGUAUUUUACCAUCCACAGAUGACCUGACUUUUACUUGCAGAUGAAUUGAACAGAUGAAUGGGCACUACUUCAGGGGAUGAUACGGAUCAAGAAAAUUGAUGUGUUUUCAUGCAGGUAAAACCGUGACUCGGAAAAGAAAGUCUUUGUUAGUGGUAAUAUAACACUAUAAGCCCACUCUUAAAUCACUGAUGAGUUGGCAAUUGUCAUCCGAGACAUUGCAUAGGAUUUGUUAGACAAUGAUAAACUGUGAUUGCUGAUGGAUACCAAGAACAUCAUCUUAAAAUUUCUAGGUGACCCCGUAUGCCAUCAAUCGAUAUUCAUAUUUUUUGGCUGUUAUUUUGUCCAUUUAAAUAUACAUUUCUGCUAUUGUGUUAAAGUUGAAUUUCCAGCUAUUUUUUUGGCUUUUUUCCAAUAGCAAAAUCUUUCAAGCUGUGUUGACUCAACCCCAGCCUUGUUUAAGCAUGAACUUUCAACAGUAUGAAUAAAUAUGUCCUUAAGACACACAAAUGUACAAAUGAAAACUUGUUGACUUUACCCUUUCAUUAUUUACAGCUUAACUCUCAUUUCAAAAUAUAAAAGAUUACAAAUGCCAAACCCAUUUUAGGAACAACGAACAUAAUAAUUCUGUCUGUGAAAAGAAUGCGGAAAGCAACUUGGCCUUCUUGGACUGAAAAAAUAAAAAAAACAACAUAACCCAUGGGUUGGAGGGAAAUCUAAAUGGAGGUAGACGAGCUCUGUGGCUUUUAAAUCCCUGGCCUAAUGGACUGUAUUGACCACAUUAAUAAAACAGGAUAUGUGUUUCUAAUGUCCUCUCCGUGGUGCAUUAGGCUUUGCUUAGACGGUGGUUCCAUUUGUUUGUCUGGAUGGCAGCUGGGUGCAAGCAAAGAUCUGAAUCCAAAAACUCAUUUGAUCACUUGCAGACAGAAUGCAGUCAAGAAAUCUCAAAAUCUUCCCCUCACUCUACGCAGUAUAUUACUACAAGGUCCAUUAAAGGUAACACAAGGACAGCAUCUUUGAGAUAAUGUUCGUAGGAAAUUUGACUUAUGGAUAUAAUAGAAAAAGGAGGAUAAAAGGGUAAUGAUAAAAGCUGUGCUGAGGGGUUUCUUGAUAUUAUUAUGUGGUAUUAUUAUUAGCUUUUUUAUGUCAGCCCUUUGGUGUGGCAGAUAUCCUUUGCCUCUAUUCUUUAUAGGUGUUCUCAGUCUAUAUUCAAAAAACUGUGUGACUGCAAUUUGCUCUACACAGGACACAUGAGCCCUACACUCUGUUGUUUGGUCUAUAAUAUUCAGGAUAUAUACUUUAUGCAUCCACUUGUAACAUUUCAUUACUAAAAUGCUGACAUGCUGACGAGACAGAGCUUGUUAAAGUUACUGAAACACCCACACCAAAUGCAUAUAAUGUUCACAGUAGAUACAUCUUCAUCUUCAAUUGAUGUCCAGUCUGUACAUCAUAAUCAGGUUGUCUUGUUUUGUCUAAAAUGUGUCUUCAAACAGCUGUUGUCAGCCAUCUCUGUGUUCUUGUUGGCCAUAAGUUAAAUGACAGACACCUGUCAGCUUUCUGCACUGCCUUGAGAGACCUUCAAAUAUGCUGUUUGAAGUUACUGAUGUCAAGUUCUCUUUCUCUGUCAAUCCACCCAUCCCGAGAUUUUCAUUUUUCCCACAGGCCGUUCCAAUUGUGGCUUCCUGCCUUUUGCUAUCACCUGAACUCCGUAUGAACUAUGUCUAAAGCACCCAACCACCUCAUCGGUUGUUACUUUGACAGAAGUUUUGAGAGAGCUCUUGGAGGGCCCACCUUUAUGUGGGUUUUACUUUUUUCACUCUAGAUUAAAACAGCAAACACAGCCAUGUUUGUGUGUUCUUGGGUUGCAAGUACCAAUGCUGCUAUAUGAAAAAUGGCACUACUUUAACACCUUGAACCCCAUUUUGUUUUUGACUUACUGCCUGCUGACCUCUGUUUUUAAAUAGAUUCACUUCAACUCUAACUUUCUAAAUCUCCAAUGUGAACUCCGAGGCCAAACAUUCACAAUCAUGGCCACUGCAGCAAAGCUAAUAAUCCCCAAAUCAAGGUCUGGUGCACACUGAGCCAUAUCUUAUAUUAGAAAAAUAUCUGUAUUUGGUUUUGCACUUAAAAUAAAGACAUAAAACGACCCAAUCAGUCUAAAAGAAGACCUUUAAACUUUUUAAACCACUCCAGCACAAACUCAGUGUUGCGUUCAGGCCUUUUUCACCCUUGAGCGAGCAUUGUAGAGGGGAGAUUCAUGGCUUUGCUAAUUAAAUUUUUGCAAACCUGGUGGAGCCCCUGGCAGCCAUUAUCUGCCAACAUGAUUUUGAUUAACUGGACAUGAAUACACUAUUAUCUAGAGUUACUGUUUGGGGCUUAUAAACAUCGGCCCCCUAAUUAAAAAGAAUAAUGCACCACAUAUCAUGUCCCAGGCAAUCUGCAUUGUACUCGGAUGUGGUAAAAAAAAAAAUCUGGAAAGUCAAACACCUUUUUAAGUUUGUGCUUAAAAACAAAAAAGAUAGGAUUUCCUUUACACUGUAUAUUCAUGAUUAAGCUUAAACACUUUGACUCUCAGACAUGAUAAUGUGGGCCUUGUUCAUGCUGGUCAUAAUGAAAUAUAUUCACAAACUUGAAUGAUUCUGAACUCAUUUAGAAGCAGUACUACUUAGUACUGGAGGUACUUCAUGUUGCAGAUUCUGCGCAAAUUCAUUGUAUGACCUGAUUCUCUCAGAAGCAACUUGUACACAAAAGCAGUUUGUUGGCACCUUCUACGUAGGCUUUUAGUUUGAUGUGAAAUUAAUGAAUGCAAUUUCAUGUUUCCAGGUCCAACAGCUCUUCUAACAUGUCAGCUUGUCACAAUCCACUCUGACUGUGGAACAGUACAGAGACGGUGUGAUCAGAGAAAUAAACAGGUCAAUGAAUAAUGUGAAAACUAUUAUGAAAACCAUCUCAAGAAAUGUCUUUGUCCUCUUCCAUGAUAAAUUUAGCCAAUAAUGCAAUAAUGCAGCUCAGCCCAAUGGUCUUAAAACGAUGUUGUGGUUUGGGAAAGUGUAAGUAAACUAAGGCAGAAAUCAGAUAUCUGUUAUGGUGGUGCUACAAGAAUAUCUCUAUAGCUGGACCUUUUGAAGUUUGAAGUUUGAAGUUUAUUUCGAUCUGGUCAUAUCCAUUCAAUAUAUACAGUAAAUUACAAGAAAAGAAAGAGAAAAAGAAAAAGAAAACCAGACCGAAAAGGCAUAGGCUGAAGCAAAAGCUUAUUAACGCCUAUCCUUCUUACUAAAUAAAAAUAUUCAAAACAUCUUAUUCCACACGUUAGGUAGAAAACAAAAACAACACAUCAACAAAACAAAGAAUAAAAGAUGACUCAGAAGAAAGAAAAAAAUAAAUAAAAAUAAUAAUAAUCAAAUUAAAUCCAGAAUAUAAAUUAAUCCAUAACCUCAAUCAUUAUUUCUAUAAUUUUCUAUCACCUUGCUUUUAAACAACGCUUUAAAUUUGUGAAUAGUCUGACACGUUUUUAAUUCAUCGUCAAGGGCAUUCCAUAAAUUCACACCUUUAACUGAAGUACACUGUUCUUUGGUCUUGGUUCUAGUUUUUAUUUUUUCCAUCAAAUGUGUCCCACGGAGUUCAUACCUACAUUCCCUUUUUUUAAACAUAUUGACAAUUUUACACGGCAAUGAAUUAUUAUGUACUUUGUACAUGGUCUGUGCUAUUUUGUAGUCCACCAGGUCCUUAAAUUUUAAUUCACUACAAAAUAGCACCAGAGUGUGGAAGGACAUACUUUCCUCACGUAGUUUAAAUUGUGCUUUUGAACAAUGAAACUGUAAAAUGAAAACACCUGAAAAGCAAACUCAGCAAGGCUCAGCUGGGGUGUGGAAGGCUGCUGCUUCUUAAUGGACAGAUUCAGGGUUCAAAUCCAGAAGAAGGGCUCUAUAUGUCAGCAAGGAAGAAAAUGCCAUCCUCACUUAUAGUUAAAACCAUUAAUUCAAGCUUCCACUGUCAAAAGAUAAAAGGACUGAAGACUUUAAAAAUGAAGCAAUGACAGGCUAACCUGUAGAUGAGUGAUGAAGCCUGCUACCUGUCAAUGAAAUGAUCCUGGGUUCAAAACCAGGACAGAGAUACACCUUUAAGUCUCAAAGGUUUCUUGUUAACCUGUGGUUAAGAGGUCAUUGGUUCAAUUCCAGGAUAGAAACACUUUAUGUCAACUGCUUUUUUAACCAUGUAGCUUGAGCUGUGGUUUGAAUUCCUUAUUUGAACUACUACAGUCAAAAAGUAAACUUGAUAAGGACGGACAAAAGCAAACACUGUAGUGUAUUGGGUCAGGCUGCUGACACUUUAUAAAAAGGGUUCUGGGAUCAAGUUUAGGAAAAUAGUUGUACAUUUAAGCCAAGAUUUAAAAAAAAUGCUGUUUUCACAUUUUUGUGAGGCUGUUUGUUAAACUUUCCGAUCAAAAUAUGAAAGUCAAUAGCACUUACAAAAGCAAGAAUUCCCCAAAGUAACCUGCAGUGUAGUGCUUAAGGCUGCUGCUGCUUCACAAAAGGAUUCUUGGUUCAAAUCCAGGAUAGAGGUACUUCAUCUCAGCCAAGAACAUUUUCUUUCUUUACACGUAGUUUGAGCUGCGGCUUGAAUUGCUGUUUUAAACUGUCACAGUCAAAAAGUAGAUGUAACCUACAAAAGCAAUUACUGCCGGGCAAACUUGUAGUUAAUGGUGAAAGCUGCUGCCACUGUAUGAAAGGACUCUGGGUUCAAAUCCAGGUCUGUUUGUGUGAAGGGGGAAAAAAGAAAUCCCUUCCUGAAAUGUCAUUUGAGAAGUGAUUUUAAAGAAUGAAUAAUGAAAAGGUGAAAUGAAAAGUCCAAAAAAAAAAAAAAAGUCCUGCGGUUCAAUGGUUGCCGACUGUCAGUGAAAUGGUUCUGGGUUCGAUUCCUGUGCAGGGUGACAGUGAGGAUGAGGCAGGGACAAUAGAAAGGUGAGACAGGAAAGAAAGGAAGUGGAGGAGUGAAGGAUGGAAAAAGGAAAAGGACAGAUUAACAUCGGUUAAAACAUUUUCACUCCUAAGAGGGGUCAAGAUAAAGAGGGGCCUCAGACAUUUGAAACCUACGUAGAUUUUUACACCAGUAAGGCGUUUCAACACAUUUUGGGUUCCCAUUUAAUUAGUCUUCUCAAAAAAAAAAUUUGAAUUUGUGGACGAUAUUACAUGGCACAGCAAAGAGCUUAGAUGUUUCAAAGACAGCUAAGAAACACAGUAUAUAGUAUCAUCCCCAAGGACAUGUCAAGGCAGAAAAGAAAUGAAAAAGAAUAAAAGAAAACCUGGCUGUGCAAGAGAUGAUGUCCAUCAUUUGAUGCCUCUAGUCCAAGCCUCACAGCUUCUUUGGGAAUCUAUUGUGUUACUCACCUGCGGAGCCAAUCUCCAUUAGCUUUUGACACUUAAAGAAGUAGAUUGGAUUGCUAGGGCUCUAGGUAUGUUAUUUUUUUAGAGCUUUGUAAUAACUUUGAAACUGUGUCACCUGACAAAAAAGCAGUGGGGCUGCUGGGUAUGCCAAACCAGGCGGCAAGCAGUAACUCAAAAUAAAAAAAAAAUAAAUAAAAUGAGAGAACAGCAUUUAACCGGAUACCUUGUCCUCUUGCACUAAUGCAACAGUGGUUCUUAUUCCCAUGAUGACAGCUGCUGACUGAAGAGUAAAAAAACACUUCAAUCUAAGAGUUUAAAGAUCUUAAAUUAAUAAGAGUAUAAAAUGACUCUUCAAGUUGGAGUUAAGCACAUGAAUCUGUCUCUCCUUGAAUUGCAGAAACUCCUCAUUACUGCAUUCAGUCCUGAAUCUAUUCAGUCUUUUUUAGCACAUUGGCCGCAUGACAAUUUCUUCUCCCUUUUCUUCUCCUCUUUUCUUCCUCCUUUUUCCUUGGUUCGGCAGAAAAUAAGAAAUAAAACCAUGUUGUGCUUAUAUAGACAAAUGCAUAAAUCCAGACGAAAAAUGUACAUUUGGUGUUGCAAAUCCUAAUGUAAUCAUUUCAUCUUUCAAAAUAACUUUGACUGGAGCAAUUUAGGUGUUUUGAAAUAUGGUUUUGAUUCCAAUAACAGAGACGGAGAGAAAAAGUUUUAAAAAUAAUAAUCAAGAAGAAAUUGAUAUCAAAAGAAGUGAAUGCCUUUGAUCUCCCUUUGAUUCUUUCAAGAAUUAAAAACAUUUAAUACCCAGCACUCUUACUUAUUUCCCUCUCGUGUUAAAUAUUUGAUUUUGGUUGGUCUAAACCACAAAAAUAAUAAUGAAUUCUGAGCUGCAAUAAACAAUCGACAUCCAGGUCACACACAUAUCGAGUAAAUGCACAGAAAGACACUUUCAUAGCAUUUGUAGUUUAUGAUUUUACCUCCUAUACUUUUCAUUGAGAUGUUGUCUUACUCUGUCUGGGUUUUAUUUCCCAUAACAAACCCGUACAUCAUUACUUUAUUUAGCUUUUUCUUUUUAAAGUAUGGGAUAAAAAGUUCAAGCUAAUUGCAUUUGGUAUUACAUUGUAGCAGAAAAACUCAGCCUGUAAGUGCUUUUUACAAGUUUUAUAACAAUGUGUUUACAUGCAGUUUGAAAUGGAUUUAUUUCCCUAGUCAGUCUGAAACUGGACUUUUCAAAAACAUGUAAACUCAGUCCAACUGCUGUCGCAGUUUCAGACUAACAGGACAUAACUGUAAAAAUAACAGUGUUGUAGUUUGAUGUACAUCCUGUUAGCCUCUUGCUAACGCAUUUUAAUACAGUAGGCGACCGCACAGCAAUGAGCUGAAAGGAAACAUGUCGCCUCCUAAUGUAGCAAAGGUGGACACGCUUCUGUUGAUAAUUAGAUUCUUUCUCUGUGCUUCACUGUGACAAAGACAGUUGCAUGGUAAAAUCAGCUAAUCGAGCUAUGAACAUAGCUUAACUUAACUGUGCAAUUACAAAUACUGACUGACAGCAUUACAGAGUACUGCAAGAGAACAUUGUUACUUAAAAAAACCAAGACCCAGUUGAUAUUUGAAUUUUCUAUGCAAACUCUUCUUCAGGAUUUAUUGACAAAAUCUAAUUUAUGAGACACCAUGAUAAAUCCUCUCUAAUAAUUGCUCUUGGAGAAAUAUAAAUCAACUUAAAUUACACAAAUUGUGAUCUUCAUGGAAGUGUUUAAGAGGUAUCCAUUUGUUCAGCGAGACGGAUGGCAAAAUUAAGUGCAGAUUUAUUGUUGUCAAAACGUAUCUUCAUUUAUUCUAACUCUGGUUGCGAUUCUAAUUCUUAAAUCACUAAAUAAAUUUUAACAGCAUUGUAGUGCAUUGCAAAGGAGCAGGGUUGGUUGUCACAAUUUAUACUCUUUUAAUGAGCGUCUCCCCAUCAACACAUCUCAGAAUAUCUUUAUCACAAGGAAGCUUCAUGUCUUGGGUUGGAAUCGAUAUCCUUUUCAAUUUUUCACUCUUUAUUUUUACACAUUGUGACAAGGAUCCUUAUACUGGGGUUGGUUGUCAUACAUAAUAGGUUUGGUUAUCCCUCGUUAUUUGAAUGACUUUUUAUUUUUAGAUGAUGACAUCUGAAUGAAAUUCAAGAGGUUUUGUUUUAUAAUAAAGUAUCUUGCCAAUGUUCUAUAAUUGAUGUUAAACGUAUUGGUAGUGCUCCGGAUGCCCUUGUGCUGUAUCUUUAUCUGCCUGACUGCCAUCAUCAUUAUCACCUCAGUUGGAGUCUCGCCCUUCUUUCUCGCAAACUUCCUUGUGGUCUUCUUUAGCAUAAAAUAUAGAGCUGCAUAUAAAUUUUCCCAUAUUCAAACUACUUCAGAAUUCAUUGAAGGAAACCAUUUUCCGAGAACACAUGUUCAACCUCUGAAGGGAACAAAAUUUAACAUGGAUGUAUCUUCACCGUAAGUUAUGUUUAAUUUAGCCUUAACUGAUUAUAAAUGCCAUGAACCAGUAAAAACGGUUCCUGUGAUCUCAGUCUGACACAAAACCACAUACAGAAACCUUGUGAAUGGUCUCUUUCGGUCCAGCUCUGAAAGAGAUGUGCAAUUACAUUUGAGGAUUGCUCUUUGAAGGUUGCCCUUUGAGGAUCAUAUCUUUUACUUUGGCAUCAAUCUCAGGAAUCAGUACGGAGCUUCCACAGGAUGUUAACGCAAUAGACUGUAGAUAUCGCCCACACAGCUUCAAAGAGACUUAAGAUUUCUUGAUGUGUUUUUUUUUUUUAUUUUUAUAUAUCCUCUUGUGGUAGCUGCUUAGCUCAGGUACUCUGAAAUUAUGUGAAUAUAUUUUUCACAAAGAUAUAAGGCUGCUUGACAUUAAAGAUUUCUACAAUCCAAAAUACUGUGUUUGAAAGUGUGUAAAGUUUGAAGGCUUAAUUCCUUGAAAAAGUUUCUGACAAAGACACUUACAAGGCUUAUCCCACCCAAGUACUGCUUCAUGUACAAGUACUUUUACUUUUCUGAAGGGUUAUUCAACCACCAUCCAAGCUCUGUCCAUAAUCGUAUUCUCAAACACUUUAACCACUUGAACUCUGGUGGCCUCUAGAAAGGAUGAUAAAAGAAAGGCACAUUAAAGGAAAAAAGUUAGUCUUACCUGAAUUUGGGAUGCAUUAACUGAUGACUACAGCCUUGUUGGUACUUCUCAUUCAUUAUGCUUUUCUUAGUAUUCCCUAAAAUCAGCUUUGAUUUGUCUUGAUUCUAAAGCAUGGACCCAGCAGCAACGAGGGCUUCAGCUAACUCCCAUCCUCAUCCCUGUAAUUUUGUUUAUACCUGCCACAGGCCGGAGCAUAAUUUGACGUAACAGAGUUUUACCUCCUUCUUGUCUGCAGAAUAUCGUGACCCUUCAUUACAAAGCUUUCAUGUAUCCAGUUCCUCACCGUAGCACAGGGAUUUGGUUGGGGUUGGAGUGGAUUGGUUUGAGUGAAGUCUGCAGGAAGCACUCUUCUUAAUGCUGGCACUGGAGCGAUGUUUAAAUGUGCUCCAGGGCUCUCAAGCAAAGACCCUUCCCCUCAAUUAGAUUGAUUCAGAAGCCUGUGGCUUUGACCUCCUCUGAAACACAAUUUGUCUAAUUUCUCUCUGAUUUUAGGAUGUCUCGAGCAAUCUCACAAGUGCUUACAGUUUCCAGGUUCUGCAAGUGUUCUGCCACUCCACUUCUUUUUAUCUUACAUCAUGCACUACGGUAUAUCUAUUCAUGAGAGCUAAGAGGUUUGACCAGACCAACACUUCCAUAGGCGCUGACAUGGACGCAAGUUUAUUUACACAAUGUGAGCAUCGAAAUGAAAACUGCUUCAGUGGAAAAUAACAAUGGUACAUGAGCUACAUACCACGACACUUUGCUCUAGGCAUACAAAAGGGUCCAAUGACAUUCAGGUAUGUCUCAGCAGUAAUCUCCAUGGCACAGGGAGGAAUCUGCCACACGACUUUAUGCUGUUGAAGGCUUGUAACAACACAGAUUUGAUAGAAAUAUAAUAACCGCCCUUGAAACGACUUCAUUAAAUUGCCUAAAAGCUUUAAAUCCCAUGACCUGAAUAUAAAUAAAAUCAUUCUUUGUGCACAAUCUUAUUUGCUGCAGUUGAUUUAGCCCAGGCUAUUAGGUGGACUUCUCCAUCUGUAAAAGAAAAUCCCAACUGCAUUGCUUUAAAAGCUCUUCACCUCCAGUGCCGCCUUUUAGGCAGAGAUGUUUUGUUGAUGGCUAUUAUCUUCAAGUUGGAUAGAUCUAGAGCAAAGAAAAUGUUGCUUUAAAAAUGUCCUCCAGAUUUCAGACAGGACAAAAGCCCAAAGUGGCUAGACGGUCAGGUCAAACCUGGUGUCUGUAUGAAUGUCCUGGUGCAAUUAUUCAACUGGUUCUACAUCGUGAUAUUUAUGAAAAGGAUAGCAGCUCCGGAGGACAUACGUAAGAAUAAAGAAAAAAAAAUCUACAUAUUAAUUGACGGGUAAAUGAUUUGCCCAGAGUGCAAAAGUAUCAAACUCUUAAUUAAUUUUUAUCUAUGCAGCAAAAGUUUUCUCAUGACCCUCAACACAAACGGCAGGUCUAUGUUCCCUGUAACAUCAUUUGCAGAGACUCAACAUUGAUCAACCAUGAUAAAGCUCUUGGCAGAAGUGACCAAAAACUCUGUCCACUGAACAGGCAGAAACCUCAACUAGAUCCAGACUCAUUGGUGGACAGCCAUCUGCCAUGAAUAAACCUAGAAAGUAGAAAAAUUGACCUCAACAUUAACCUUUGACCUUACUGAAGUUCAGUCACUUCCCCUUGUUUUUUUUUUUUUUUGUCCAGAGAUAUUCAACAGGGAUUACUGUACAUGUUCCCAGGUUCUGGUAGCCUGGCUGGGCCAUCCAGUUGCGUGAAUCACUCUCCGUUCCUUCCCACAACAGUCUGGACUUCGGCCAAUUGGGAGCCUGUAUUAGAAAUCAGAAAAUAAGCGGGCCAAUCAGUGACUGUGUUUCCACUGUUCCCCGGACAACAGGGAAAGGCAGCCACUUAUUGAUCCAUGUGUAGAUGGUGACGUCUAACACGUGCUUCGGGACUUUUCAAAGCGCCGUUCAUACAGAACGCCGUUAAUUCUGCAGUUGACCUUGCAAAGUCGUCAGAAAUCGUUUAUAUCCGCAGAAGAAGACGUAAUAGACAUUGUUUGCUCACACAGAGCCCAGCAGGUAACACAGUUGCACACUGUGAUGACGUCAGAUGUUUGGUUACGGUGAUUGGUUACAGUAGUCUUUCUAUCAAGGAAAGUACUCCCACCCACUUUUAGGGCUUCCAAUUGGCCGAAGUCCAGACUGUUGUGGGAAGGAACAGCAAGUGAUUCACGCAACUGGAUGGCCCAGCCAGGCUAAGGUUCUGGUGCUUACAUGUGAAAUAUUUCCAGUAGGGCUGUUGUGAUGUAUUGGUACUGAUAAUAACCAACACUAACAUUGUUUUUAUUAGUGUUUCUGUAUGCUGGUUGCCAUAUAUCAUAAUAAAAUAGAUAAUAUCCAGUCAGCGAGCUAGCUGAAGCAGCCCACUGAGAUGGGAUUGGGCACUUUUUGGACAAAUUUUAAAGAUGUUUUGUACAACCAAAAACAAUGUAAGAGCCUGUGACUCUCUGAGUUACCAAGAAAAACUAGACAUUAAUACUUAAUAAGCAUUCUUUUGACUGUUUUCGUUCAGUUCUGCAACAGAUCUACAGGGAGUAGCAUAAAUAAAUUGAGGCAACUAUAAUCCAAGAUAGGGAAAAAAAAAUCCAAAUAAAAGCACACACACAAAAAAACAAUCCCUCAAAGAGACAAUGAGUCAGUCCCAAGGCAGAUGAUAAAUCAUGUUUGAAUAUUUUUAGAGUUGGAUGAUGACAUGUAAGGCUAAUUGGGUUUAUCAAUUAAGUUUAUGAAAUAAUGUGUUGCUCCACCCUUGUCUUGCAGUGCCUCAAUUUGACUGAUUCUAUUGUUUUGCUUUCAAGUUUUACCGCAACUAAAAUCUGAUAUUAUGACAGCUCUUAUUAGAAGCAAAGCAAAGGUUAAAGCUAUGCUGCCGUCCCAUGGGACAUAUUGGUGUAUAAUUGAACAGUUAGGUAUGACAUGCAUAAGUAAAAGCAGGAGAGAAUGAAGAGAGAGUAUGACAUCCUAAAUUAACAACCCUAUUGGUGAUGACAGUAUGCGCACUCAGCAGAUCACAGACGCACCAUCUUGUGGUUGACAAAGGAUACGUCUCCAUUUAGAUCCUCGUGUGGUUUGAGAAGCCUGAGACCAGAUGUGGCCCAAGGGAGAAGCGGACCAGCUGGAUAUUUUUUAUAAGCUCCGCACAAUGAAUGACGACGUUGUAAAUAUUUAUUGAAGUAUAUACAGGUCCUUGGUUGAAGGGAACAUUUGAAGCACAAAGAGCUGCAUGGCUCAUUUGCCCUAAGAAAAUAGAUUGAAAUAAUUACGAGUUAUAGAGCUGAUAAACUUAUUGGUGCUUAACUUUAAUCUCUGCUUACAUAAUAGCCUUUUAGCAUAGAUUUUAACACUGUACAGAUAAUGGUCUCUUAUCCCUCUGGUGUUUUGCUGUUGAGAAAAACUCACUUUUUAAACUGACCUUGGAGAAUUUGACUUUGAUGACACCGUGACUCUCCGCAUUGUCUCUGCCACUGCAUUCUAUAAACAGAUAGUGGCUCAAAUAGGAUUUUCUCCCCUGGGAUGCAGUAGCAAUAAUCCACUUUGUUACGUUACCUUACAUGACAGGCAAAUUUCUCAAUUUCCCCUAAGUGGUGGGGAGUCAAGACUGUGCUUAGGUUUGCAUUUCGAAUCUGAGCACACACACACACACACAUACAUUUUUGAGUAUUUAGAUGUGAAAGUCCAAAGACAAGACUGGGACUAGCUUAGUCAUGGCAGUUGAAGCCAUUUCGAAAUGCUUUUAAUGACUAAGCUCUCCGUUCCAAAUUUGGUGCUGCCAUUUUUCCAUUUCUCUCUCUCUUUUGAGUGUCGCCCAGCCAUCUGUAGUAUCCUGGAGUGGUCCCUAAACAUAUCCAUACAGUGAAUGGUCAGACGUGGCACACAAGAAAAGGACAAGGAAAACAUAUCAUAAAUCAUAAGAGCUCCAGGCCAGAAAGGCAACAGCAACAUCACACCAUUUGUCUCUUUCUCUUUCAUCCGCUCUAUCUCUCCUGCCUCCAUUUUAUCCUCCUCCCCUCCAUUCAUCAUUCCCUGUAGCCCAUCCUUUUAGUCCAGCCUUAAUCCCAUUUUCCCUUCAUCCACUUCUCCUCCCUCACAUCUCCUACUUUUGACUUCGAGGCUGUGUUGAAGGCCAGUUUUUGUCUGACUGUUUACUGUUGCUAGGAAACAUGAAAGUCCUCAGACAUGGCGCAUUGAUUUGUUCUUUUUGAUUUGUGAGUGCGUGUAUCUGCGCAAACGAGCAGGUGUUUCUCUAAAUUAUUCUCCAAGGCCAAAGGCAAAUCUGUGAAUCAGAUACAAAAAUGGUGGUGAGAUUGUUGUAGAGAAAAAAAGGGAACAUUUGAGGCACUUUGAGUCAAGCUGAAAAUAAAAUUCACGAGUUUCAUACAAUUACCAAACUCUUACUGCUUUCGCCCGUUUGUGAUCAGACUAGAUUCUUCUUUCUUGCGUAAGUUGUCAGAAGAUGUUAACAGAGUUGUUCCAGUUGUUUUUUUUUUCUUGCCGGUAGAUCAAAAAACUGGAUCAGCAAAAGACCAAGAAAAACACCCAUGCAGAAAAAAGUUAGUUUCUUAUCAUUUCAUUGGUAUUAGUGGUAAGAGGCGCCUGCUCUACUCAAUAGUAGAGCCGAUCGUGGCUCAAUCAGAAGGUCGGGGGUUCAAUCCGAGGCCCACGUGCCGAGGAGUCCUUGAGUGAGUCACUUGACCCGGUGUGCCCUCGUUGGCUGAGCACAAUGGGAUUCACUGUGAAUGGGAUUAGUCAAAAACUGAUAGGCUCUAUUUAGCAGCCUCUGCCAUCAGUGUGUGAAUGUGGUGUUAAUGUGUGAAUGUGACAUAUAAUGUAAAAAUACUUUAAUACUUGAGAAAGUGCUGAAUAAUCAAAGUUCAUUUACAAUUCAACAGUCUAGGUGCCUAUGAACUGGUUUAUAGCACCAUUUCACAGUUCUGAUCUGGUUGAUUGAGGUUUUGUUGUGCUAUCUCUGCAAACUAUUCUCAGUGUCUUUGCUCUCAUGACACUCAGAAAUUGGCCUUUGACCUUUCACAAGAGUAUUGCCAGUCUGGGUGACCGACCAGGCAGUGUACGGAGGAAACAGCAUUGACAUGCAAUUUACUGCCUCCGCCUAAAAUUAGGGUGACCAUAGGUCCUCUUUUACCCGGGUUGUCCUCUUUUUUGGGGGGCUGUCCAGCCUUGUCUGGCCUUGUCCGGGGGAGUUUAUAAAAUCCUUCAAAUGCCUGGGGUUUAGUAUGGAAGUUUUGAGUUUGUGUCACAUGGACUUAAUGAGUUAGAAGCGCGUAAAAAACACUCAACUUGACUUGAAAACUCUCAAGUUUACUUUGCGUGACUCUGUGACUCCGUUCCCACGUAGUUUUUGGGGAUUCAGAAUAUGGUCACCCUACCUGAAAUGAUGCUAUGUGGACUCAUAAUGAAGGCAAAAAACAGAGAAAAAACUCACGAAAAGCUCGUCAGCCUGUAUUUUAAAGAAAAUAAGUUGUAUAUUCCACAAGACAGAUGUCACAAGGCUAAGCCCUAUGAAGAAACAUGCUAUAAGGCUAGCUUUAGCAAGCAGCAGCAUGAGUAACCCAACAAUAAACAGUUUUUCUUAUCAUUUGGCUUGAUGCCUUUUGUAGUUGGUUGAUUCAUUCAAUCAAAGUUCUGAGACACCAAGUAAACAGCAUUAUAUUGAGCAUGAUAAAACUAUUUCACAAGUUAAGAAUGAAGUUAAAUAACUUCUUAAUAAAGAGAGAGACAAAAUAUCUAAAUGUCAUGAACUAGUCAUUCGUCACAAUUGCGGAGAAGCUGAGAGGAUAGAUCAACAGUGUUAUCGUUUUCAUCAUUACAAUUUGAACAUGACAGAACUGCUCUGUUGUCUAAUGUGGUACAAUGAGCUCUGUCAUGUCAUAUAACACAUUUUCAUAUUUCACUUCCCAGCUAGCUGUCAUAGUGAGACAACUUAGUAUAGGUGUUUAAAAAAAGACCACAGUUAUUGUUUAAGAUUUCACAGUAGGCCGAGUCUGUUUUUUGUGGAAAAGUAAUCAUCACUAUGAUGUUAUUUUGAAAGACACUGUCUCUUUUUCUUCCUCAUCAUACAAAAUUAAAAUAACUUUGGAUUUUAAAUUUGUGCUAAACCAAACAUUAUUGAAAUACACUGAAUUGUUUUUUAUUCAGUGGUUUGUUUUGAAUGGAGUUAAAGCCAACAAGGUUUAAAUUGGACAACGAAUGAAAAACAAGCAUUUGAAAAGUUGUUAACUUCCCAUCUUGAAGGCAGACCUGACAAACCCUGCAUUUUCACACAAUCAUAACACACGGUGUUGUUAUUUUGGCUAAAAUGAAACCUGUUGAUUGCGAGUAAGAAAAAGACCAGUUUUUGUUAUUUGUUGUUGUUUUAUACCCUUGAAGCAAUCCAAGAGUGAAAACUCUGUGAAAAUUACAUUUUUAUAAUUAGACAGAUGAACAGACACUAUUCAAAGAAAAGUCUUUCUGAUGCAGCCAUAAAUGCUGUGGGUAACAGUGUUUUGGCUGCAGGUAAACCAAGCGUCAUGCCUGUGUACCUUCAUGUCUACGGUAAAAUUGGGUCUCACCAAGAACAGAUGAACCAGCACUGUUCCAGGGGAUGUGGAAAAAAAGUGAUGCAAUAUAAUGAUCACUGCGUCCCUCCAAAAUAUCAAACAUCAAUAUAAAAUAAACUAAAUAUCUAACCCUAAUUCAUGUGCGCUACAGGUAAAUAAAGGUAAACUACCUUAUCAGUGAAUGGUGGACCCAUAAUAGAGAAGUUGUGCAUCACAGCCACCUACGUAGUCAAUGUGUAGAGCUUUCUUCAAUUAGGAACAUGAAUUCACCAAAUUGUUAUAAACUUCGCUUUUCCAACUUAAGGACACACUAACAACUGUCUUGAGUUGUGGUGUUAAGUUAGUGAAAGGCUGGACUAAAUCUAGUCUUAGGGUAAGGAGUUCUUGUUCUGUGUACAUCUAUGUGACAUAUAAAAGCUGGUGCCUUUCAUUGAGUCUCCCAUGCUCAGAACAUUCAGUAAUAUAGUUUUAUGAUUUUAUUUCUCAUUUGAUUUUGUCGUCUCUUCCCAGGCUCUCUGCUUGAACCUAAUCUAAAUUUACUGUCGCUUCAAUUAUAUUCAGUAAUGAAUUGUUUUGAAUUCUGUUCAGCGCAAACCAUGACCAAGGCCUCUCCCUAAAAACAUGACAAAACAAGUAAUAAAGUAAAAUGCAAUACUGAGGAUGGAUGGCGUGAUCCAUGUGUGGACAGCAAAGCAGCUACAUCUGCAGCUUCAAAAAAAAAAUAGCUCUGGGAAAAUCGCUGUAGUUCCUCAGCUGCAGAACAGUUUAAUCACAUUUUUCAUACGAUAGGGUAAGUAUUAAAGGGAGGAUGGAGAAGGGAAAAUGUCUGAAGGACAAAAGCAUGAUGCAUGCUUCGCAGUGUGAUGACUGCAGAUAGGGUCUGGAUGUCUUUUAUUGCUUUUAUAUUUGCUCCUGUCCUUGGGGUUCUUCAUGAAUUGGAAUUUGUUUCCCCGAGGUGUAUUUCUUCCCCCCACGCAGUGACAAUAAGCACAUCCAAAUGCCAGGUAAGGAACAUGCCUCUCACAGGCCUGCUUAGGCUGUUAUGAAACUCGUACUUAACACUAAAAUAAGGUUUCAAGUAAUACUUUAAAAAGGUAACCAUAUUAAAUUUCAGUAAACUAUGACAUAAAACAUGUUCUUAUUAACAAAUAAGAUAAAUAAUGAAAAAAAGAAAAGAAUAAAAGACCUGCAGCACUGGUGAAGCAGCUGCACUUAAGCAGCUUAUUAACAUCAAAGAUGCACACAGUAGCUGCGUUUACAUGGGCACAAAUAAUCAGAAUAAAUGCCCAAUCAGAAUAAAAAUGCAUCAUGUAAACAUGUCGAUUGGAAGAUUCUGAUCCAAUUCAGCUCAAUUGAAAAGAAUUGUAUUCCGCAGUAAGAGGGGUGGUUUAUGCCAAUCAUUAUUCGGAAACACGUCCAUGUAAACACUUACUUCGAUCGCGACUCUCAUACCUGAUUCGAUCUUCACUCUUCAGCCUUUGGUUAAAGGCAUAAAACACAACCCCAUGUUCCGUGUCUGCUCCUUCGGUAACAUAACAAGGCGUACAUACAGCGUAAUGAUGUCACAUCUGCACGCACAGUGCAAGUUUGACAGAACAGUAAAGUAAGAGCGCCAUCUAGUGACAACAUUCAACAGGGGUAAAACUCCUGAAUUGGAUGGAGUGAGCCACUACCGCGUUUGUUGGUUUGUUGACAGCACAGGCGUAAAUGCAACUCUUCCUCCAUGGUUGUUCCGCACAUGUUCAAAUGCUUCUAAUCUAAAUAAAGCUUGGUGCAUAUAUAGGCACGUCAUGAUCGGAUUAUUUGACUUUACACAUAUAUAAGUAGUGGAUUCAGAUUAUCCGAUCCCUCAAAUUUUUAAUCGGAUCAAGAAAUUCUGCCCAUGUAAACGUGGCUACUGUCGCCACAAAAGUAGAGGUACCUGUAGCUAUUCACUCCAAUAUAUUUGUGGGCCUAUCUUUCAAGGGCUUUGUUUCAUUUCCCUCUUCAGUCCAACAGUCCAACACCUCAUUCCCUCAAUUUAUGAUGAUACAAAGGUUAGAGACUCAGAGAUAGACAUGCACAACUGCACAAGUGUACUCCAAAAGUCCUUUUAAGCUGUCUGGUGUUCCAGGGGAGGCAGCCCCCAUAUUCACACUUAAAACUAACUGAAUGAAUAAAAAGCUGAAGGUGCUCCUGCUCAUGCCAGAUGCCUGCCAGAUGUCAUAUGGGAGCCAAGAAAGCAUGGGGGCUGUCACUUUCCCUGUGACAGGGAGCAUGCAGGGACCUAAUGGUUUGCCCUCACUGUCAGCUGCAACCACCCAGCAGAUCCCACCGAGGAGUGCUCAGGAGGUGUGCGGCUUUGUUGUUUACUCCUCCCGAGACAGCUUGAUGAAUGGAUUUGUGAGUGAGAGGAUAAAUUCUUUGCCCCCAUAGAUUGGUUGUCCCAACCUGGUGUGGCCAGUUCCCAUGUUCUCUGCAAAUUGUUUCAAUAAAUAAUCAUUCCAACAUGUCAAGAGACAACACAUUUAACAUGCCCUUCCAUACAUGUGGUUCCCAAACUGUUUUCUUUAUGCUAUAAGAUCAAAAUGUGCUCUUGUCUCAAGUGUGUUCAUUUGACACUGGUGGGCGGUUGUAUUUAAACUAGGCUACCAAUCAGGGUGUCAUUCAGGGUUGUGUUAUUCCUGUCACAGUGCUGCAGUAUAAUGAUUAUUCAAUUGCAAACACAUGUCUAGAAUGAACGAAUAGUGCUUGGUGACUUUCUUCAGAUAUUAAUUUGCCACAUUGGUGUCAGUCAGGAACAAGUACUGACUGAAAAAAAGCAUUCUCAUCUCAACUGAGUGAUAUAAAACUUCUAUUUUACAAUUGAAUACCAGUCAAUCAGUACAAUAAGGCAUAAUGUAUAGCAAGCGGGUAGUCAAUAAAAAUACUAUUGUGUAAAGACAAGACAAAUGAAGGGUUUUGUGCACCCUAUACAUUUUUCUGCUUAUUUCUGACUACUAUCUACUGCCAAGUAUUGAUUUGAGGAUGAUUUUAGUCUUAAAAUCUAUAGUCUUGGUUUGCCGUGCUUCCAUGGCAACAGUGUACCUAUCAGUGCACUAGGGGGUCAAAUUAUCAUCAAACAUUUCUAUUUAGACUUAAAUUGCAACUAGUAUUCUUAACCAAUGUAGAAAAUAACAGUAGCACCUGUAAAAAGUUGCUUUGACUCCUGUUAUUUCAUUUUCACUCAACAAGUCCCAAAAAGCUGCCAAAGCCUAUUCUUUUCCUGUUUGUUUCAUGUCUGUUUUCUUCAAUUUGAUUGAUGUCUCUUACACUCAGUUCCCUUUCUAUUUUAACAACCUUUACUAGCCCCAGUGCUGUUUUCUUCGUCUUGUCUUCUUUGCUCUACUGGUGACUGAUCUGCUAUUUACCACAGAAAAAUGGCACAAAAACAAAGGGUCUAUCUGAUGGCCAGAUUUUCAAGGUAGAGUGUACACUUACUCUGAGAUUAGGUCUUGGGUCACAGUCUCUCAAAAGCAGAGUUGGCCCCAUCUGCCAAAAACGAUAGCAUCCCUUGCGCCGUGUUUCUACCAGCAGUUUAGUUUUCACUCUUCGUUUUUGAUUUUUUAUUUUUUUUUUGGAGCCAAGCUACCUCUGCAUCUCUAACUAGUCCACUCAAUAGUUACAUGUAACUUCAGAAAUGUCCCCCCGUGUUGUUUUCCAGUUAUACUAGAGCCUGUUUUUUGCCACAGUGUCAACAGGAAGAGGUGAAUUAUCUGAUUUGACAUGAUAUGUGUGAACUGGUUGUCUCCUGUGUUGAUCCUACCAUGCAGGAUUAAAUGACUGUGAUGGUGUUUUGACCGAUCAGGAUCAAGUCUUUCACACUGCUAGGCGCAAAGUAGGGAAAAUCAGGUAUCAAGUUUUAGUAUUUAAGCACCGAGUUACAACACAGUUUUCUUAUAACAUUUCAUUAAACUUAAUCUAGUCUUUAUGCUGUAUAAUUAACAGAGGCCCAACCAUGAUCAGGCACCUGACAACACUAUCAAGGGAAAAACAGUUUUAACAAGAAGAAAUCUUUAGUACCAGAUUUAUCAGUGCAAGAACUGGGUGGCCUGAGAAAGUGGGACAGAGGGAGGGUCAGGAAGAGAAAUGGACUGAGACAAACACAAACAUAUGUACACAAAGCAAAAAGGAAAAAUAAUACCAAGAGCAGACGGUAAAGACUUACAAGGUGCCAAGAAUAAUACCCAGUGCGCAUAAUUGUGGCCUCAGUCAAAAAGGUGAAAAUUCAAGUCAUGUAAAAACUUUAAAACAGACCAAAGUGUUUCCCAGGCAAAUGCAAAAUUAAACACUAUACCAAAAAUUUAAGAUGAUAACUUAAAAUGAUUACACACAAAUAAAUCUUAAAUUCCUGUUUUUAAAAUGCUUUCACCUCUUCCGUCGAAAAAGGACACUUUGAGCUGUGCUUUGACAAAAUGUGUUGAGUAGGCACAUCUUGUGUGAGAGGGCAGUCGCCUCCACAAAUAGAGGCACAUACCUGAAAAAGUGUGAUCCUCCUGAGUUUAUGUGAAGCCUGAGGGACAAUCAGGAGAGGCUGCUCAGAGGACCUGAGUGGUUGUGCUGGAGUAUAAGGAUUACAAGGUCUGAUAAAUAAGAGGCAGCCAAUCCAUGACUUAUAAAGUUUUAAAAUGGCCUCUAGAAUUUACAGGGAACCAGAGGAAGGUAGAUAUAAGAGUGGAGUACAAUACUUAGAGUGUACCAGGUAAAAGUCUGGUUGCAGCUUUUUUAAAGGAUAGACAAACUGACUGACCUCCUUAUAGAGGGAGUUAUAACAGGUGAAAAAAACAUGGAUGACCUUAACCUUGGGUAGAGCUUACAGUUAUGGACGUCAUUUAUAGACAAUUUUUGGGCUUUGAGUAUUAAAACUAUAUUUCACUGGAAAGGUGUAUCCCAUAAAAUGCAAUAGUUUAGUCAUUUUCCCCCAUUUCUCCUCUGCUGACUAAUUACUUUGGAGGUAUUUCUUUGCAAUAAUCAUUUCUGUUCUCCUUUUACUAAACUUUGCCAAGUGUAGGGAAAAUUCAGUUUGAGGGUGGAUCCAUCUUGCAAAGCUUCAAGCUGAUAUCAUUGCUUCUGGUCAGAGAAUGACCAAACCAAUUAUGCUCUCUUUGGAAGUUUAUCUUAAAAAGUUAGAGGGGAUUGUUGGCACCACAGAUAAAUCGUAGAUCACAUGAUCAUACACAUACCUAGCAGUGUUUGUAGUUCUGAUUGUCUUCAAUGUCAAAGCCUUUUUCCAAUCGUGCUCUUUUUUUUAAGUUUCCACACUUUCCAAACACCAUCUUUGGGAUGUUACACAGAUAAAUUCAAAAUAUAUCCCAUGCCAUGGACACAUUGAAUAGUCCAUCUGGUGUACCAGGCCUCCUUUUACCUUUAGAGUAAAGAUGCAUAUCAAAAUCUCCAACACAAAUUGGUGUUCAGGCACAUUGAUUUCUAUUAACAGCAUGUUUAACUGGUUGUAAUUAGGGUGUUGGCCUACAGAUCUGACCUGCUUCCAACCAAAUUUCAAUAUUUCAUCCUGGUCAGUGCUUACUGGGUGAAAGUACCUGUAAGUAUCAUCUGUAAGUUUAAUUAUGAUGCUUAGAGUAAAACAGGUCUUCAACAGAAGGGAAAAUAUUGUGCAGAAUUGCAAAAGUAUCCACUUCAAAUAUUAUUAUCUAGAUGUAACCAUGGUCUCAAACCAACUCAUUAAUGAUAUAAUUAAUGACAUUAACAUGAAUAACGUUCCUCUGAUACUCAUUAUUUGAUUGAGAGGUGCUUCAGUCAUAUCCAAGGUUGUUCCUACAUGGACUCAUUCAAAAGGGAGGCAGCGUUUUGCCACUGCAGUGAAUCAUCAAGGUCGGCCAUGGCGUUCCAUUUCCUCCUACCACAUUCAGCACAUAAGAAAUGAACACUAGGCGUAUACGUUCCAUUACAAUAUUACAGCAAGUUAAAAAGAUAGCUAAGGUUAUUUCCUCUCAUGCUGAUAAAACCAAUUUUCCCCUCAGGCCUUAAUGAGGACUGCAGAGCCUUUUAUAUUAGGCUAUAGCGCCUUAACCUAUGGGAUAUUGAUGAGAGGCAAGCAACUGCAAUCAUGAAAUGAUGGUCUUUAAGUCACAACAGCAUGAAUAACUUAAAGCAUUUUCCCAGUGAUACAGAGGGUCUGUGAAUAUUUCUUUUUAGCUCUGUGCAUGCUCAUAAUUCAGCAUCAACCUCAUCAUAUACUUUGUACGACACAAGAUUAAUAAGGUGUGGCUAGAGAGGUCAGAAAGAGGUUAAAAAUGUAUGUUUGAUUAGUCAUUUGGGCAAAACAUGAGAUCAGAGUUUGCAGGUAAACCAUGUAGAAUUGGUUCACCCGGUGUGGUUAUCAUGGUCCGAGCUUAACCAUCAGCCUUCAGUCUUUCUUGCAGCUUAACCUCCACCUUGUCAUGUUGCUCCAGUUGAAUAGCUGCAUGCCAGUUUCACCAGGCUCAGCCUCCAAACAACUUUAUCCUCAUUAUCUAGACCAAAAAACAGGCAAGACAUCAGGGCUGCACGAUAUAUGGUUUGAGCAUCGUCAUCGCGAUGUAUGUGUGUGCAAUAGUCACACUGCAGAGCCUUCGAUGUAGGAGGCAAUCAACUCAUCUAAUUUCAAGAGUAGCUGACUGAGAUACACUGCAUGUGCUGUGCAGCAAUCCGCCAAUCACAUCAGGCGACCCUGCCAGCCUUCAAUCAAAAUCAGAGAGGAGGAAACAUCGCUCCUGCACAUCGAGUGAGUCGCUGGCGCUGCUGGUGUUGUGCCAAGAAACGCAUACCUGCCAAGGUAUUUGCUUUGGGAACAUUUCUUAUCACUGUUUAGCCCCACAAAUAAGAACUGUAUGGGUUUAAGGCCUGGACGAUACAGAAAAAAAGCAUAUCGAUAAAAAAUAAAUCAUAUUGAUCGAUAGCGAUAAUUAUCGAUAUAAUUGUUAUAAUUAUUUAACAUAUAUUUUAAUUGCAGCCCUGGAUGUUUUAUGCUAUUGCUUAAUGAUCUAUUUUUAAUAAAGAACACACAAGCACUGAAUUCAAAUUCAAACCUUUAUUCAACCACCUUUUUUAUUUUACCACAACUGAAAGUUUUUUAAAAAGGAACUUAAAAAAAAAAAAGAAAUCAACUUAAGUGGCCUGAGUGACGUCAGUAAAUACUGACAAACAUAAAGACUAAAGUGACCAGAAAAUCUGAUGAAUAAAUAUUUAAAUAGUCUUUUGAUGAAAAUAAACAAAACAAACAAAUAUAUUAAUAAACAGAAUAGCUUUAGGUGGGAAUAGCAUACUACCAGUUUUAACUGUGUGGGAAACUGCCCACAGCCUGGUGUCUGAACACUGAAAUAUUUCUCCCGGGGUCGGGAGAUUUGUUUUUUUUAAUUAUCAUGUGAUUGACACAAACUAAGCACGAGAAGCAGGACUUAUCCACGCCGGUGUUGUGUCGUAGAAUGCACCCCUGCCGAAUGCACCCCUGCCGAAUGCACCCCCUGCUAGUAGCCAUGAUCCAAAUACUCGCGUCUUUGUAAAAUAUGAGGUCAUUUUCUUCCACUUUAAGAAGCUACACCGGAACGUAUUUCCUCCGCACCCUUCUCACCUUUUCAACCCCUGACCCAUUUUCAUGCCUGAAGCGCUGUGUUUGAGAAAUACUUGCGGCCGGGCACUUCAUAUCGCGGGUCGAGAGUGGCUAGAAGCUGGUCGAAGCCAGGCUUUUCAACGGUAGUUAUUGGCAGUAUGUCCCUCGCUAUGGAGCAUGUUACUGCAUGGGUGAUGUCCUUAUGCCGCUCGGACGCUUUGUCGUAUUUUGGCAAGAAACGAAGUCCAGUUUGGUCUGCUUCACAUGCUUUGUGCUGGUGCUGGCAGCGGUUCCAGAGGAUUCCUCCAACGAUGACGUGGAGCCGCGGCGCGGCCGACACAGCUCGUACUCCUGCGGGUGCGAUCGGUUUAGAUGGUAGAACAAGUUGGUUGUGUUACCAGACUUGGUUUUUACUAAUUCUCUGCAAAUUUUGCAAACGACCGCUGUUCGCUUUUUGUCAGACUUCUAAAAACCAAAACACUGCCAUGCUGGUGAACUACUGUAACCUUUUUUCGGGACAAUGUCCUCCGCUUCUCCUUGCUGUAUCAUUUUUUCUAAUACACGUGCUGUCUGUUGUGGUUUGAUAGGGGCUGGGCUUGGUGCCGUAGCGUACCUGGGUCUGCGUUUGUGAUUGGUUGGGAGGAAGUAAUGACUGUAGUAAAAAGCUACAUGAUAGGCUAUGAUGAAAAAGAAAGGGAAACUGUGUUUUUCUAUCGAACUUUUUAUCGACCCGUUUUUUUUUCUAUCGCACCACACGUCUAUCGAUCGAUAUAUAUUGUUAUCGAAUUAUCGUCCAGCACUAAUGGGUUUUAAAUUGUACAUUUCCGUAGACCAAUCUACUACAAGUGGUGCAUGUUUUGCGAGGUGCAUGCAAUCCUCAACGGGCAUGUGUUUCUCAGCACAACACCGGUAACAUCAACAACAAUUGCAAAAUGAGCAAUGCCAAAAAGAAAAGAAACGUCACUUAUCUGUAAUUAUUUCGGUUGUGUCAGCAGUGCCUUUCAUCUGUUGCCACAAGGAGAGAUAAGUCCAAGCACAAUAAAAGCAAGCUAAAAAUAUCUGAGACAGACAGAAGCCAUUCUACUAACAUUUACAAAAAGAGGUAAGAUCAGUGCAGGUUAACUGCCGUCAAGAUUUCAGCAGUGCUCAACUUAUGGUUGGGCCUUCAGGCCAAAAUUAACAAAAAUAUAAGAAAUCUGUUUGACAAACUAAUAAUUCUGGUGCUUACCAGGAUGAAUGACAUGCAAUGUCAGUCUUGCUGCCAACAUUGCCAUGAUUAUCUUGUGCACAUUAGUUCAGAUACAUCCCUGUUCAUUUAAUACAGUAUAAAAUUGUAAGCAUAUACCUUUUAUAGAAGAUACUUUUGUCAGCCAUAUUUUCCCAUCUCGAGGUUUGGUCUGAGGUUUGUCUAGACCUGCUCUUUUAGAAAGCGUUGGGAUAACGACUGUUGUUAUUUGGCGCUAUAGAAAUAAAAAUUGAUCAAUUGAUUGAUUACCCUGCUGUGACACCCCACCAACUCAAUAUGCUAUCUAUGAGCUCAGAGUAAUCAUGGAGAAUUUGUUAACAAAACGGCUUUAUGUAAAUCUUUUGGUUAGUGAGGAGAAGGAAACUGAAAAAAUGUCAUAAUUUUCAAGAUUCUUUUCUUUGAAAACAAGUCACGCUCUCAUUAUUGCAAUAGGCACACAUUCUGUUGUUGAUAUAAACUUGUGUGUGAGUUUAUAUGGCAAUAUUAAAUUAAGGUGACCGCUGCAGUGAUAGCAUUCAGGCUUAUGUCAGACACCACAGAUGGAGCCUACCUGCUGACUUCAGUUGGCUGUAAAAGGAGUUAAUCAACUGAAAUUGCUUCUACUACAUGCAAGCUGUCGUGGAUGACAUAUGUUGUAAGAAUCUCAUUAUAUAUUCUCUGCCUUCCAGCUUUACUGCAAAUAAUCCUGUUAAAACCUCCCUUUUAGAGACAUCUUGAUGCGUCUUUUGAUGACUGCAUAAUCAAGUAUAGGGGGAGAUAAACAAACUAAAAUAGUUUUUUUUUUCUUAUUUUUAUAUUUUAACAGCUUUAGGAUGUUGUGUUUAUGUCAUCACACAGUGGGUAACACAAAUCAAACACUAAAUCUUUUACUUUUUUCAUUAUUUCCACUGUAAUGACAUAUAAUUGUUUAAUUGUUAGAAUCAAAUUGCUAUUUUUGCACCAUCCCCAUCUAUGAGAUCCAGACUAUCUCUUUGCUGUCCUCAAGAGAAAGUUCAAUCGAGUGAAUGAUUUAAGACAGGCUGAGAAAAUGGUGAAAAUUCUCAGAACACAGUAGCCGAUGACAACAUCCAGUUGACAGACAGAGAGGGGCCAAAUAACUUAAACCAAGACUGAUGUGACAGGGGCCACCAUUAAGACACUGACCAGUUGACAGACUGUGUGAUACAGACAGACAGACAGAUAGACAGACAGAGGCAAGGAGGCGACAGGGAGAGACACACACAGAGGCACCAGACAGAAAGAUGAAGGGAAGGGUCUGAUGGAUGAAGAGAAUGACAGAAAGAUGGACAGACGCAGAAGCUAGUGGCAAUAAAGUUUGAAACUCUGAUUUAAAGUGAUAUGAACUGUUUGAAAGUGAUGCACCAGACAUCAAGAGAGUCUUCUCCUCUUUAAUGAUAGAGCCAUAAAACUGUUGGUGGAUAUUUCUCCCUGCAAAUGCGCCACGAUGGUCAUGACGCGUUCAGGCGAGCAGAAAUAAAAUGCGACAUAAUCAAUCAAUAAAAGCAUGUUUUAAAUGUAAGCUUACAUUCAUAUUUUCUUUUUAGAUAAACAGUAAUAAUAAAAUUAUUCUGAUGAAUAUACAUAAAGAUCAUCUAAGCUUUCUGUCACAGAUAGAGCAGACAGUAUUAUAAAAAAUUAUCACACCUUGCUCUGAAUAAAUACCUGUUAAAAAAGCAACAAGGCAAAUUACUCAUUUAGAAAAGUACCUAAGCUUUGAUAGCUAAACAGCUAACCAAACAGCAUACCUCCAAAUGUCACUUAGCUGUAUUAAGAUGCAGGUGUAGGUUUUAUCCUUAAGUACCACCCACAACAGCUGUCUGCUCAUGUCACAGAGGCUACAGUGCAAGUUUUGUUUACUCUCAGAGUUGUUGUCUGACUGUUACCCCGGCAGCUGCCAGCUGCUCUUAAUCAAAAAAAGACCCCAACACGCCCCUACAUCUGGCAGAGAUUAAAAUGGGCAUUUCUGAUAUUUUCCCCAGACCUUGUUCUUUUAAAUAAAAUCAACUCCAUACUGAUGUUAUCUGACUACAAAAGGGAUGACUAAUUUCUUUUGGCAGCAAAAAAAAAAACUGUUUUGAAAAGUCUGUCCUCUUUGAUAAUGAAUUACUUUCCCUGAACCAUCAGUGCCAAACUUUCCUUUAUAUUUGAGUUAUGUCACCUUUCUUGCUUGUCUUUGUUAAAUACUUGAUUUGUGUGUUAAAGCUCCAUAAAAAAAACUGUUGUUAAAAGGAAAAGGAAUUGGCAAUAGAUUUAGAAAGAGACAGGGCAGAAGACCUCAAAUUCCAGCAGUAAACACUGAAGUCUUGACUUUGUUUAACGUUAAUCUGACCUUAAAUGGGCUGUUGAGAGUAUACUGCUGAUGUAAGAGCGCUGUGAACGGUAAAAACCAUAGACUGUAUAUACUAUGGACAACUUGGUUCCGCCUACCGCCUGUAUAAGGAUUUGAAGCCAAAAAGCUCUCAGUAUUUCCAGGAUUUUUGUUCAUUUCCUGAAACCAGCACUGUGAAGUAGCGAUGCGCGCAUUCGGCCGCGCAGUCGUCGAGAGGGGGGGAGGAUUAUGUUCUGUGUCAUUAAUUUCUAAAGUUUGUCCACAGCCCCAUAAGCUUUGCUGGCUGAGGUGGGAUUUAUGACCUAUACUGCAGCCCAUCAACAGAGGGUGCUGUUCUCGGAGUAGCUUCACCCAGCGAGGAGGCAGACUCUGUCCAUUCUUUAUUCAGUCUAUGGUAAAAACUCACAUCAACCAGCUCUUUCUAACAGAACUGGGCAUUGGAAGGAUGUUUUUUUCUGCUAUUACUUAUUCAAAAUUACAGAAAGAUGGGGUGCUGGUCUUUCUCAUUUGGCAGAACAGGUGUACAGAAGCAGUGGUGAUAGUCCGUCUGGUUAGAGGAUGAUUUCUGGUCCAAACAUGAUUUGGUGCACAUUCCUCCCCUCACAUUUUCUCGCUCUUUCCAGCUGUUUGGCCUCAGAAAGAGUAAAAGCCAAAAAAUAAAAACCUUUAAAAAAAUACAAAAAGAUCCCCAGUCUUGCCCUGUGUCAUGAAACAUCGUAUGCUGUGAUCUCCAACAACUUGAGAUGAGUUAUCUUGAAGUAAAAGAAAUUCUCUUUUGUUGGACACAGACUUUCUCUUCCUCCGACUGCUGUGUAACCCUCCAGUGUGAGUUUUAGGUCUAUGUUUUGUUGUUUGUAUUGCCUUUUUUGUGUUUCUACAGUGAUAUUUGAACUCUUUUUCAAAGAAAAUUCCUUCAAACAUUUGAUGGAAGUUUUUCUUAUCUUCACAAAAAGUAAAAGCUUUUGUGAAUGCUUUUUUGUGUAUCUAGAUAUGACCUUGACUGGCUGUCGUGUUUCUUUUGAUCUGAGCUUCACAGAACUUACAGUUACUGUAUGUGCCGGCAUUACUUUAAGCUGCUGUACCCUGUAGCUUUUCUGUCACAGAUGAAAGUGUAAAUGCGGUCACUUGUCAAUGCAAAUUUCCAGAUAAGUUUACCCCUAACUUUGCAGGUCAAAAACUUAACAAAACAAGUAUGCAGAUAGUCUUCUAUCAGGAAUAUCUACCAAAAAGGUCCUAAAAUGGAAUAACAGAGGAAAGACCUUGUCAGUCAAUGCAAAUUUCAAAUCCAGUGUGUGGGAUUUCCACGAUCUGAAAGUACAGUAUAUGCUCAAAAGCAGAACACUGGAACAGCAGGUUACCUUUAUUUCACACAGAGAUAUCAAUCCGUCCACACAGAAAAAUCACACUUCUGCAUGUGGCAAAGAUUACAAAUUUCACAGUGACUGAUUCAAAGAUAAUGCAAUCUCCCACACAUCCCUCCACAGUACUUUUCUUUUUCUUUUGCCUUCUUGUUUCCAGCAGAAUGUUCCCGUUCAAGGUAAAUGUAGUCUGCUUCACAAGAAUCUGAUCUGGAAAGUGGAAAAAAAACAAACAGCUCUAGCUGUGUGGUGCAAGAACCAGAUUAUGAAAGCUAUUUUAUAAACUGACGGUUUACUCUGUCUGCUUAUUGCCCAUCUUAUAAAACAUCAUUUAGAGACACCCUGAGGACCAAGAUCCUGUUUUGUAAUCAUGGGAUCUAGUAAGAGCAUCUUUAAGUUGCUGACAGCUAAAUUACCGUAUUUUUCGGACUAUGUGGUGCACUUAAAAUCCUUGAAUUUUCUCAAAAAUUGACACUGUGCCUUAUAAUCCAGCGCACCGUAUGUAUGGUUACUUGUUGUGCCUAUUGACCGAUUUUAUGUGGUACAAUGCGCUAAAAAAGCAGUUGAAAUGUGUAAGUACGACUUUGGUAAGCGACGAAGCCGCUCCGCUCAAUGGAUAUUUGGAGCACUGUGUCACUACCGGAUCGGCCCUGUAACAGGACCCCUGAGCAUCUUACAGGACUGUCUGACUGUAAUGUCUAAGCUAGAGGUGCAUUCAUGUAAGGCAGCCUGGGCCCGGAGUACACGCUAGCAACAAUAAACCAAUGAACGCCUAAUGCGCCUUACAAUCCGGUGCCUCUUAUGUUAUAAUAAUAAUAAUAAUAAUGCGUCAGAUAUCAUACAGCACUUCAUCAGAGACCCUCAAAGCGCUUUACAUUGGAUACAUCAAUCUUUCGCUCACACAGUCACACCUUGGCGGUGGUAAACUACCAUUGUAAUCACAGCUGCCCUGAGGCAUACUGACGGAAACGUGGCUGCCAGUUUGCGCUUAUGGCCUCUCCUACCACCACCACACAACACUCACAAUCAUACACAAGUGGAGGACACACACUGGGAGCAAGGUGGGUCAAGUGUCUUGCCCAAGGACACAACAGAUAGACUCAGGAUAGGGGGGAAUCGAACCGCCAACCUUUCGGUUAUUGGACAACCACUCUACCUCCUGAGCUAAUUAAUGUGUCUGUGUGAACAUAGACACGUUGAUUCACAUUGCGCCAUAUAAUACGGUGCGCCUUAUCGCCCGAAAAAUACGGUAAGGUCUUGUCUCACCCUGAUACCCUCUGCGUUACAUCCUGCUAACCCUUUUAGGAUUCUGAUACGCAUAACCACCCACUCACUACACGUUUCCUUAUAUGCCCCCCUGUACUCAAACAUUUGUGUUGGUCAGUGUGCUGCAACUUGUGCUUCGUACAUCUGCAUCUGUGACUCUACAAAGAUAUUUUUGCCCUUUGCGUUAUUGUGGAAACAAAAUGGCAAGCUGUCAGUUAUGUGAAUGAAUUAUGACAGGGCGUGUAUGACAUGAUGAUAAGGGUUGUUGUUUUGAUGCCAGCAGAGAGAGGCAAACAAAUACUGCUGGCACAGACCGAAAGCUUCAUCAAAUGAAUUUAGCAAGAAUCAAUAAACAGCCCUGCAUUUUUUCCACAUUAUUUAUAGAUUUGUUUCUCGACUUGUUUGGGUUCUUCAAAAUAUCAGAAUGUAGAGUAACAAUGAAUCUGACAGCUAUGUUUCGCUUCGCGAAUGAGACGUGUGCUUGUUAAGUUGUUUUCAUCACUCAGGUCUGUCAGGCGUUUUAGCAUUCUUGGCAUCACUGAGCACUGCAUUAAGAAACGAAGUCUUUGGGAGAUGACUGACCUGUCUUAAAAUAGACUCCUCUGUCCUUCAGAGAGCAUAGAACAUUUUGGAGUGGCACAAUAAACUUAUGCAUGGAGAAGUAUCAAAAGCAACAGUUUUGGAGAGGCUUCCCGAUAACCUAAUGGGGUUUUAGUCGCAAAUUCUGCAGUGUGACCUUAAAUUUCACCUUCUGGUACCCUGAUUGGUGCACAUCAAAGAAACUUCAACCAACACAUCUGGCUUUAGAGAAAAAAAGAUGAAAAAAGUGAUGCAACCUGAGGCUUUCCUCUUAGAAGUCUUAAUCUCCUGUGGUUAAAGGUAGCUGAAAAUAUAAAAGGGCUGAAUUUAGAGACUAAAUGAGGCUGAGAAGGAAUCUUCUCUCUACUCAGCAACACUUUCAGCUUUUUUCUUCGCCUUUUCCCUCAAGUACAUGACUUGAUCAUGGCCUAUGAUUUUAAUAUUGUAAGCAAACUUCAUAAACCAUUCCAUAAAUCUGUGCUACGAACAGAUGUAACAGACUAACCAAUCAGCACUACCAACGAGAUGAUAUAAGGAGGAUGAUCUUAGCUAGAUGACAACCCAAUGUGUAUAUUAACAGCUUUUGUUUUGGCCAGGUGUACCUAAUGAACGUCCAUCUGAGCAUUUCCACUUUACCCGUCUAUCCAAAUGCCAUGAUAAAUAACAUGCUAGAUUUAUGUUAAUGCCAACAGCUGUUACUCACCCGUUCUCUGAAUUACCUUUUUCUUGCCAACAUUUCUCAAAGCAGAUAGUGAUGGGAAAUCCAGCUCUCUAUCAUGAUACAGAUCAGUCCUUUUUUGGCUCCCAAACAGCCAUAUUAUGUUAACCCUCCACACAACUCAACUGUAGCAAUUUGUAUUUGUUAUUGCACUGAGAAACAAUUAAUGUUUGUACUGUUCCCAACUGAUAUAUUGGGAAUUUUCGUUGCUGUAUCUUUGUUUAACAAAAUUCCCAAAAGGUGUUUCAUAGGGGUGGGAAAACAAUAGAUACAGCAUAGUUUUGUGAUAUUUUGUCUGGUGAUAGUCAGAUAUAUGAUAAUAGAAACAUCAAAUCAACCGUUUGUCCAGUGAGGUUGGCAGAGGUGGCAUCAUAAAGCAGGAGAAAGUAAGUACAACAAAUAUAUAGGAUUUGCAAGAUGUGCUACAUGAAAAUAAAUACAGCAUAAAUAAGACUAACAUAAAGGAAAGCCAAAUGCUAAAUUAGCUGAACAGUUGAAAAAAUUAUAAAAAUUGCAAUAUAUUGUAUCACAAUACUCACUGUAUUGCAAAAUGUUAAAAAUCGCAACAAUAUCGUAUCUUGGCCCAAGUAUCGUGAUAAUAUCGUAUUGUGGGGCCUCUAGUGAUUCCUACCCCAAGUAUCUCAGUUGUUAACCAAUUUUAGAUGGAAUCCACCUGAAACUUUAUUAUACAAAUUUUUGCCUCAUGUUGUGAAUCAUGAGUGUUGAUGCUCGGAUCAGUCGACAGUCGAUUGCAUACGUCACGUACUGUGGCGUGGGUUAAUUCUGCUACAACCCUUACAAAGUCAUUUGUACUUGGGCUGUUGUUUUUGCCAACAUGAGUCUACACUUGGAGGAUAAUACAUAGCUGUGCAUUUCUGUCCUCAUACAGCUCUCCUUCCUCGCAGCGCUUUGCAGCCUUUUAAAGGUGAAUGUCACAGCUUUUAACAUAAGCUGUUAACAUAAUUUUAGCACUGAGUCUUGUCACAUCCAGAAAUACUCAGAUGAAACUGCUGUCGUGGCAUAUCAGAAAUAGACAAGAAGCCGAAUACAGGGAUCUGAUAAGAACCUUCAGGGACUGGAGUCACAAAAAUUGCCUCCUACUCAACACCUUAAAGACACAACAAAUUAUAAUAGACAACUGUAGGCUGAAAAACAUGGAUCAUCCACUUCAUAACACUUUGAUGGACCAAAAAAAUGAAGGUGGUGGACAGCUCCAUUCAGUUGUGAAGAUCUUUUGUAAAUAGUAGAAGACGUGAGACAUGAGACAAACGAAUUUCCCUUUGGGGAUCAAUAAGGUUCUUGUAUGUAUACCAUUUAAGUUUCUUUGUAGCAGAUGGCAACUUGGAGAUUUACUCACAAGCUCUGCAGCCACAGCCUUGAUUGCUGGACAGAAUUAAGUAUCAAUACAUCUGUGUUUUUCACAAAUGGAAACCACUGUUUUCACUAGAGUCUGACCAAUAGGAUGCUACAAACGAAUGCUUUAGACUUUAUGUAGUCGAGCAGAAGAAAAAUGUGCCAAACUCUUUUCAGCUGAGUGAUUUAAUAUAAGUGUGUGAUGUCUGUUGCUAUUCAGAAUUAAUAACUGUUUUUGUAACUUGGGUUUUGACCAAUCAGAAUCAAGUAUUUCAUGCAGAUUAGUGAUUAGUAAAAAAAAAAAAAUGCCAGGUAAUAAUUCUGUAUAAUCUGGUUCACAUAAGAUCAAUGCCUUUGAAAUCCAUAUACCCGCUCAACAGGGGGACUUAGCAGCACAUGAAGAGAGGGGCAUGAGCUUCAUUGAAGAAGACCUACAGAUGCUUUCUUGGCUGAAUACAGAUGGAUGCGCUGUUGCAUCCUCCAUUAAAGACUCCUUUGGUGUCAGCUGCACACUUGAUUUCCAAGUAGCAGCACUCUGAUACUCUUGGUUCCUGAUGGCCAUUCCACAUGCAACAAAGGACUGGGGAAUUGCGGAGUGGGAAUCACAAGCUCCCAUCUGCUCAUUCAUAAAGUUGCUCUCCAGCUAAACCAGGAAAAGAGGCUGCUCGAUGUUGGUUUCAUCAAAGAGAACCCUGUCGAGGUAACCCACUGAGUCCCACUUCGUAUAAGCAAAGAGCAACUGGAAAGCCUCCUCAUUCUUUGCUGUUCUCUACCAUGGACUCAUCUAGACAGAUGGCAGCCCAUGAUGUUCCUGCCAAUUUGGAUGCUCCAUUUGCUCUCCCAGUAUGCACUGACUGCCAUCUUCAGGUGUGAGAGGUUAGAGUGACUUUUGUCUGCUGGCCCUCAAAGGUUGUGUGCAACUCUUCUGACUAUAGGGGCUUCCUUCACUACCUUCUUCCGACUUUUCUCCUCUGUUUGCUCCUUGGGGCGUGGUUUUACUGCAGUACAUUGUCCCACUAAUUUUUCUGCUUGAGAGAUCCUUCAGAGAGCUGAAAAACUCGACUUCUGCAAUGUUAACCAUUCAGUAAAAAACAAGGAGUUCCACAAGUAAAAGAUGGCAUAUAAUAUUUGGAAUGAAAUAUAAUAAUUUGAGGGAAAGAUUUGGCAGAUUUUUAAUAAUAGCAAUUAGGGCUGGGUGAUACGGGACAAAGUUUAUCACAAUAUAUUUUUCUUAUAUCAGUCGAUAUCGAUAUCACAAUAUAAAAAAAUCACUAGUGACUCUUAAAUGUUCCCUGUCACUCUUAAAUGAAAUUUAACAGUGUUUAUUGGUAGCAUGUCUUUUGCAAUACAAUAAGCUACUGCAUCUGUGAGGUCUUUGUGUCUCUUUGACAUUUUAUUGUAAGGCGUUACAGAAAAGCAGACUGAAUGGUUGGUUCAGCGUGGCGGGGACCCGGAGCAACUCCCAAUUUUAUUAGCUAUUCGUAUAGUCUACCAAAAGAUGGCAGAAUGCCGGCUAUCGAAAAACAUAUUGACCAUGUUUCAUAUCAUCGAGGGAAAUAAAUUUUUGAUAGAUAUCAUUAUUGUUUUAUCGCCCAGCCUUAAUGACAAUGUAAAUAUGAGUCACGUUAACCAUCUGUUUUGAACGUAUGUACUGCUGAUGCUUUCUUCUUGUUACAACAAAACCAUUUCCUGUCAACAUUAUGUAGUCUUCUCUAGGUGGAUUUCCACUCCACUCAGCAAAAUUUCUGUGCAACUGUGUAACUUUUUCCGUUACUGCCCAGAGUUUGGGGCCCUACGAGCUCCCAGUAAUUGUUGCUCUGCGUUCAGUGAUGCUGUUAGUUGUAAGAGGUUGAGGCUGCACCGGUAGUCAGAAAUGGGCAUGGAUGUGACAAAACUUUGGCUUCACUAAUGCGCCAUCUUCUGUGUAGAAUACAUUAUUUUAACAAAAGAUACAGUUUGUACUGGCAUAUUGACAUGAGAGAAAAACAGUAAACAGUUUUAUCUUAUUCAUAGACUUUUGCAUUGGAUAUGCUAUUUUGUUCCACCAGCGUCCCUUGUGCAGUCUUCAGGGAGUAAUUAAAUUAGCUAUCAGGAUCCACUCAGUCUUGUUUUCCUCCGUUUUGCGUUAAAUCCCUAUGUCCCUUUGUCCAAAAAGUAUGAAUUGACCAAAAUAGGGCCUAAAGCAGAACUUUGGAAACCAUUCAAGCCACCAGGAGUAUCCUUAGUAAGUAUCCUAUAGGCAAUGAGCUGAUAGAGUGCACUCCCACUGUUUUCACACCUGAAGGAGUUAGGGCUGUAAAAUCCAAGUCGACUGGUCAACAUAUUGGUCGAUACAUGCUGAGUUGACCAAAAUACUAAUUGGUCGACUCAAGUUUUUUCUGUGUCAGUUUACAGUCGGAGUUUAUUUCAACAGGAGGAACUUACAAAGUGCUAAUCGGAGUGUUUUCAGAGCACCCCUAUUUCACAGGUAACAGCCUGUCUCUGAACACCCCCCCCCCCCCCUUGUUUCCAACUGGAGACUGGCUGGAGACAGGAAGAUUGUAGAGUGUCCAUGUUUAUCAACAUCCGGUGGUUUGCUGAAUAUAUUUAUUUGUAAUUGCCUUCUUGUGCUGAUAUCGCACAGAAAGGUUUGCCAUCAGAGUGGGAACCCCCUGUUAGUCGAUUUUUGGUCGAAAAUUUCAGGGUUUUAUUAAACCAAGAAUUUCUUUGGUUGAUUACAGCCCUAAAAGAAGUACAACUCUUUCUUUAUUCUUUCUUUAUUCUUUAUUCAUACGGAUCCCCAUUAGCUGCCACCAAGGUAGCAGCUACUCUUCCUGGGGUCCACAAAAAACAAACAAUACAAUACAAGACAAUACAAUACAUAAUUCAAUAAAACAUGUACAGUCUUGCAAAGGUCAUUCAAGACAAUAAAAGUCCAGUAAAAGCAAACCACAAACAAAAAAAACAAAACAAAAACAAAAACAAAACAACAAGAAAAAAACAAGCAGAAAACAAAUUAAACUAAAAUUUAAAAGUCAGUUAAGAUUACAAUUAAGAUUAGUGUAAUUUGUCAGGUGUCUUUUAAGGAGUCUCUUAAAACUAGCCUUACUAGGUGCUUCCGUGAUCAUUGUCGGUAAAGUGUUCCAAAUGGUAAUUGCUCGAUACAUUACAGAUCUGCAGACUGCAUUUGUUCUGGGUUUUUCUUUAACCCUGUCACCCCUAGUAGCCUGCCUGGUAUUAUAAUUAUGACGAUCUCUCACAUACUGUAUUUGCGAGUUCAAACAAACAGAUUCUUUGUUAAAACAACUAUUCCUAAAGAAACUCAUUAAAUUACAAGCCAACCUCUCCUCAACUCUGAGCCAUGAGAGACUAGCAUGCAGUCUCUCAGUGCUCUGCCUUACACCCAAUGGACUGUGCAAUGCCAGCCUUGCAGCUUUAUUCUGAACUAUUUGAAGUUUGGACAAAUGUUUCUUGUCGGCACCUGACCAUAAUGCAGAGCAGUAAUCAAGGUGAGAUAGCACCAGUGCCUGUGUCACCAGCACUCUAGAAGCUGGAGUAAGAAAUGAGGAACAUCUUUUAAUGCAUCCAAUACCCCUACCCAUUUUUUUUACAAUGUUUUCAAUGUGUUUUUCCCAUGUUAAAUGUGCAUCGAGUGUGACACCAAGCAAAAGUGCCUCUUGAACCUGCGCAAUGUUUGAGUCUUUGAGUGAUAACCUAAGGUGAUAAUCCUCUCGAGUGGCAUGUCUUGCAGUAAGCACUAAGCUUUUAGUUUUUGCUACAUUCAAAAUAAGUCUAUUUUCACAUGUCCAGUCCGAUAAUAGUUGCAGUUCAGAUUGAAGUGUAUUUCUCAACUCUGAUAAACUGUUUGAUGCAAAAUAGACAGUCGAAUCAUCUGCAAAUAAAGUGCAACCACUCUUCUCUAAAACUAAAGGCAUGUCAUUUGUAAAUAUAGUGUACAGCAGAGGACCAAGGCAGCUCCCCUGAGGCACGCCACACUGUAAACAUUUGAAAGAGGAAAGACAGCCAUUAAAAAACACACACUGAAUCCUAUUGGAUAGAUAGCUAUUCAUCCAAUUGAUUGAGUUUCUCAUUGUUUAGAGAUUACUAUGACCCAAUGGUAGAGCAGAUCUCUUAGCUGAAAGGUUUGGUGCUUCAACAACCUUUUUCAAGGGUUCUUGGGCAUGACACCAAACGCAGGAGUUGCUCAGGAAUGCAUCGCCAUAGCCAAUGCUGUGCAAAUGUGUGUACGUGUCAAAGGGUACAUUUGAUAUGUAAUUUCAAAGCACUUUGAGCUGUCAAAAGAUGAGCUAAGAGCAACAUGGGUUCAGUCCAUUUAUCAAUUCUGGAUUACACCCUUCCACCUCUUUAAGAUGUCUUCCACACCUUAACUCUUCAGAAAGCAUUAACAUUAAAUUUACAUGAUCCAGAUGUUUUCCUGUUAUGUUGCCAGACUUGAUGACUCUCCUGACUCGGUCUUUUCGUACCUCUCGGGGCUGAGUAUCUGGGUGCCUUUCUUUUGAAGAGAAGUUAAUGUUCUGUUUGGACUUUUCAGUGCGUCAGUGGACGGGGGAAAUGUUAAAUAGAAUACCAGAAGAGGGGUGUUACUCAGAAAGUUUAUCAGCUGAUGAUCAAACAGUGUCAGAUGUCAGAAUGCUCCUCAGAGAGAUGAUAAAGAGAUGCUUUCAUCAGGAGCUGGCUUUGAUGAGUGCCCCGCCCGUCUCCACACCCCUGACAUAGACCACAACCUCUCUUAUUGCCGUCUCUCCCCUUGUCUGCCUGAACAUAUGAACACACUUGGAAUAUGAAUUCAAAUAGGAGGUAUUUAGCAGAGUGCCGUUUGAUUAUUUAAUCAGACAAAAUUACACCGAGACACGGUCACACGGCAAAAACGAUGGACUGAUUACAUAGAGGAGGAGGAGGAGGGUUGGGGUUGUGAUCAACUACACGAAAGUGUACACGAGAUGGGGAGAGAAUUACAAAGAGAGAAUGAAAUAGCUUUAAAUGGAGAAAUUGAACUGAGAGGGCAGACACAUCGGUUAAGGCAUACAGAGGCACAGAAUUACAGAGUGAAAUAAGAUUAAAUUAAGGAGUGCAAGUGAAAAGAGAAAAAGAAUAUAAAUCAGAAGAUGGGGAUAGAAAGAGACAGAAAUGAGCGUGAUAAGGAAAAAUGUGUUAAAUGUAAGCUAGACAACCUGAUGAGAAUCUAGUUUAAUUCCCCCUUAAGGUAACAGGGCAGAGAGGUUUCAAAUACGGCAGACCAAAUAUGAGAAGACAUUAUGCGAACACAGGAUUCAUUACAAGUUGAAAAAAGAGGCAAAGUUUAAGAGAUAUCAUCUCUGUCGUGAUGUGCGAGGCACGAGGGAUGUGCAUGAGUUUCAGCAGCUCCAGGAUCAGUCGAUAGAAUCUGAUUACAGAUACUCUCAGAUGAUCAUUGAGAGAGCUGAGUAAAAGGUGGCUGCUGAUCUUGCUUCAUAACUUAAAGAAUGACAAGUAGAAAAUUACAGGUAGUCUAAUAUCCAGUAAAUGGCUCAUAUGUAACGGAUGAGAAAAUGAGAAAUACUCCUCGUGCACAGUGCCUUGCCUAGCACCCUAGCAAAAAUAGGGUCAGAAAAACGAGGUCUAAUUCAGUUUGCACCAUGCACUUUAGCCCAUGUGUUUCAAAUCGUUCAAAUAUGGCCCUCUGUUCAUGGACACAUGGUGGACAUAGAAGAAAAACCUGUCAGUAAAAAGUAUCAGAAGACCUUAUUUUAGAGGCAUUUAUUUACUUCUCUCCAAAUCUGAGGGAGGCCGUUGAGCACAAACAGCAUCAGAAGCUUCAUCACCCCGUGUACUAAACCUUUGCCUUUAAACAGUCAGAAGUCCCUUCAGUGAGGACAUGCAAAGAAUAAGAAAACGGUUAAUGGAAAAGAUGGCCUGUGGGCAGGUCAUUUUGCCAGGGGCAGGAUGAUUUUCCCAGCAGGCAGGGCAACUCUGUCUGGUCUGGUAGGAGUAAGUCAUAUUGAUAAAGUUGUAAUUCUUUGCUGCUUUGCUGGAGCAUUAGGCACAAUGAAACAACAGUGCAGCCUCACUUGGAAAGGGGCUAUGUAAAGGGGCUAUGUAAAGGUCACAGUUCCUGGGGGGGUGAUAAUCAGUGUAACCAGGGGGAUUCAAAUAAUCACAACACACUUAAUGAGUUAAUCUUUGGGCUUAAGUUCUUGAAAUUGAGGGAAUAACACAACCUUGUCAAUAUCACACUGAGGAAUAUUGAACCUGUAAUGCUUUAUGCACUUUGAAAUCAUUGAGAAGUUCAAUAUAAUGUGUUAGAAAAUGCAUUGGUUUACAAAAAGGAGUUUUGGCUGGUGUUUGCUCCCUUUGAGUCUGAUCCGUUAGAUUGGAGAGUUUUUCAGUGAACUGUGACAUAUUCUUAAAAAAUGCUGCUAUACUGUAUGUCUGUAUUAUUUAUCACCGAGUGUGAUCUCACCACUCUUGUUUAUGGUCAGGAAAUGUCAUUUUUUUGAUACUGAUUGGUAAAAUCUGUUUGGAAUCAACAUCACCAUGCAGAUUUUGAAUCUGGGCUUUUUGAGAGUUAAAGGUAGUGAGGUCAUGUGAGCUGUUAUCAGGAAAUUAGAGUGCAUGAACCUACAUAGUGGUGCUUCAAUGUAGGGCUGGGCGAUACGGCUUAAAAUCAAUAUCACGAUAUAUUGAGCCGUUCACCUCGAUAACUAUAAAUGGACGAUAACUACUCAACAAACUGCUCACCCCCUCCCACAUUUCCUUAUCUACUUCAGCAGCCGCUCCAGCUGCUACAACUUUUGAACCGUCCUCCAUCUCCUCACCCGUCUUCCUCCCUUCGUUACGGACUGGAUGGGGUGGAGUCACGUCUCUGAUGUAGGACAGCAUAUUAAAGGGACAUGAGACCAUAGCCUACCUACACACAUCCAAAAACAACUUUUAUUUAUUUUUUUGACACCAAGUCUAUUGACAUGGGCAAAACGAUGUUGGUCAUUGUCGCAAAUUUGGGUAUUAGUAAAUUUUCAGUUUAUCGCCCAGCCCUACUUCAAUUCAUUUGAUGAAAUUCAAGAACAUCUGCAUAAAUGCCUCAGCCAUCAUAUAGCAUAUCACGUGUGCAUUUUCAUUUGCAUAUAAUUAAUAGAAACUCUAUUGUUUAAUGAAGUAAUCAGGGAUUACAUCAGCAACAGAGAUACUGAAACCACAUGGGGUGAGAGGUGAGGAGUUAAUAGGACAAUUGCCAGGCUUACAAGUGCUUGCGUCUGUAGUCUACGUUGCUGUCCAAUCGUUCCAUGGCAGGUCAGGUCCCCAGGGCAUCAACUUGAUCAGUAAUCAAGAUACAAAGCACAGGUUAGGACACAUAGAGUCGAAAGCACUUGUCAAAUUAUCCACCAAGUAUUGAUCUGGUAUUGAUUUGCCUGUGCUUGCCCCAGAUGGCAGGGUGGGGACCAGGCGCUGUCCCUGUUACUGAGUGGCAUUAGAAUAUCUUUUCCGUGCUACAGCUCAGAGCAUUCAUUUGAAUCAUUUCAAAGGGAGUGUGAAACUGUGAGAAAUGAGGAAGGAUGACAGGUGAUGAUGAGACAGAUAGUGCAAAAUAGAAGUCAGGGAUAGGAUCUUUUGUUAAACAUGAAAAUCAAUCCCUGAACAGAGGGAAAGACCUGCAGCAGUGCUUAUCAGCUACUUACAGCACCAUCCUGACGGCCCCUCUUUGCCAGUUUCCCACCAAUUUUACCUCAAGUUAGCGUGACUUGAUGACUUCCAUGCCUGCCAUGCAACCUUGAUACGCCACAUGUGAUGACAGCAGUUCUCCAGUGAUCUUAAUGAGUGAACAACCCUGACAGCUCUCAAUGCCUGUGAACUCCCCAGCUAUUUUGAACUGAUGAGCUAACACUUUGACUUGUUUUUUUUUAGACUGAUGCGCCGUGUAUUCCAUAAUUAAAAUGUUGAAAAGCUGAAAAAUAUGUAUGCAAACAACCUCCUCAAGUUGACUUCUUCUAGUCCAUUUAAGUAAAGGUGCUUUCAGAGUCGUUGCCAUCAACUGUCAACAUCAAUGUUCAGCAUUUCGAAUGUGCAGCAGCAAGACGUCAGUGCUCCCGGCUACAUCUGCCAUUCUGCAUACUACUAGCUGCUGCCAUCCACCUUUAUAAACCUCAUCGUGCAUUUACAUAAUGCUAAAUAAAGCAUGAUGAUCAGCAUGAUAGAAUGAUAGAGAUUACAUAAACUUGCUGUUUUAAUCCUAUUUUCUGUAUCUGAAAAUGCUUACAUGCAUUGAAAAUGUUAUGAUAUACAAAUGAAGAGGAAAAUGCUCUAGGGGGACAUUUAAUUAUUAUACACUGAAGACAGAAAGACAUUCACAUCUUUUUUUUUUUUUUUUUGUCAUGUUAAUGAAAUGAUCAGCUAGCAGAGCAAAGUUGUCUCAGCAGGAAACUGAAAGAAAAUGAGGAAAUGUCUUCCCAAAUACUCAAAUCAUUAAAUUAAACCAUUUGUGAAGAACGCCAUUUACUCCUAAUCUGAGUCUGUGUUGACAUUAGCGCUAUGGUGAUGGUCCUGGAGCAGAGGAGAAGCCUAGGAAGUUGGAGGAUGUCUCUGAUCUGUUCUUUUUUUUUCAUUUUCUUUUCAUUUAUCUCAAUUUUGAAGCAUAUAGAGUUAAAGAAUACCCGGGGGCUAAAGAAGUACUGUGAACCCUGGGUUGAACCUGACCUGUAGACAGCAUGGUAUAAGCUGUGUCCCAUAUCAGGGGCUGCAGCCUUCAAAGAUUAAAUGCUUCACAGUGGUGUGUUGAAGGCUGUCCCAUUUCGAAGGCUCCUCCAAGUGUGUCCUACUUUUCCUGGGUCAUGAAGGCUGCGUCAGGUGCAUCUUUAGCAGCCCCACUGAUCCUGUGAUUCUUUAUGCGCUGAUACAAUCAAGAUAGCGGACUCUGAAGCUGCUGAGUGAUACACUGUUCAAUGAUAGUAUUUGGUUUUAACUCAGUAUCUCGCUCUACCAAUGCUAAAAAGAACAGAUCUAUACUUUGCAAUGUUGGUGGUGGUAUUAAAGCUAUGUGACGCAAGCCAUCCUAUCUGGUUAGCUGAGUAGCCACUUGUUGCUAAGUGACAAGAGCAAAUGGAUAUGCAAGUGUGCAGUCAUCCCAAGCGUACACUUUCUGAAUUCACUCCAGCCUUACCUGAUCUGUCUGCUUGAGUCUUUCGAAGGCUGCAGCCCCUGGAUUGGGACACAGCUCGAAGUGUUUCUUACUGUGUCAACAGGCAGAGGUAAAAUGCACAAGGUUGAUUCUUAGGAACCAAAUGUUGCUUUUGCUGUUGAGAAUUAAUGACUGUUGCCGAGGUGUUUUGACCAAUCAGAAAAAAGCAUUAAAUAUAACUGUGAAAUAUACUUAUCCUGCGUUCCAGUUGUACUUGGAAGCUGGAAUUUCCGAGCUCUGAGUACUGUAUUAUUUAUUGCACUUCUGAUUUGUUUUUGUUAAAUUAAAUAAGUGAUAUAUGUUGUACCACCCAAUGUCUAACUCUGAACACAGUGCUAUGGUGUUUGUAAGAGUAAAAUUCUGUAUUAUGCGUUGUUUACAACUGGUAUCGCUAACAACAACCAACAACCGCUGACAAUGGAUGACAACCGCUAUCAACAACUGACAAUGGCUCACGACAGCUGACAUUUGUAAACAACAGCUAACAAUGGGUAACUGUAUGCGUCCAUCUUGGUUUUCUGACCUGUUAACUGGAACACUGUCAACUGGGGUGUAACGUCAUUCCCAAUGUUGAUAUCCGACUUCUGAUGUAACUGGAACGCAGCAUUAGAAACAAACCAAAUAACACUCAUUGAAGAAUUGAACACCCAAUCAAGUACAAAGUACGUACUUAUAUACAUACAUACUUAUAUCCAGAUCCUCAAGGCGCAAGUUUCAAAUCAAGUCUAAAAUGGAAAAAUGCCAUCCCUUGCAUCGGACAGGGCAGCAGGGUUGAGUUGGCUGAUAAUCCAUGGCUCAAGGUCUUAUCUUUAAGUAACAUUGACCUGCUAUAGUUCCUCUUGCUUCGACAGCAAAUUGGGUGAAGACUUAAGCGCAUAUCCUCAGACGUAGGGCCUUGUGCAGACAGCGUUUAUAGUAAACAGAGUUUCCAAGGCAGCAGAAGUUGUGGGAGGACAGUCAAUAGAUUUCCAUAGCAUAGCAAAAAGCAGCAGAUGGUGAUGAUGUAAUGAGCGAUCAAGUCAGAGGCAGCAAUUCUUUAUGCCCUCUUGUUCACCUUGCUAUCGUGCCGCUUAUGCAUAGGAGACGGCUGUCAGGAACAAGCAUUCACCCACUCAGCAGUGUGGGACAAGAUAAAUUAGACCCUGAUGCAAUGAGUAAGCUCCUGAUCACAACAGCUGCAUUUCUGUUAAGUGGAGGGCAACUUGGAGACAUUUAUUUUAAGGAAUUGACAAUUUAGAGCGAAUGCUGAUCCAGCUCAGUUUGGCAGGAAAGCCUCUGUUUCAGGGGGCUUUUGGGGAUAAUGCUCCUAACAAACACAUGGACACACAUUGAUACUUAAAAACAAAAAGUGAAACAAAAUGUGAAAACGCUAGUGUUGAAGGGUCGCCACCAAAAUACAUCAGCUUAAUUGGACAGAUAAGCAUGGUUACAAUAAGUUAGCUGGCUAUUAAGUAUAUUUAAAGGAGCAGUUCAACAAACUAGAAUAUAAUACCCCAGAGAUUUUCUGAGUAGUUCAGGUCAGUCAAGCACGGUAAUGUUAUGGGCAGCUGACCAUUUGGCUGUAGUUUUGGCACUGUGGGCAGGUGCUAAGUGUUGCUGGGAAAGGAAAUCAGCAUUUCCAUGGAACCUGUCAGCAAAUAAGACAGCUGUUGUCUCUUUUCUUAAGACCUAUGUAUGUGGUGGCUCUUGAUGCAAGAGCCUUAAGUUGCUUUCACACCUGAACCAAUGGAAUGGAAUGCUACAACAUUGGUGAACGCAACUGUUCCUAUAAUGCUAUCGGAGCCUGUCAGGAAUUUAUCCUGUUAUUUUUCUAGCUUUUACGAUCGAACAUGUGACAACAUAUGAGCUCAGAGUUUAAGGACUGUGACUGUUGGUAGUUGUGAUUUGAUUUUGUUGAAAUACGCCAAAUUGUGAAUUUAUGGGUUGUUGUUGUUCAGACAACUGAGCUAAGCUAGCUAGCAACUGCUAAUGUCAGCGGUCACUUGUUGCCAUAGCAACAAGGGACGCUGUGCUUCCUCUACCCAAGAUGCACUGCGUAUGCAAUGUGUAUAGCAUCAUUACGUACAUUUGGUCCUGUAUUUGGUCCGGUGAGCUUUCACACUGCAUACGAACCGAACCAGAGUUCACUUGCAAGGGAACCGAGACCCACGUUUUCAGGCAGACCAUAGUUGCUUGUUUGGUCUGCACCAGAGUUCGGAUGAGCUUUCACACCGGCCCAAACGAAGUGGACUAUCUGAGGAAACGUACUCUGGUCUGUUUAAAGCGGAGCAAACAGCUCUGGUGUGAAAGCAACCUUAGUGAUGCUUCCCUAAUUCCCUGAAUUGACUUCUUUUUUUUUUCAAAAUUCUCAGGGUUUUGAUUAUUGCUGUUGUUUGUGCACCAUUUCUUACCACAGUUUUCCCUUCCACUCUGCUUUUCAGUACAUUUACAUCAUGCAGCACUGUGGACAUCCAUUGGUUUGUUGCAAACAAAGACUAAAAACAUGGAUGCAUUGUCUCAUUUUCCCUUGGGUUGCUUUGUGUUCACAUUGCACUACUGUAAAGCAGGCUAAAACACUCCCUUUGUACAUCAUUAUGUCACAGUCUUGUUUCCAACUGUUUAGGUUAACAGAAGCCAUGAGUACCAGUCCCCCGUUGCAUAGUGGGAAGCCUGUGCACUUUAAACUGAAUGUGACCCUGCAUGUGCACGUCAUGGGUACAGCAGCUGUUGACACGUUGUGGUUUUCUUCAUUGUAUUGUCCAAACACAAUCAUCAUGCCUUAAUGACAGGCUAAAGGCAUUUGUGAGAGAUGUAUUUGGCUGAAAAUUACCAGUUGAAAGGGUCACCAUUCAUGCCAAAGCACGGCUUUAAGUUGCUAACUAACUUUGCUGGACUACAACAAAAACACUCUGGGGUCAACUCAGAGCAGCAAGAAAGUUAAAUGCCUCAUUAAUUAAGCCUAUUUGUUAGACGUCUAACUGGCAACUGUACGGAAAGGUUACAAAUGUAUGUGUCAGCACAUGAAUCACUAUCACCAAGACACGUCAUCAGUAAGAUGUAAAGGUACGAGACCAGCUUGGCUAAAGUGAAGGUUCCGAUAAUGAAAAGGAGAAAUUCUCUUGGAGUGGAAAUUGGAUUAGACGAGCUGGACAAAACUCUCAAAAUCAGUAGAUGUUAAGUCUCUGGAUUUUGCCUGCCUGGCAGCAGUUCCUCUGAAUGGCCAUUACUGCAUCUGCUGCUACUCACCUAUUACUACUAUUGUGACACAUCAAGCAGCCGCUUGUUCCUGCGGGGUCGAUUAUACCCACUCUGAAUCAAACCAGGUUUGAUUGGAACCAAACGGAGACCACCUCCUCUGAGCAAUCUGAGCUAGCUUGUUUGUUUGUUGUUGUGUUUACAUACGUCAAGUGGAUCUGAACCAAGAGGUCGUUUUGACGUGUCUUUGAAUAAUCCAGUGUGAAAAUGUAAAAACCAUUCAUUCAUUCAUUCAUACAUAUAAUAACUCUGGGAUAUAUUGAAUUAUCACUUUAUUGAAUAAUUGAUGGAACCUCCUUCAAACUCUACUUUGGCUAAAGUUGAAUAAUGGCAACAUUUACGAGAAACUAGACACUGAAGAUGUUUCUUGCAAAAUAUAACCAAAUCUUUAAUCAAACUUACCACUUUCAGAGAUCUAUAUCUUCCAUAAUGCAGCACAAAUGUUAUUCAAUGAUGGAAGUGAUUGCUAAUCGUUGUAUACUUAAUGCUUUAAUGCAAGUCUGAUGCGGCUCCCUUGUUCCUACACUUAAUCUAACUCUGGGCUGUGUAUCAGUGCUCAGAGAUGAUUGUAGAGUGAUUUCUAGCCACCACUUUGUCUGUCUGCAUCUUCACCUUGUUGUUUUCCUGCUAUUAUUCGACAAUUUCUGUCAAUGCUCUUAGAAAAUUAUAGACUUCUGCACUGACAACUACACAGAAUACUUCUGGAAAAUCAAACAAGAAAGAAGUCAACAAAAAAAAGAAAGAUGAAAAUGUAUUUUACUUCAAGAUUCAUGGUUAAAUAUAAUGAGUUGUUUGAAAGGUAUCAUCUUUUCAAACACGUGAUGCUGAAAGGUAUGGAUUUUGAGAUUUGUAUUGUCCAGUUUUAAUUUUCUACUUCCAUCAGAAAAAAAUAGUAAAAAAAAACAAACAAUAUAAUUAUCCCUCUUCCUGGUUAGCAUCUGGCCUGAUGCAGACCAAUCAAGUAAGAUGUCCAUAAAAGUCAUUUCCUGUCUGAUUUACUUGUCUUUAGGAUAUUUGCCUUGGCAAUAGACAGUGACACGGUCUGUGCUUAAAGUCCCCAUUGGGGCUGUAUGAAGGGUGUGUCUAAAAUGUGCACAUUCUCUCUGAGGCAACACUAUCACCACGCCAUCUGUAGUCACUCCACAGGAACAUAACCAGCACCAUUUAUUGCACAUAUGAUUACUGGUUGGCAUACCUUUUCCCCCUCUUUUUACAAGCCAUCUGCUCAGGGAAGGUGAGAAGGGAAUUGUGAAAAGAAAUACCGUAGCAUAUUGGUACCCUGCUUUAAUACAUAAACAUCCAUUCUUAGCACUUGGCUGUGAUUUACAUGUGUGAAGUAAGACCUGUUAAUUGUAAGUGCCGCUAUCAGUCUGAUCUCAAGAAAAAGUUAUGUACCAAAUCUGCUGUCUUAUGGAAACUAAAGGAAAACAUCAAACAGGCCUCCUUUGAGACAAGCCGUGACAUCCUGUGCAACACAAACCCUCAACUUUACAACAUUUAGAUCACAUAUUGUUCCUGUUUGUUCACAAGCAAGUGGGCUGUUUGAGGUGAAUGAUUGGAGUUGGCGAGUGUAUCUAAGGGGGCCUCUUUUGUGUGUGUUUGUUUUUGAGCCCAUGCCCCCAUAAUGUCUGACUCAUUUAAAAGCUUUGGAGUCAGUUCCAUUAAAAGCCUCUCUCUCUCCCUCUCUCUCUCUCUCUCUCUCUCUCUCUCUCUCUCUCUCUCUCUCUUCUUUUUUUGUAUGAUGUUGAGAGUGAGUUUAACUGUCACUACAGCCUUCUCAAGAGGAAGUCUUUGUGCCACAGUUAUACUAAAGUGUCAUUUAUUGUUGGUGGUAUUUUAUUUUUGACAGAAUGAAUUUGUGUUUCAUUUUCCUCAGACUCAGUUUUGGGCUUUUUGCUUUAAUUUUUUGACAGCUUUUAAAAGACAGGAAAUUUUGGGAGAGAGAGAGAAAGGGGGGAUACAUCGUGCCUGGACUGUGAUUUAAUUCUGAGACCACUGCGAUGAGGACUUCCCUGGUACUGCUCUACUAAAGGGGCUGAACAUGAUCCCCUUUUGACAAAAUUUUGAAUUUUAAUUAAUGUAGUUUUGUCUGAAAAGGGGGCAUUUUUCUCUAUGUUUUGACAUUGUAUGUUUGAAUAGAUAUUGUCUAUUUUUAUGAUAAAUAAGUGCAGACUGUUCAGUGGUAUACAUGUAGGAAUGACGGGAUUAUAAUAAAAAUUCCACCCCAUAUCUCUAAUACAGCAGAAAUAUAGAGCUUCUGUAACAGUUAUGCUGCAUUCCAGUUGUACUCAGAAGUAGGGAUUCCCAAGCCCCAAGUUGGAAAUUCAUCUGGAACGCCCCCCUUAAGUUGUAUUUCCGACUCGGAAAGUCGGACGAUCCUCACCAACUCCGCCUUGACGACAGUGUCACAAUUCAAGAUGGCAGUGCAGUGCAUCAACAGUAAAGAGUAACAGUCAAAGCUCUUGUAAUGUAUUAUUUAUUAGCCGUUCUGUUUUUUUUUUUAAAUUACACAAGUGGUUUAUGUUGUGCUGCCCAACGUCUAACUGUGAACACGGUGCUAUGGUGUUUGUAGAGUAAAAUACUGCGUUAUGCAUUGUUUACAACUGGUAUAGCUAACAACAACUAACAACCGCUGACAAAGGCUAACAACAACUCACAGUGGCCAAUGUUAGCUGACAAUUGUAAACAACAGCUACCAAUGGGUAACUCUAGGCGUCCAUCUUGGUUUACCGACUUAUUAACUGGAAUGCUGUCAACUUGGGUGUAUCGUCAUUCCCAGCUCCGACAUCUGACUUCUAGGGUAACUGGAACGCAACAUAAUAUUUAGGUUUACCCUACUCCAUCUCUGACAUGGCGUCUUAUGCGGCACUGUGUAACAGGGAUGGGCAGAAUCGCUUACUAAUAAUGUGGUACUUGUGUCUAAGUAUACCAAAAGUUUUGAUUAAAUUGGCCUCAUAUGAGCCAGCAAAGUUGCUUCACUCCCGUUAGGUUGCAUUGGUAUGGAUGAAAUGUAGGUGCCAGCAGAACUAACAGCCUCAGGCAUGUUUGACUUACAGCAAUCCAACCACAAGAGGACUUGAAUUUGGAGUACAAAAAACAGGCAUAAGUAGGGGCUGAAAUGUUGGCCCGACAGAGCUGUUUGUCUUCACAUCGACUUCUGCCACAUAAACUGGUCUUUGCACUUGUGAUUAGAAGAGGUCUGAAAAAUGUCUCACCAAAAUAUGCAGCAAAAUCACACUGUGCCGCUAAUCUGCAUAAACACAGAAUCAGCUGUGCCUCUGCUGAACUCAGAUGCAGGUUCAUUUGGCAGUAAGGGAGCACUUUGGGGCAAAGAUCAAUGGCAGACUUUGUAGCUGUCUCAUUAGGCCUGAGGUGUGAUGUCCUGGGUGAGGAGGGGGGCUGAGCUGUCAACCGAUUCCCACCUGGCAGUGAUUUGGAUCAGAUGGUGAAGAAGGAAGUGUAUGCAGUGCUGAAAUGUGUGUUCCUCUAAUUGCAGAGUGGAUUUUUUUUUCUGGUCAUGAGACCUGUCUGUUUUAUUCCAACUUUCACCUCAGAGCCAACACCCACCACUUGUAUGCAGAGGUUGGGAACAUGUGAACCCUGUUCAAACUCUGGAGCACGGACACUAGCAGUGAGGAGGGCUGUAGAUAAGGAGGUCAUCCAAGCCUGGUUGGCACAAUUUAGCUGCAGAAUGAGUGGAUGGGUUUCCACAGGCCAAAAUAUUAUUUGUAAGCCAAAAGGCUACAUGGGUACAAAAGUACAAGGGUGUUUUUGGAAAGCCAUUGAGAAUAGCUGAUUUUAAUAUGGAUAGGACUUAGCCAUUUUAGAAGCUGACGGGUCAGGUAGAGUAUGAACGCUUAAAAUGGGUCAGACUGAACAUUUUAUCCAAAAAUUAACACUGUUGCUGUCUAAUAGAUGGUAUUAUAAUGCUGACCAGAUAUUAGCAUAUAGAUCUGUACAGGGAAAAAAGUGGUAUAAAAGUUAAACAAUUCUAAGCAAAAAGAAAUUUUAAAGUGAAAAUCGUGUCAAAUUUACUCUUGUACCUCAUAGCUUGGUGGACUUGAAAAAGUUGAUAUAACCAAAAAUAGAUGUAUGAAUAUGUUAAGGUUAGGACUGUAUUUCAACAAUGUUUGCCAAGUAAAUAUGGCAUUGUUACAACUACUUUAAUAGUGGGACUAAAAACCCCAAACCAUUAAACAGCACCACCAUUGAUAGACCCUUUGUCUAAAACUUGCAGUCUUCACCAUAAAGAUUUGAUAACAUGCAAAGGCUAAUUUGUCAACAUGUAUCAGAUAAGUUUAUCCGAGUUAGAUGAGUACAUCCAUUGUAUAGCAUGUAUUUUUGGCAAAAUUAAAAUUUAAGGACAAGAACAGUUUGAAUAGUUUUGGCUCUUUUUGUCACAAAUCUAAAGUGGAGUACGUGUAAGGUUUUAAAAAAAUGGUUCGAUUGGUACUUGAAAGGUUUCAGUAAUAGACCUUUAUGUUGGUUAAAAUGAUCCAUCAGGUCGGUGCCAAUACAAGUGGAUGCACAAAACCCUAAACAUUUCAUUUUUUCACCAGUUCUGAGAUGUGUAAAAAGUUUGAUAAUUUUUAUUGCAUGUUUGUGAUAUUAUCGUACUAUUUCUCUUUUUAAACUCAUGGAAAUUCUAAGAAUUUUCAUUUGAAACACUGAAAUUUGUUUUUCCCUCAUCCUCUGAAAGUUUCCAAAAGCUUUGACAUGUUAAUGAAAAUUUCGGCAAACUUUUGAUGAUUUUUUGAAAAACUUUGAGGAAUUUUUAAGAGUUUUAAAUUAAGAUUUCUGGAACUUUUAGAGUACAUCUUGUCAAACUUUUGGGAACCGAAAGCAACAUUAAUUAUAAUGGUGUCAGCUGGAUCUGUUGUUUUGGGGUAUUUCAUUCACGAGCUGAAGGCAUUAAAUUGGCUCAGCAUUUUAAUCAUACAUAUGAAUUUCCUCCCCUGACAUCCUCACAUGCUGUCUCUUUUUAUUCAGUGGGCGUUCACAGAUUAAAAAAUAAAAAGCCCUUAAUGCUAAAUUACAUGUAACAUGGUAAGAUAAAUAGUUCUAGAGCCUUUGACCUGUCUGACAGAAAAUGUGAGUCGAUUAAGUCUAAACCCGUGCUCACCAUUAGCUUCUGACUUUUACAACCACAAGUCACAUUCAAACAAAUCUGUAAGGCGGCUUUAAUAAUCCACUCUGACUUUCAGUCUUUCUGAUCACAUAUGCUGCCUGUACGUCAACUGGCUUUUCUGCUUACUUCUGCUUUAGUAUAUGUGCUGAUUUCUCCCUCCUCCUGCUCCUCCAUCUUAUUACCAUACUUGAGAUGGCGUCUCCUGCCUUGUACAUUAUGUAUGUCCCACAUCUCAGUGAUAUACACCCUCUGGGUCCUCUUCUGUAUACUCCUUGUAGUUUUAAUGUACUCCCUCAGAAUUUCAUAUGCUGCUUGGAUUUAUUUAAAAAGCAAUAUGACACACAGAAAACUUCUUCAUCUGAGUGAUGACAGUGGCUCAGAACUCCAGCUGCACUGUUCCUGGGUUGGCAUGUAAAGUUGGAUGGAUCAUUCUUUGUGAAAUUGAUGAGAUCUCCCUGUGCCUCAGGAUUAUAUUUUGGAUACUCUGGUUCUUCUUGGAAGUCUCAAAGAGAAAUACAAUAAACAGUUAGUGUAUCUAUGAAGCUGCUUCAGCCAUUGAUUAAAUACACAAGCAGUCUACGGUGAAGAGAGAGGUUUUAGAGGCGUUUCGGAUGAGUUGACCCUGGACAGGAUCUAUCAGUCUAUCCUUUGAAUGCUUCAGUGUAACAUUACAUAAUUUAGAUAUCAUAAGGACUUUAUUUUCCAAAGUACAUUUACUUCGCUGUGCAAACUCGUCCCAUCAAGCCCUACCAAAAAAGAAAAAAAAAAAGUCUCUUGCACCCUUACCCUUACUUAACCCAAUAGGUAUUUUCAUGAUGUCAUUCUAAGAGUUUCAUCCAGUCAAGUCUAUUUAAACACUGUGUGUUAGUUAGAGUUGAUUGUUCAAAACUUCUGUCAAUAAUAGGUCCUUUCAUGGAUAUGAAUAGUAAAUACGACAUGCCCUUUUGAGCUGCUGGCCUACAAUGAGGCUAAGCUAUUGGAGGCAUUAUUCCCAUUAAAGGUGAUGCAUGUACAAUGAAAAUAAAUUAUAACUUGCUCAUUUCAACGCCAAAACAUGUGCUAUUAAUACAGAGCAUUUGAUAAAAAAAACUCCUGUAUUUAUAGCACAUGUUUGAAGUUGAAGGUAAAUUAAACCUCAUGAAAAUCGGUUGAGAAAUGAGAAAAUAUAAUUUAUUUUCCAUGUACAUCUAAUGCUUUUAAUGGGAAUGUUGCCCCCGCUACCAUGGCUGCCACGUUGGCACAUUGCUUAGUGGGCUGCUACAGCACGCUGGCAUAUCUAGUCUUCUAUAUAUAUCUGUGGCUGCUUUUGCCAUGAAACAGGAAGUAGUUUUUUACCCAGCCAGGCAUAGUCCAAUCUGAUCCAAAUGUUCCACAAAUAAUAAGGGUCAAGGCCUGAACACAUUCAUAUGGUAAUAUUUUAUCCCACUCUUCAUCCCAGUUGCCAAAUACUGUGAAUUUUUCAUUGAUUUCAGUAUCAUUCUAGUCAUGAAAUUUCAAACCGCUCUUUCUCAGUCCUACAUUGAAAUAUCUACACGACACUGUCUGUGCUCAUAAGCGGUCCCUGCCUGGACUAAAUGUCUAACAAACACGCCAGUCACCACAGGGACCAAUGUAAGUGUGCAAUUCAGGCCUCUGCAUCCUGUAUAUGUGUGUGUUAAUUGUACUCUUAUUUGAAAUCUUCAAAAAGUAAAUACAGCCAUAGUGGUCAAGGAAAGAGUGUUUUUUUAUUUAUUUUUAUUUUUUAGUUGAUUUGGAAAAAUUAUAUAUUUUUUCAUAUUAACACUUUAAUUUGUGCUUUCCUCACCUUUGAAGGUCAACGGAAACAGCACAGCAGUAUACACUGGUAGGAGAGUCUUGUCUAAGUCAUCAAACUAAGAUCGGGAAUCAAGGUAUUACAGAAGUAAAAGUGUUAAGAUAGUGAAAUGUGACAGAUUUGAACUCUUUGUACAGGACUGAUACAAAUAUAUGAUCAGCUAACUGAAUCAAAGGGAGAAAACCUUUGAAACUGAUCCUCUUUAUAAAUGUUUUGACUUUUCAUUGACUAGAACUAGACUUAGACUAUGAAGGGCAAAAUGACGAUAAUGCAACCACAACUUAAGCUUAUCUGAAGAAUAAGAUUAAAUCUUAAAUAGCUGCCACAGCUAACACUUAUUUUAAGAGGACUUGUCAUGGAUACCUAAGCACCUUUUUCUGAAACCUUGGUUUAAACUUUGGGCUUCAUAAAUUUGAAGAGAAUAAUAGAACAUUUUAAAAAAAUGCAUUAUCUGCAGAGGUAAUAUUUGCUCAUGUUACCCAAUCUUUCAAUCUGCCACAUCUGCUGCACUCACUGAUGGGUUAAUGAGGGGCACACAUGUCCUGUCCUAUUUCCUGCAAUCAGCUCACUCAGACGUUUUGACAGGAGGCAAUUAUGGACGAAAAAUAGUGAGGAGGCUGCAAAAUUGCUCAGACACACACUCUCAGAUAUGUCUAUUCACAGGGUCAAAACUGCAUAAGGGAUUAGGCUCAGUGCGCCUGAUUGACACACACAUUGGAAUUAUACCUGACGUAGGAAGAUUUUGGACCAUUUAAACCCCAACCUUAAUCACUUUUGCACACACAGUAGCUAUAGUAAAGUUAGACAUUGAGGGAAGCAGCAUAUUCCAUUUUAUAAUAUAACUUUAAGAGGAGCACAGAAGAAUCAGCCAUAUCCAUAGAGAGAGAGAUCACCUUUAAGUGCCUUUUGAUACAGUUAACCUCAACAUGUUCGCACUUUUUUAUUAUCCAUAGUUUUAUCAUCUGAAGACACUUACAUUUAGAUUUGCUUCCAUAUGUGACCUACUUGAAGCGGCUUAGAUUACCUGCUUCUGACCGGGUUCGAGGUUGAUGUUGUUAAACAGUCCACCUGUACAUCUCCAUCUUGCUGAGUGAUUGAGUGAUAAGGGAGUCAAAAAUGAUGCAGGCCAGUCAUAUAUCAACCAAAUACUUCGCACAGCCCACGCCAGCAGCUCUGCAUCCCUCCAAGGUGAUACUGACAAGAGCUUGAUCGAGAAGGGCAAGAGCAAAAUGUUCAGUCUCAGCACGCCAACGCCAUACUUUAAUCAAUCUAAAACAUGUCACAAGCUAUAACUGUACUACUUUUAUUUUUGUCAGCUGAAAAAAGAAAACUCGACCUGAGUUGUGCCAGCUCAAGUGUAUUAGCUGCGUUAUUUAGACCUUGAGAUAAGAUGUUUAGAAUAAGCACCAAUAACCAUUUUGGCAUUUUCAUUUACAAUUAGAUCCUGCUAGAUACUGAAAAGUUAGCCAAUCAAUGCAUUAGACACUUACAAAUAAAAGGCUUAAGAGUCUUAUUAAAGCUCCUCAGACUUACUCGGAGAUGCCUGUUUUCUGACAAGACGCUGAUUCAAACCUGUAAAGUGUCUCCUAAUCUGCCCCUCCACCCUGGGCAAUCUGUCAUGAUCGACAGCGUUUGCUCAGUGGUAACAACACAAACAUUCACUCUGACUGUCAAGGUCCCACAAGGCAUUUAAUUCCUCUCCGAGACAGCUAGGGAGUAAACCCUGUGAUUACAGGUAUAGGACUGGUUAAAGUUCAGCUUGGCAGAAUACUGCUCUCUGGUGAAUCAAGCGCAUUAGCAACCCAGACACUCAAGAUGAUUUGCAUGCAUUGUCAGCCCCUUUAGAACAUCACACAAAGUACUUGAACAGCUUGCUGCUACUGGGGCCAAGAGGCCUCAGACCUCCCUGCUGUCAAAGAUUUGUACACUCACAACCCUAAUCGGGCUGCUGCUGCUGCUGCUGCUGGUGGUGGUGGGUAAACGAAAUCUUAUCUGAGCAGAAUGACCCUACCAGCAAUUUAUUUAGCUAUCUCAUGAAAUAGCUUUAGUAGGCAUUGGUUGUGGCCUACAGCAUAACAGAUAUAAGUCUGUAAGGCUGCACGGAAAAAAACGAACAUUGCAAUUUUUUUCAACCCUGCGAUAAAUAUUGCUAUAUUAAAAAAUACAGAAAUGUUCACCAGAUGACCUGAUUAGCACUUCAUGCUAUUCUGCACUGCUGAAAUCUAGUGGACAAUUCACCUCCACUGAUCUUCCCCCUUUUUGUGGUUGUUAGUAGAAUGGCUUCAGUCCGUCUCAGAGACAUUUUUAGCUUGCUUUUAUUGUGCUGAGAUGUUAUUGUGGCAACAGAUGAACACAGAACAUGCGUUAUGUUCGACAUCAUCCGAAAAAAUUCCAGAUAACUGACAUUGCUUUUCUUUUUGGCAACAAGUCUUUAUUUUUGGUGGUUUCUUGGCUCAACACCGGCAGCACAGCAACUCACUCCAUGUGCAGGGGUGUGGUUUCCUCCUGUCUGAUAUUGAUUGACGGCUGGCAGGGUAGUCUGAUUGGCAACUGUGUAAAGACCGAAUACGAUUGGUGGAUCACUGCACAGCACAUGCAGAGUCACAUGCAGUGUAUCUCAGUCAGCUACCCUUGAAAUUACAUGAGUUCAUUCGUCUCCUACAUCGCAGGCUCUGCAAUGUGACUAUCGCGCACACGUACAUUGCGAUGACGAUGCUCAAACUAUAUAUUGUGCAGCCCUAUAAGUCUGCAUACAUAUGUUACACCUUUUCCCCUCUAUUUGACAUUAUUCACUUAUUGUUUGAUUGCCUGAAUAGAUAUUUUUAUGAAAGUAAUAGCCAAAACUUGAGUGACAAGGGUUUAGACUAAAUUACACUUAGUAGGGCUAUCGUUGUGAACUUAUUAUAUUUUAAAUCCUGCACUGUUUUGUCUCUUUCACAUCCUACUUAAGUCUUUCUACUUCCUGCUGCUGCUGUGAUGAAGGAUUAUCUUUACAAUGGCACAACACACAUUAAAUAAAAAAAAUAAAUAAAUAGAAAAGUGCAUAACAAUGUUGAUUUAUUAAUAUUGAACAGCUGCUUUGGGUAAUCCAUUCAGUGUGCACCACAAAUUUAAUUCUGAUGUUGAAUAGCCCUAGACUAUUAUCGUCCCAUCGGAUGCAGAUUCAUAAACUGGUCUUGUGUUGAGCAGAAUGAAUUCUGUAUUUAAUUAACCCCAGAACAUCUUCCCAAGGAUUAAAACUCAAUUGUUUGACCCUGCGAUGUGUCACAGCCCAAAGCUGGCUCAGACCUUUUGACACCCCCACAGGGUGCAUGCCUCAGUGCUGUUUAAUCCCAAAUUAAAUCACGUUUAUCCCUACUGUAAAGAUACAAUUUAUUCCUUUUUGUUUGUCAAAUUAAGAUUAAAUAGUCAGAAUUGAUCUUGUUUGUUCAAUUGUUUCCAUAUUACAAACUAACUGAUUGAAGUGAUGUAUGUCAGCUGUCAUUGUUAUAGUCGUUAAAUCAAAGAAAUUAAAAACAGAUCACAUUGGUGAAGCAUUGCAGCAUUUAUUUGAAAGAUAAUUCUGAAAGUCAAAAUGACAGUGUAUUCAUUUGCAUUAAUUUAAUCCUCAAAUGAAGAAUAGCCUUUUAAUGUGGAUCUGGAAAAAAAAACUAUCUUUAAAUGCAAAAUAGACAUACCAUUAAAAUGAUAACUGUCAGCUCUUAAUCAGGACUGUAAACGAUGUAUUGUCUAAUAGCCUGCGUACAAGGAGUUGUCAUUUGUGUCAAACCAAAUCGAACUGGGCUUCUAUGUCCAAAUUUUAUGUCAAGGAGACCCAGAAUAAACAGCACAAUGUAAGGUAAUGACGUCUAUCACACAAAGAUAAAAAGUACUAAUAUUAAACGGGACUGAAGCCAACAAACUCACUGUCAGGUUUGAGAACAACACAUGAAUACUCCUCUAUGCUGAAACAUUGACUCCCAGAGUCAUCAAUUGGUGGGAUUGGUUGAUCACUAUCAUCAUCAUCUCACUUCCAUUUUUCAAACCUCACUUCACCCGUAUGAUGAACCUUAAAAAGGAUCUGUAUGAACUUUUUAGCCCUGCCACAGGAGUCCCCCAGGGUUCUCUUCUGGGUCCUCUCCUUUUUUUUCCCUUUAAACACCUUACUCAACCUUGUUGUAUGUUCAAAUGUCUUAUCUUACAACAUUUCAUGCAGACAGUACUUGACCUUUUCUAUCCUUACAACAGUCAAUGGAUAUAUGUACAACACCUUGAGCUUUGAUAGUCAUUAGAUGGUUUAUGGCUGAGUCUAGAUUGCAGAGAGAACCGCAACAGAUCAAGUAACAUACAAACAACUUGUCUUUUCCCUGCAUUUGGGUCUAAAUUAGGCCUGGACGAUAUAGAAAAAAAGCAUAUCGAUAAAAAAUAAAUCAUAUUGAUCGAUAUCGAUAAUUAUCGAUAUUAUUAUAAUUAUUUAACAUAUAUUUUAAUUGCAGCCCUGGAUGUUUUAUGCUAUUGCUUAAUGACCUACUUUUAAUAAAGAACACACAAGCACUGAAUUCAAAUUCAAACCUUUAUUCAACCACCUUUUUUUUUUUUUACCACAACUGAAAGUUUUUUAAAAAAUAACUUAAAAAAAAAAAAGAGAUCAACUUAAGUGGCCUGAGUGAUGUCAGUAAAUACUGACAAACAUAAAGACUAAAGGGACCAGAAAAUCUGAUAAAUAAAUAUUUAAAUAGUCUUUUGAUGAAAAUAAACAAAACAAACAAAUAUAUAAAUAAACAGAAUAGCUUUAGGUGGGAAUAGCAUACUACCAGUUUUAACUAUGUGGGAAACUGCCCACAGCCUGGUGUUUGAACACUGAAAUAUUUCUCCCGGGGUCGGGAGAUUUAUUUUUUUAAUUAUCAUGUGAUUGACUUAAUACGCAAACUGAGCACGAGAAGCAGGACUUAUCCACGCCGGUGUUGUGUCGUAGAUUGCACCCCUGCCGAAUGCACCCCCUGCUAGUAGCCAUGAUCCAAAUACUCGCGUCUUUGUAAAAUAUGAGCUCAUUUUCUUCCACUUUAAGAAGCUAAUGAGUGGACGGGAUGCAGGGGUGCAUUCUACGGUACAACACCGGAACGUAUUUCCUCCGCACCCUUCUCACCUUUUCAACCCCUGACCCAUUUUCAUGCCUGAAGCGCUGUGUUUGAGAAAUACUUGCGGCCGGGCACUUCAUAUCGCGGGUCGAGAGUGGCUAGAAGCUGGUCGAAGCCAGGCUUUUCAACGGUAGUUAUUGGCAGUAUGUCCCUCGCUAUGAAUCAUGUUACUGCAUGGGUGAUGUCCUUAUGCCGCUCGGACGCUUUGUCGUAUUUUUGGUAAGAAACGAAGUCCAGUUUGGUCUGCUUCACUUGCUUUGUGCCGGUGCUGGCAGCGGUUCCAGAGGAUUCCUCCUCCGACGACGUGGAGCCGCGGCGCGGCCGACACAGCUCGUACUCCUGCGGCUGCGACCGGUUUAGAUGGUAAAACAAGUUGGUUGUGUUACCAGACUUGGUUUUUACUAAUUCUCGGCAAAUUUUGCAAACGACCGCUGUUCGCUUUUUGUCAGACUUCUAAAAACCAAAACAUUGCCAUGCUGGAGAACUACUGAGACCUUUUUUCGGGACAAUGUCCUCCGCUUCUCCUUGCUGUAACAUUUUUUCUAAUACACGUGCUGUCUGUUGUGGUUUGAUAGGGGCUGGGCUUGGUGCCGUAGCGUACCUGGGUCUGCGUUUGUGAUUGGUUGGGAGGAAGUAAUGACUGUAGUAAAAGCUACAUGAUAGGCCAUGAUGAAAAAGGAAGGGAAACUGUGUUUUUCUAUCGAACUUUUUAUCGACCCGUUUUUUUUCUAUCGCCCCACACGUCUAUCGAUCGAUAUAUAUUGUUAUCGAAUUAUCGUCCAGCACUAGUCUAAAUAUUAUUUUCUCUUCUUGCAGCACCACUCUCUACCCAAAAGCAAACACAUUUUCCCUUAGUAGAUCAUAAUUUGACAGAGAAAGGUUCAUAUGAGUGUCUAUCUGUCACCACUGUUGUAGCCAGAAUAUGAUCACUUACAAAAUCAUCACAAGCGAGCCCACUGGAGCACUCAGCACAGUAGAUCAGUACUCUUGCCCGGGUCAGGGAAAGUUUAGACGUGUAACUUGAACCAAUUUGAGUCAUACAUUCAGGAUGAUGCAAAAAGCAACAACAAAAAACAGAAAGAUUAAUGCUGGGUAAAGCUAUUUGUGUGACCAUCCUGCAUCUUUUUUUCUUCACAUCUUGUUUGCUUCACUGAAUAUAUCUGCAAGAUUGCCCAGCCAAGCAAACCACUUCUAAUCCAUCUAGACAUCUGCUUGAUCAGGCCUCUUGUCACACAGAAUGAAAGCUCCUUCUUCAAACAAAAUGGACAUGUCAGCAUUAGAUAAAGGAACCACUUUGGCUCUUUGUGUUGGGCCAAGGACCGAUAGCUAGUUCCUACUUGGCAAAGAAGGGAACUGUGAAGAUCUGGAGAUUUUGGUAUUGAUAUGUUAGAUGCACUUAGAAUAAAGCCUAAAACUUGUCAGUGGGAAAGUCUUUGCUUCAGGUGAAUAUCUACACCCCCAAAAAAGACACAAAGCCACAUUUAUAGGGAACAAAAGCACCAUAUUUGACAGGGAUAGAUCCCUUGGUGGGAUUAAGAACUGAUGUAGCUUUUAUACACUGUACACACUGUUAGGUAUUCUGCAAUACAACCAAUAAAAACAUUUAUGAAAGCACUGAUUUAUAGAGUUUAUAGAGAGAGCUUUGAAUGGUGUAAAGUACAACUUGUUGUGUGAAUAAAACUGUGCUUUCAUUGGUUGAAUGCUCCCUACAAGAGGCAUCUUUUUAGCAGUAGUCCGAAGUAAAUUAAGCAAACACGAAAAUGGGGGCUGACACAAAAGUCACGAAGCCCAUUUCCAAACAGCUCACACGCUGCGGUGCCUGCUAUGCUUUGUUGGUAUACCUAUUGUUUACCAUUCAGUAAUACUUUAUUUAUUAUGAGCAAAGCAACUGACUAGUAACAUAAAACUCCUGUGAGUUUUUCGACCUCAAGGAAAUACACUGAAAGAUGGUUAUAUUGUUACUUUGAAUCCAAUACAGGUUCAAGGUAGGUGACAUUUCAGCAGAUGAAGGAAAAGCCUUGCUUUUAAAAUUCAAAGGUAUAAUAUUCAGAAAUAAUUAUUUAUUUAACUUCAGCUUUGAGUACCAAAAUGGACACAAACACAAAGUUCCAUAUUGGAGGAGUACUGGAACUUUUUAUGUACUUUUUGAAGGAGAAGCAGAGCGUGAAAAUUGGUCAAAAAUACACAAAAGUUUAAAAUAAAGAAGUUUCAAAAUUGGGUUUGUGAACAUAUUAUUCCUACCACUAACUUUGGUCUUUUUAUUUUACCUAUUUCCUUAUCGAUUAAGUUUGAAGGAGUUUUUAUUUUAAAUUGUUCUCUCUGAAUGGCAUCACUUCUACACUGUCCUAAAGAGUUCUUCCUAUAAGGCGCUUUUACUGGAAGAGCAUGAAUCACUGAACUCUGGUGAACACAGGUCAGUUUUUGAGAAGCGAGUUUCCAAUAAUGAUGGGGUACUUUUUCUGUUUGAGGACAGGAUGAUUCUAUGCUGUCUGCAAUCAUUGGAUAUUUCUCUUUGAACGCAAGUUUUUGGCCUUGAAGUGAUUUAGAUGUUUGUAGCUGAAGAGCAUGAUGCAGCCAGAGGAUGUAACGAAAUCCUGAAAACUUAGUGAGCGACUCUGAAUCACUGCUGUCCAAUAAUAUCAUAACAAUGAGUUUGUUUUGGUUUUUCACAAGACACCAGAUGACUGAGUAUUUUCUAUCCUUUGAUUUGUUCUAUUUUUCAGAGAAAGAUCCAACUUUUGGAUUAUUUAAGCUUUCAAUUACAAUUUUCACUUGUCAAUAAAGAAAGAAAAUAGCCACUAUGGACCAAAAUACAUUUAUUUUUUUAACACUUUUAGAGGCAGCAUCUAGUGCGCCAAUGUUACGCUGAGCUCUCACAUAUUUAAGAGGCAUAUGAUCAUAGCUACUUCAUUCACAUUGUACACACUUUUUAUCUUCAUAAAGUGUUAUAAAUAAUUUCCAAGAGACCCCCAAAAUUUUGCAGUUGCGGCUUUAAAGGGUCUCAACUGUCAGUCAGUGGGUCUCAGACCCCAUAAGCCUUCCAUAUUUUGCACCCAGGGUAUGAUCUUUAAAAAAAAAAAAAAAAAAGAAGAAUUAUCCUGGGAUUUUCUUUCCACCUAAAGAUUUCCACUUUUUUUAUCCAACUGUUUGCACACAUGGAAAAGACUACUUAAAUAAUCCCAGAAAAUAUUUUACACCUGCCAAAAAAGAUUUCCCUAUUCCCAGCUGCUUAACAUUUGUGAAAAUGGAAAAAUAACCUUACCAUCUUAGAGUACCUGGGGGAAGUCAAACUUGGUCAGGGCACAAAUAAGUCAGCCUCAUGUACGCUGACUGGAUAUGGGAUAUUUUCUGUAAGUUUGAGAGCAUCUUUUUUUUCCUUUCUUGCUGUUUUCAGGAUUCUGAGCGAGAAUCAAGGGUCAGCCUACCUUUCAAAACAGGCUCUUCUCAUCUUUUUUAAAAACAGAGCUCCACCACGGUGAUGGGUGACAGUUUGGUAAUGGAACAAAGAGUUCAGGGCAGCUUCUUCUGAGAGGAAUCGAAAAGUCCACUUUUGGACAUGUAUUAUCUGGACAAGCUUAUAGCUAUCGCAGAACAUGUUGACAGUGUUGGGACAUUUUUCAAUGCUUCAGGGUAUAAGUAUUUCUAUUUGUUUUUAUUCUAUUAGAAUAAAGAUGUUCAAAACACCAUCCAUGAAGCCAUUUAUACCUUGUUAUAUGUGUCGCAGUGACAUUAAUGCACUUUAGGUGAGUAAGAACCCUGGAAAUAUCCAAAGUGCCCUGAUUUUUACAACCAUUUAAACACUGACUUCCAGUUGGGUUCAUGAUUAGGGUCCAAAGGGUUUUUUGCAGAUCUCAUUAUGCCUACAAAAUUUAAUAUUUAUCUUUCUUUUUUGAGUUCUGCAGGAGGGUUCACUUCUUAGCUGUUUAUUUCUAUGGCCCAUUUCUGUGGUCCAGCUUUCCUGAAGACCAGGGGGCUGCAGAGAAUAUUCAUUUUACUAUCAAGAAAAUCAAGACGUCACUGUUUAGUCUGGCUUUGAACUACUUGUCAUUUAUUUUAGUUAUCAUAUAAUACUCUCCUUAUUUUUGUUUUUCAUCACCUUCACAGUUAAUAUUUUAUUCUACCUCAAGUGUUUCCUCAUUCGGAUCUUGUGAUAGUAUUUCCUCAGUUUCCUCUGACUUUUGAGCCCCUGUUUUUAUUCAGUCUCUCAUUUAUAACAUGUUCUUACAUUAAGUUGAGAUUUCGAGGUGGGGAUGGGGGUGUUCCCUUUGUUAUUUUUUAUGCACAUCACUUGUAUAUUGUAUAAAAAGUGCUUUAUAAAUGAAGUCUGAUUAACUGAAAGGGGGCACUUUGCCACCUACCGUUGUGGAGGGGGGUUAGAUACAAAAUACAUAAAUAUUACCACUUGGUUUUAUUUCUCAUUUUGUUUCAGUAUCAGAUUAUUGCUUGUUCCCUGUUUUGUUUCACCUGGUAGAUUUAAUUUUAAUUUCCUAAAUUAACCUUCGUUUAACAUCAAAACAUGUUUUCAGACUGUAGGAAUGAGAGGACAGCAGCCCCUUGUCAAACAUAAAUAGAUGUAGGAGCUCUGAAAAUGCCAAAUCUCUUCUGGGCUAAAGAAAAGAGAGUAAUCAAUUCAGCUGUACCGGUUGCUUAGUAACUGAGGUCAUGCUUGGACAUUUUCAUAGGUUAUGUAUUUGUUCACAAUGAUGUCCCUGAGCAGUACACUAGCUAAGCUACUUCACCAGUUAAAUCUGUCUAGCCUUGUGCACACAUCAACACAAAGCAUUUCAGUGUUACUAUCUCCCUACAGAGAAUCAGGGGCUGCAAGUGGAACAGCUACGUGAGCGGCAUGGCAGGCUCAUAUUUUACCUGCAGGCACUGGCUGUCAACAUCUCGACCACAGAAUUACAAAUGACAGAGCAGUUCCUGGAAUCACGACCAUCAGUUUCUGCACACCAGAGGAUGUUGGCAAUGCACUGUUAGAGAAUACUGCGUUCUGCUCCUCAAGAGUCAAUAUGGAACAAAUGUGAUAUCUGAUCAGUCUUCGUAAUUUCAUUUUUUUCUGUCUACUUAUAAUCUUCCCUCCAUUCUUUUACCCUGUAUGUUUUUUUUAUCAUAAAUUGCAUUUCCUUUUCCUUUUUUAUUUAUUUUUUUAAUCUUUUCAAAUAUACUGAAUUAAUGUUCAUAAAACCACCUUGCAAGUAGUGUAUUGUGGUAGAAAUCUUCCGUAAGCUUUUUAUUUUUCUCAUGGCCUAUCCAAUUCAUACUAAUGGCCGCUUAUUUUUAAAAUCAUCAGUUAAAAACGGCAACUUUUGGCAGUGAUGUUUUCUGACCUAGGUCAACGGACUAUCCUGCAAAAACUCAGAAGUUGAAGAGUGUUUUGGAUAUUAUUUAAGCCAAAACUAGGUCUGAACGAGAAAGGAAAAAAAUCCAACACAUGCAAGAAACAUGUACUGUUUAAAUUCCUCACUAACUGCUAAGGGCCUCUCAGUAUGUGAGGACCAGAAUAAAACUAAUUGUUUUCAGUUUUACCAAUUUAGCUGGCCCAGCAAGGAAGCAAAAUGAUUGAAUUUAAAUUUGUUUUUCAAGCGCUAAAACUUUUCUUUGAGGGAGGUGGAACAAAAAGUGUUGUUUUUAUCACACAGCCAGCACCACUCAAUAGGGCGGCUUUGCUUAAUAUAACCAAGGUCCCUUAACAAUGCUCACAAUGAGAUUGUUAGUGGGCUUGUUUGCAGUAAAAGAAAUGCAGUUUUUGAAAGCUUGACUUGUGUCAUGCAACUCACUUUUUUAUGUUCGGGUUUUGCAGACUGGGUUGAGAAAGUUAUUCACAAACCAUUGCAAGUUCUUCUUCCUGUGUAUGACUAUAAUACUGUGUUUUCACAUGAUGGCACAGUUUACAUAAAUAUCAGGCUACUGCAUAUGCAAGAACAGUUGUACUCGCUGCUCUCUUGCCAAUCAGCAGGAGCUGAACUUGCCUCAAGAUAUGUGACUCAAGGCAAUGUCUAUUUUGCCUGGAGUCAACAAAUUUCAAGGUAAAUAAUAUGUAACUGUGGAAUUAAGUUCAGAGGAAAUGAAAGACUGUUUUCAGGCAAUGCAAUCAUCAACGAACUCAAAAGUGCGACAUAUGAAGGAAUGAACAUGCGUCCAACUGAGCUAGGAAGGUUAGAGCCGGAGGAAAACACUGCUUUGCUCAGGGGCAUUAUGAGUCGACUUCAUGAGUGUGUAGAGAUGAGAGGGAGAAGGUGGGAGACCUGGGGAAACACUGGAAAGAACUGGGCUUCCUGGUGGGCAUCUGAGAUCAGCCAAGGCUGAGAUGAACACAUCAGCACACUGGAGCACAUCUAUGCUCCUUUUUGACCUAAUAAAAUAGACCAACCCUUGCUAUCAUGGUUACACACCUUGGCUGUGUCUGAAACCACAUACUAUUCAUUUGAUUUAUGAGACAUAUGGACUUAUGAUAUGCAAUUUUGAGUAUUUGAAAAAUGCUCUGAUGUUCAUUUGAUUGGCUGAUUUAUUUAUUUAUUUUUUAUUUAUUUUUUGUUUUUUGUUUAAAGGGAUAUUCUGGUGUAAAAUUAAGUUAGGGUCAAUAACAUUGAGUUAGACAUCCCCUCGAGAGAUGAAUGUUGCCGACCGCUUGCUUCUCUAGUUAUACCAACUUUAGUAACCGCACGAUAGCAAUACACAGCGGUCUAAGUAGCAGCGGUCAAGAAAUGUUCUUUUUUGAGCUUCGUCACUCUGCUGCAGUUGAUGAUGGACUUGUCCAAGGUCUCCCUACAAACAAGCGGCUGCUGGAAGAGAAUGGGUAAGUUGUGUUUAGUCUCUUUGCUAAAAAAAUUAGGCAAAGCUAAAAUGACGUGUGGUGGCUAGUGCUAUGACCGGGACCCUGUAUGUACUGUUGAUGAAGUUAGGUGCUGUUCUGAGCAUUAUUAGUGGCUUUUUGUUUGAGGUGUGCGCGUAGCCGCGUAGACCACUGUGUAUUGCUAUUGUGCGGUCGUUACUAAAGUUGGUAUAACUAGAGAAGCAAGCGGUCAGCAACAUUCAUCUCUCGAGGGGGUGUCUAACCCUGUGUUAGUGUGUUUGACCCUAACUUAAUUUUACCCUGGAAUAUCCCUUUAAGGCCAGAGGUCACUAUCCUUACACAAACACCAAAAAAAAACCCAUGCCAGCUCUUUAAACUGCACAACUGAGAAGCUCACCAAUCGGUAAAAGUGGCAUUAAAUGUGGUUUAAAAGACAUAAUUACACAGCUGAAUUACCAAGAUCCUUGGUAAACUGUUUUUUUAAUUCUUCAUAUGACACAAUGGGCAUUGCUGGCUCAGCCAUUAUUACUCAGACCUGAAGUAUGUGACUGAAGUUGACCUACUGAGCAGACAGGAAUCAGUAUAUUGAAAGUGGCACAGUUACAGUCAAAUAAAAUAGACCAACCCUUGCUAUCAUGGUUACACACCUUGGCUGUGUCUGAAACCACAUACUAUUCAUUUGAUUUAUGAGACAUAUGGACUUAUGAUAUGCAAUUUUGAGUAUUUGAAAAAUGCUCUGAUGUUCAUUUGAUUGGCUGAUUUAUUUAUUUAUUUUUUAUUUAUUUUUUGUUUUUUGUUUAAAGGGAUAUUCUGGUGUAAAAUUAAGUUAGGGUCAAUAACAUUGAGUUAGACAUCCCCUCGAGAGAUGAAUGUUGCCGACCGCUUGCUUCUCUAGUUAUACCAACUUUAGUAACCGCACGAUAGCAAUACACAGCGGUCUAAGUAGCAGCGGUCAAGAAAUGUUCUUUUUUGAGCUUCGUCACUCUGCUGCAGUUGAUGAUGGACUUGUCCAAGGUCUCCCUACAAACAAGCGGCUGCUGGAAGAGAAUGGGUAAGUUGUGUUUAGUCUCUUUGCUAAAAAAAUUAGGCAAAGCUAAAAUGACGUGUGGUGGCUAGUGCUAUGACCGGGACCCUGUAUGUACUGUUGAUGAAGUUAGGUGCUGUUCUGAGCAUUAUUAGUGGCUUUUUGUUUGAGGUGUGCGCGUAGCCGCGUAGACCACUGUGUAUUGCUAUUGUGCGGUCGUUACUAAAGUUGGUAUAACUAGAGAAGCAAGCGGUCAGCAACAUUCAUCUCUUGAGGGGGUGUCUAACCCUGUGUUAGUGUGUUUGACCCUAACUUAAUUUUACCCUGGAAUAUCCCUUUAAGGCCAGAGGUCACUAUCCUUACACAAACACCAAAAAAAAACCCAUGCCAGCUCUUUAAACUGCACAACUGAGAAGCUCACCAAUCGGUAAAAGUGGCAUUAAAUGUGGUUUAAAAGACAUUAUUACACAGCUGAAUUACCAAGAUCCUUGGUAAACUGUUUUUUUAAUUCUUCAUAUGACACAAUGGGCAUUGCUGGCUCAGCCAUUAUUACUCAGACCUGAAGUAUGUGACUGAAGUUGACCUACUGAGCAGACAGGAAUCAGUAUAUUGAAAGUGGCACAGUUACAGUCAAAUUUCAAAGUAAAUGGUUUGUAAAAGAUGAAAUUGAUUAAAAAUGUCUUAUCAGGAUGAACACUGGGGAGGUUCAUUUUGUAAAAAUGGAUGUAUCUCUGUUUGAACCGCUUCAAGGUCGCUGUGUUUAGCAAUGCACUGUCUGUCAGGUUGUCUUUAUGCCACAUUUAAAACAUACUGAGUAUAUUCUCUAAAGAGGUUUGUCUCAUAUUGUUUCUCUUUCUCCUUUUAUUUUAGUUCUACUAUGUUUUCAUUCCAUUUACAUACUUUGACAAUAAACUGCAGUACCCUGAGCUUCAGCAUUCAAAGAUUUUGUUGUGCUGAACCUGUACAUUGGUUCAACCUAGCUAGCUUUUAUCACCCCCUCAUCUUUGCUCGUUUUUAACCUUAACUUUUUACAGCAUAUAGGUACAGAGCUACCUUUUGAAAACAGUGCACUUUGUGUAACAAGCUCUAAAAGAACUGACAUCAAAAAGCAAGCUGGGGACUGCCUGAAAAGACUAAAACUAUAGAAGAUUUCACUGAAUUCUCAUAAGAUUUUGUGUUCUUAGUUUUUCAUCCGAGGUACGUGCUCCUCAUACACUUUCAGCAAACAGUUUUAACAGCUGUGCCAAAAAGAAAAAAGUUAGUAAAAGUUGAACUGUUGCAUUGAAGGCGUGGGCAGCUCAGCAAGAGGUGAAGGUGAAAGGGCAUGGCUUCACAAAGAAGAGGAGAUAGAUACAUCCGUAUUUGAGAUUAAACUAUAUAUUGCAUUGUAUGUGUGUAGUAAUAGGAUUUUACCAAAGACAAAACACAAAGGUCGCACUGAGCUGCGGCUCGCAUUUCAGCUUGUUUGGAGAGACUGCAGUAUGGGCAUUAAAUGUUAAAAAGACAUGUAACCCAAUCAACACGAUCAGUUCAAGGCUGUGUGGGUGAAGUUGCAAACCUUUGGGAGAUUUCAUAGAUAUAGAGGAAGAUAUUUUAUCUUUAUGGGCGACUACUGGAUCUGAUUCGCUCCAAUUUUUGGCUAUAGAUCACAGAUAGAGGUAUGGGAUUGAGGACAUGGUCAGCGUUUAAACCAGGAUGUGCUUUUAAAACCAAACUCUUUCAUGUUUUGCAGCUGCACUGUAUGCAUUUUGUAUCAGACAUACUGUGCCUGUACCCUCAGAUGAACCUCUGAUCGAGGAAGCCACCUCAGGGUAUAAAUCUUUAAAGCUAAACUCACCCUGCAUUAACUCUACUUUUUCCAAUGUAAGUUAUUUCAGAGCAAAUGUAGCUUUGGUUCUUGUACUUGUCCGUUUGCAUCUAGCAUUCAGUUAUUAAAACACAACCAAAUUUACGACGGAAAAAGAAAGACAACAAUAACAGCAUUGUGCACUUCCACAUCCUGAAGUACUAGCAGCUGUUUUUUUUAUGUUACAAAGCUCCGGCAUGAUGGCACCAUAUGUAGAGGAAAAUGGCAACCGAGUGCAAAAAGCAUGUGCAUCAUCAUCUGUUCACAGCAUCACUACAUUAUUAAAACAUGAACAGGAAAAUUGCCAUAUGUGCUGUUUCGUCCACAAAAAAACAGCGUGCUCAACAUUUGGGUGAGAACUUUUGUUAUUCCCAAAAGGAGGAAAAAAGGAAAUGGGUUGAUGUUAAACAUAUUUUGUGAGCAAGAACUACACACGUCCAAGUGUGAUUGUAUCGAGACAUUUUUACAGCAAUGAAUUUUCUUAAGAUAUGGUUACAAUUCCUGACUGGAUACUGUAAAAACACAAUCCAGCAUUUGGUUUAAUUUCUACUUUGCUACAUUAUUUAGGAAGUAUUAGUAAAGAGUUUUAGUACCCCUAAAGCCUCUGUGUCUCAAAGCUGAUUCCCAGUGCUGUUGAUGAAUUUCCUCUCCCUCAUCUACAGUCAGUCACUGUCAUCCCAGAUAAGGUCAGAUACACAGGGAAAGGCAGUAAUGAUAUUCUGAUUCUAAUAAGCUGCAGUUCAAAUUUGGAUAAAUUUACUGAGUAAAUAUUGAGUUAGGUGCUGCUGUACCAGUACAAAAAAAACCCUCUUAUUUUGCUAACAUUUGCAUAGGAUUUUACCACAAGAUGGCAUUGUGAAGACAGAUGAGGUACACCACAGGCAAGUUUCCUCCAAAGGGUGAGGGAAACAUAGCUCUAAAUUAGAGUGGGUUUAUUUUUUUUUCUCUGCAGUGGGUGGAGGUCAUUUAAAGUUGUGGCCUGAGGAUCAAGAGGAGAUUUAACCUUGAAAAUGUUCUCUUGAAAUAGACUUGUAAUGCUUAAUUUCAACUUUUAUUUUAUCUGUAAUGGACACCAAUGCUUUGCUUGAUUUGCUGCUUAAAUUCUGGCAUCUGCAGAAACAUUUAAUUCAGCACAAAAAUUGUGUCUUUCUCCCAAGAGAAGAUGAAUCUGACUGUGACGAAAGAGGAUUAGGGCCACAUGAAGAAAAAAAAAAAUUAAUUACAGGAAGGAGAUUUGAGUCAAAAUUUCGAGAUUAGCGUUGAGAUUUCGAGAUUUAAAAAAUCAAAUUGGUGUCAAAAGUUGGAAUUUCAAGAUUUAAAUUGGAAAUUUCAAGUUUAGGUUGAAAGACUACGAGAUUUGAACAAUGUCGAAAUUUCAAAAUCAAAAUCUUGAAAUUCUGACUUUCUUCAGUUUUGAUUUUUUAAAUCUCGAAAUUUUAUCUUUAAUGUCAAAAUUUCAACUUUUUACAUUUCGACUUCAAUCUCCCUCCUGUAAUUAGUAGGGAUGGACCGAAUGGGAAAAUCUUGGCCGAAACCGAAUACCGAAUAUAAGAAACACUUGGCCGAAUAACCGAAUACCCAAUAGCCGAAUAUGAUUAAUAAAUAUGUAUAUAAAUUAUGAAUUUUUAUCACCAAGCAACUUUUGUACAAUUGCUGUCAUUGCCGUACAUUUGUUUUAAAGCUACCUGAUUAUGGCAAAACCUGGCAAACUUAAAUAUUAAUCACUUUAUGUUUGAACCAUGAAGCAUUUAUUCAGCUUCAGCACAUGACAUAAUGCUAUAACAAUAACAUUCAAUAAAAUAAAAUUAAGUAAAUAACAUCUUUGCAAUAACAAUACAAAAAAAGUGCAAUUUUCCCUGUAGGAUAGCCUAAAGUAAAUAAAAUAAAAUGCACAUAUGCAAAAUAAAUAAAAUAAAUGCAGGUACGUGCAUGCAUAUACAUGAUUGUGCAACAGUAAACACAAAUCCAGGCCUGAGGACUUCAACAAUAAAUGCACUUACAUGCAUGCACAUACGAUUGUGCAAACUUUUGUGCAGUGAGUUUCCUAAACUCGUCAUGUUUGUCCUUAUGUUUAGCGCUCAAGUGGUUGAUUAGUCCCGAUGUACUGAAAGUUUUUGCCGUCACACCACCUCGAGACACUUCAGCAGAGCAGAGUUUACAAAUUGCCAUCAGACCAUCUUUCUCUGAUAUGUCGAAAUAUUUCCAAACCGCAGACAUGUCGGUUGAACGGCUUCGAGCCAAGACAGCUGCACGUAUCGUGUGUGUCGUAUCAGCAUGCCGGUGUUGUGCCGUAGAAUGCACCCCCGACGGGAGCGCGGUUGAAAGUACUUAACAAGGCGAAAAUAAUCCAAGUUUUCCUUACCAUUGGAUGAAUUCAAAAGCCUGUGCCUGUAAUAGUUUCACUCAGGCUAUUCAGAUAAGCCGAAAAAAUAGCCCUCUGAUUCAGAAUAUUUGCUGUCCCGAAAAUAUAAUGUAUGCCAGCUUGACAGUUUACUGUACAGUUUAUAUACCCAAGCACACCUCCGUAUGUGCAUUUUUGAGACACAUAAAAUCAGAACGAAAGUUGUAACGAUCAAAUAGUCGUGUUUUUUAAAAUAUGAGAUCAUUUUCUACCACUUUAAGAAGCUAACGAGUGGAUGGUAGGCAGGGGGUGCAUUCUACGGCGGGGGUGCUUUCUACGGCACAACACCGGCUUGCCUCUUGUCGCGUUCCGAUUACGUCAUCAACAUGCUACUAAAACAGGGAAAACAGCGCCGUCUGCGUUUUCCGUUUUUGAGAGUUCAUACUAGACCCAUGUUUAUCCACACUAUUCGGUGAUUUUUUUUCGGCCAUAAAAUCUAUUCGGCCGAAAACCGAAAAUUCAUUUUUGAUGCUUUUCGGCCGAAUAUUUUCGGCGCCGAAUAUUCGGACCCAUCCCUAGUAGUUAGUUUUUCUUCUCUUGCUGUGGCCCUACUCCUCUUUUAUAGACUGUCCUCCACACUGCAAAGAAAUCCUAAAUCAACAAAGUGUGCAACCAAAAACAGCCAAUCAACACCAAGUUUCCCACUUCCUUUGAUAUAUAGUAAUAGUAAAAGCUAGACUGAAUGUCCAGCUUGAUUGCUAACUGAUAAACAGUUACUGAAAGCAAGACUAUUUUCUAAAUACAAAAUGACAAACCAAGAACUAUAGCACCACUCCACAAUCAUGUUUGAUAUCAUGUGUAAUACUGUCUGCUGCAGUACUUUUCCAUUAAUUGUGUAACUUGAGCUUUUUUCCCCACAUAUGACGCGGUUGUCACAAUAAACACUUCAUAUUAACAUGAAUAGAAGCUCCCUGAAAGCUGCAGAUGGAUGGUGAAUAGGACACUUUGUGCAGCUGCAGAGGCAACGUGUUGCACAGAGACAUGCCAAAGCAGAACACUAGAGUUUCUCCUCCCACAAUCAAUGCUGAGUUUCAAUCCAUUGAGGAUGGAGUACUACUGUAGAAACCAUUGUACUGCCAGUUUACAUGGUCUAAUUAUGUCUACAGCAGUCCUCUUAUAUAUCUCACUAGUUCUUGCACUUUGUCGACAUUAUGUCCUAUUUUUUACACUGAAAAAAAAAAAAUUAUGAUUACAUGACCAAGAACAUUUUCCAGCUGAAGCUUGAAAAUUACAACCAAGAAGCCUUUCACUAUCACAUCAGUUUUGAGAACACAUCAUUUGAAUCUCAGUUGGACAUUUGGAUUGUAAAGGAAAACUUAUGAACUCCAUUUCUGCUGUCCGUGCAUCAUGUCCUUAUUAUCAGGAGAAAAAGACAGGUGUCAUGAACAGAGCCCAGUUAUUAUUCUGCACCAGUGAUUUCAUGCUGUUGCAGGCUGUCAGUCAGAGACAAUCUGAAUGUUGUCUCUGUCCUAUACGACAUGAAAAGUAUUACUAUUUGAAAACUAUCAUGCAUGAGUAACCAUCUUUUAUCUCCCUGCAAUAUCCUCCAUCAUCUUCAAACCACAGUGAUACACUUCUUGGGGUCCACAUGACCUUUCUCAUCCGUGCAUCACAGCCACACUCCCUGUAAGGCUUCGAUGGUUCUAGUCAAGAUGGUAAAAUCAGUUAAUAUGAUUACAGUGACUUUGUCAUCAGGCUGAGUAAAGUUCAGGUUCAGUGGUAGUUCUCGUGAAUGCAGCUGGUGUGGGUCUGCAGAUGUGUCCAAGUGUGAAUUAGGGCUGGGCGAUAAAACGACAACGAUAUUGAAAAAUAAUUUCCCUCAAUAUCAAUAUAAAACAUGGUCAACAUGCUUUUCGUUAGCCAGCAUUCCGCCAUGUUUUGGUAGACUAUAUGAAUAGCCGAUGAAAAGGGGAGUUGCUUCAUGCGAAACCAAUCGUGUUCUGAAGUUGAACCAAGUAGCAAACAACUACAUAGUAGCAGUAGCAUAACACGUGAGGUUGACAGCAGUUUUGGUGAGAAAAAAAGAAAAUGAGUGUUACCACAGCAGAAAUGUGGAUGAAGGCUCGACAGAUGUCGUCGACAGCACUGGCACGAAAACGUCGAGGUGUGGUAUUUUGUUUUUUUUAGGUCGGACAUGAAGCAGAGUAAUUUUCACUGCAAAUCAUGUCAGGUACAUGUUCUCGCAAAGUCCGGGAAUACCUCAAAUCUUUUUCACCACGUGAAGCAGUGCUACGCGGCAGAGCACGCGCAACGCAAAAGGUUACGAAUCAGGAGUGGAGCAAGGAGCCCAUCGCGCCUGUGCAGCCUAAAGAGCCGACCAUUCAGUCCGCUUUAUCUCGCGCAACGCCUUACGACAAAACGUCGAAGAGACACAAAGACCUCACAGAUGCAGUAGCUUGUUGUACUGCAAAAGACAUGCUACCAAUACGCACUGUUAAAUUUCAUUUUUUAUAUUGUGAAAUAUAUCAACCGAUAUGAAAAGAUAUAUCAUGAUAAACUUUUUCCCAUAUCGCCCAACCCUAGUGUGAACCAUAACAGCGUCCCCUCUAAAGGACACAGUGAAUAUGUGGGAUCAGUGGAGUCAACUUCACAGGAUACGAGUCAAACCAAGACAUAUAAGUUUAUGAUUUCUAGAAAAAAAACUGCUCAGGUGCAUCAACACUUACUCCUACAUCUAGGUAAAAUACAGAGAUAAACCUUGUAUGCGCCACACAUGAAAUAACACCUCUCCUUCAAGGUGUUUGUCAUGAAAAUAGAUAGUACUUGUUUCAGUAAACAGCCUGUUAAAGAUCUAUUCUGAGUGUAAUAUCUGCUCCCUUCACAUCUGCAUUGUAGAGGCUAUCAUCACAUUUAAAAAUCCAUGCACACCUCAAUUCAUUUUCUAUUUAUUUAAUAUGGGGGAAUACAUUUGAACUUGAGCUUGAUAUUAAGGGCUGCUGUCGCAGUUGUCCUGCCAAACCAUUUCUUUUCGGCAUAUUAUUAAAAAUAUUUACUGCAGGUGCUUGGCUCUGCUGCUUAUUUGUUGAAAUAAAUUCCAGAGUGCUCUAAAUGCUGUCAGUGCUGCUGAGCUGGGCAGGUAUUUCACAACACUAACCAUGUGGGUCACAAAGCCCGUGGAGGGAAUUUGGGUGUGUGUGUGUGCUGCUAUGUAUCCAUAAAAACUGUGUAAAGAGAAGGAUGGGGAGGUUUGUGUGCUUUGCAGCAAGGCACAGCAUGGCCGUAUUCUGUUAAUGGCGCUGACUGCUAUUGUGGGGGGGCCGCAGCCGAGUCGUAAAAUUACCGAGGCUGUUGAGGGUGCAAGAGGAGCCAAGCCCACUGGUGUGAUAGUUUUCUCUGGAGAUACUAAAGUUUUUAUCUCCCGGGAUCAUAAAGUGAGCUCAUAGAGCUGCGGCUCCCAAACUCAUUCCUGUGGAGUAUCUUCACUUCAUAUUAAACAAACUAAAUUGUUUCGCACAGAAGGUGCAGUUUCCAGGCCUCGCCACAGAUUGAGCUGCCUCUCCUGUCGAGACACACCUGUCCACAUUCUCUCUGGGAAAUUUAUUAAAUUAUGCGCCGCCUUCCUGUCAGUGUGAGACCGAGAUUGAGCUCAGCCUAUACUUUCCCGCUGUCCUCCCUGUCAAUCUUAAUGGGUAUUGCUACAAAUUUGACACCUGGUGGCCACAGUCAGGUUCCACAUAUAAGAUUUCCCCACGGUAAGGCAUGACCGCUUCAUCAGGUAUCCUCAAGAGCAUAUAAAUGCAUCUCAGAGACAGAGACAUCAUGGCACUUUUAUCACGUGUUCCGAGCUUUAUAUAUGGUUGAAAGGUAAAACUCUAGGGGGGAUAGUAAUGUCUUUUUGAUGUGAAGUAUGUUUUGAAGCAUGCUGUGUUAUGGUAGAGUGGAUAAAAGGGGUAAAAACCUUGGGAAAAAAAGUGUGCCUUACCGGAAAAAGCACUUGUUUAACUGUAUGUUUGAAAGCUGUUUUGUGUAAAUCCCCGGGAGAAGUAUAAUCCUCAGUCCCCUUCUAAUUUUUCAUCUUCUACAUGCAGUUAGAUCAUAUUACAGCAUAAACCUCGCAACGUUUUUUUGUGUGGUCUGAUGUACAGCAAAUAAAAGUGUAAAUUAUGGUGUUGUAGUUGAAGAGCUAUACAUCUUUUUUUAUUAAAUUUAUGGAGAAAAGAGUAAAACACAAGAAAAUGAGUUUAAGAAAAUGAGAAACUGCAGCUGUUGCCUUCAACAAUUUCUAUUAUUUCUCAUUCUCUAGUUUUCUCACUUCUGGCCCUUACCUGCUGGUGUUCAAGGAUUAAAUUUGUGAUGAAGCUUUGCACAAUGAGAAGGAUUCAGGGUUUGGGGUUAGUGCAAAAGUUGUUCACUGAAGAACAACAUGAAUAAAAGACAUAAUAGUGUCUAUUCGAAUGCCUUUAACGUUAAGCGUUUCUAUUGCAUUAUCAAUCAGUCAUAGAUAAUAUCAAGCCUUGCUACCUUGGAGAGGUGUAAUAUCCCAGCAAGUCUUUAUCAUGCACUCAUUACAUUUGAUGCAACGAUCCCAUCUGUUACUUGUGCGCACCAUUUGGUGUAAUAAAAAUCUCUCUCUUUAAGUGACUAAUAUAACACACGUGCACAUUUAUAUCUUUUUUUUUUCACCUGGUCAUGUGUUAAAUGUGUUUUAUAUGUGUACUGCGAUGCUGGAUGAGUGGCGGUCUAAACUAUCAAAUAGAAACUGUGUGUGUUUGCAGAGUGAGAGUGCUGAGGAGGUGUAUCAUAACCUGUUACAGCCAUUCAACCCCAAACCAAACUCAGACGUCAAGUCCAGUCUGGCAUCACUAUUGGCCAAAUCUGAGUUGAGUCUGUGUCAGUGGAGGAAAGUCCAAGUCCAUUCCUAGCCGUGUCCUCAAAAUCUAAGUAUUACUUUUUAGCAUAUUAUCCUGGAGAUUGUGGUGGGAUUACUGCAGAUUUCCCAUAAAGGAAAAAAAAAAAUCAAACAGUACUUUUAGUCUGAAUUUUGACCUGUGGACCAAACAUAUGUAACUGUUAGAGAGAACAGGUUACCUUAGAGUAGGGAUGUCCUGAUACAACUUCUUUACUUCCAAUAUGAUACUGAUAUUGUAGCCUUGAGUAUUGGCCGAUAUCGAUAUUGAUCCGAUAUUGGCACAAAAUUGCGCAUGACAAGUUUUUCACUCAGCUGCAUUGUCUUUUUGGGACUUAAACAAAAAAUACUGCCACAAGGCCAACAUCACUCCAACUCCUUGCUAUCUUGUUUGGACCUUAGUACACACUGUUGUUGUGAUAAUGUGGGUUCUGAACGCUGGAUCCUGGUGCGCCUAGAUAGAGGUGCUAGAGCAGAGUCUGGAAUGGACUGCUUGUAUAGGGUUCUGAUUUCUGAGAUUUUAGAUGCAGGCCGAUAUAAACCGAUAUCUGUUUUUUGCUGAUAUCAGACUGAUAUCAGAUAUCAAUAUUGAAUCUGGACAGCCCUACCCCAAACCAAACUCAGAGGUCAAGUCCAGUUUGGCAAGUCCAUUCCUAGCUGUGUCCUCAAGAUUUAAGUAUUACUUUUCACAAUAUUGUCCUGGAGAAUGUGGUGGCAUUACUGUAGAUUAAUCCGAGUUUGAAUAGUGGACCAAACAUGAUUGUUAGCUGGUCGUUCAUUAACAGUAACAGUCCAAGUAAAUUGUGACUUUUUUGGGUUCAUCCUGGACAGAUGUCUGCCAGACUUCGAGCUUGUCUGCAUCAUCACUAUAACAUUUUACGUAGCGUUCUGUACAGUUAGAGAAAACAGGUAAAAAAGUUGACUUAUUGACUGCAGGUCUAGACUCUGAGCUUUAACUUUAAGUUGAACUGUCCGUAUGUGUUCCCUCAACACCAAAGGAAACUGGAACCAGCAGGAAAAAAACUUCACAUUGUAACUUCACAUGUAAAAUUCACAUUGUUUAAUUGAAGCUUUGUCAGGAAUAUGUGGCUGUAGCAGCAUUGUGUCUCAUGUGCAUAUUUGUUAUUUUGAGUUUGUAACUUAUAAAAGUAUUGAGUAAAACAGCCCAAUAUAUGUAGUGUAGUGUUUGCCUAUUUCACCCAGUUUGCCCCCUCUUUUUCUGCCCACUCUUUCUUUUUUUCUCUCCCUUCUUAGCCCAAUGCACCAGAUGCUCUCCUGUUCCCCCUGCUGUCCAAGUCACCUGACUCUCCAAUUAACCUGUUCACCUGGUCCAGCACUCCUUCACCAACCCCUCUCCACUCAUCCAGACUGUCAAUGUAGCUUUGCUCUCCAGUCUGUGAUACCUUCAAACCUGUAACCCUCAGCCUUCUGCCCUUUACUCUUAAGACCUGAACCUGGACUUUGUUAGUGUCCUCCUCCUGUUCACUGCAGUUUUUGUUCUGUCUUGGAAUCCCACAAAGGAAAAAAAAGCUUGUGUUUUCACUUCUAUCA